rnacentral:lncRNA from 1 species
UUCAACCUGCGCAAGAAGCCAGACGAGUCUCUACGAGACUACCUGAGACGGUUUAAGGCUGAAAAGGCUAACAUCAUAGGAUGCAAUGACCAAGUUGCAUCAUCAGCUUUCAAGAAGGGCUUGCCAACCGAGCACGAGCUAUACCGGGAACUGGCCAUAACACCAAGUCAAACCUUGGCAGAAGUGUUCGCGACGGCAGAACGCUACGCACUUUGGGACGAUGAUCGAAUCGCCGCAAAGAAAGCCAGCAAGCAAGUUGAUCACCCGACGAAGCAGGCAAGCCAAAAGAGCAACCAGUUCGAGCAAAAAGCCCGAGAUAAGCGCAGAUCGCGGCCCCGAGAGGGAAGCUCAGAAACAGGGACCUUCACUGAGUUCGCUAUCCCAAUUCAUCAGAUCCUGGCUCAAGUGAAAGACAAGCCGUGGGUGAGGAGACCGCCACCCAUGAAGGGAGACCCCUCUAAGAGGGACACCAGUAAAUACUGCGCAUUCCACGGGGAGCACGGACAUUACACCAACAACUGCAAUGCUUGGAAGAGACAUCUUGAGGAGCUGGUCAGAGAAGGUCAUUGCACAGAAUUCGUCGCAAAGAAGGCCAUUCAGCAGAUCGAGGAUCGUGAUGCGGCUGCCAAGGAGCCUCCCCAAAAGAUCAUUCGAAUCAACACCAUUCUAGCUGACUCCCGGGAGUCUGGGCUGACCACCAAGGAGCGCAAGAGGAAGAUCGCGCAGGUGGCUUAUGUCUCCCAAGUCACAACAGGAGUACCAGUCAUUGUGGAUACACCCAUCAUUGGUUUCCAGAAGAAGGACUUGAUCGGGCUUGACCUACCGCAUAAUGAUGCGCUAGUCAUCUGCAUUCAAAUUGAACAAGCUGUGAUCGAGCGAAUUCAUGUGGAUGAGGGCAGCGCAGCUAACAUCCUGCAACUAUCUGUCAUCCAACAGAUGGGAUUGGAGCCCAAGAUCAGCAAACUUGCCAGGUCGCUUACCGGCUUCAAUGGGGCCACAUCAAUCACUAUUGGAACGAUCGACCUUGACGUCCACUCACCCCCAGUGCUCUGCUCGCAAACCUUCAUGGUCAUCAACGAGAUCUCCCCCUACAAUGGAAUAUUGGGCCGACCGUGGAUCAGCAAAAUCGAGGCCAUCACAUCUGCUCUGCACCAGAAGAUUCGAUACCCCAUCCCUGGAGGCGGAAUCGGGCAGAUCAAUAGUGACCAAGCCAUGGCAAGAAGAUGCACAGCCCAAGGGCUCAAGAAGAGCAAGCAGUUGCAGUUCACACCAGUAAUGCAAGCUGCUACCGAGGCACGAAGCGUUCCCAGCAAACAAGCAAGCUCGAGCGAGAAGGGAGCUGUUACCCCACAAUAGCAAUUAAUGAGCCAGGAUCAAGGCGAGGGAAUCCGCCCGGAAGACUCCCCUGAAAAGGGUUGGAAGCCUGAGGAUGACGUCGAGUUAGUACCCCCUGAUCUUGGCCAGCCAGACAAAGAAGCGCAGAUCGGCUCGUGCCAGAAUCCAAACAAGAAGGAUCGAGAGGAGGGAAUCCGCCCAGAAGGCUCCCUUGAAGAAGGUUGGAAGCCUGAGGAAGACGUUGAGUUAGUACCCCUCGAUCCUAACCAGCCAGACAAAGAAGCGCAGAUCGGCUCGUGCCAGAAUCCAAACAAGAAGGAUCGAGAGGAGGGAAUCCGCCCAGAAGGCUCCCUUGAAGAAGGUUGGAAGCCUGAGGAAGACGUUGAGUUAGUACCCCUCGAUCCUAACCAGCCAGACAAGAAAGCGAGGAUCGGCUCGCGCCUAAGCCCAGAUGAGAAGAUGGAGUUGACCAUCUUCCUCCAAAACAACAAAGACAUGUUCGCGUGGUCACCAUCUGACAUGCCCGGCAUCGACCCAGACAUCAUCUGCCACCGCCUCCAUGUCAACCCUGCCAGCAAGCCCGUGGUGCAGAAGAGACGCAACUUCGCUCCCGAGCGAGUCGCGAUCAUUGAGGCCGAGAUCGACAAGCUUCUAGCAGCCGGAUUUAUUGAAGAAGUCUCAUACUCAGAAUGGUUGGCCAACGUCGUUUUGGUGGCAAAACAAGAAAAGGGCAAAUGGAGAGUGUGCGUCGAUUAUACCGACCUCAACAAAGCAUGCCCUAAAGACAACUUCCCAUUGCCGAGGAUCGACCAGCUCAAAAACCUCACCGAGGCAUUCAGCCUGCUCCGCCAAUAUCGCAUGAAGCUGAAUCCAAGUAAAUGCACGUUCGGUGUAUCAUCCGGCCGAUUCCUGGGGUACUUAGUCACACAACGAGGUAUCGAGGCACACCCACGCCAAAUUAAAGCCAUCCUCGAGAUGAAGUCACCUUCCACGGUAAAAGAAAUACAAAGUCUGACGGGCAGAGCAGCAGCUCUCAACCGAUUCCUCUCGAAGUCUACCGACAAAUGCAGACCAUUCUUCAAAGCUUUGAAGAAGGGGCAAAAAGACAAGUGGGACGAGGAGUGCGAAGUAGCUUUCCAGAGUCUAAAGACCUACCUUACUUCACCUCCCCUGCUCUCGAAGCCAGCUCCUGGUGAAGACUUGUUCGUGUACCUGGCAGUGUCCGACUCAGCCAUCAGCUCAGCUCUCAUCCGAGAAGAACUUGGGGCCCAACAUCCGAUAUUCUAUACGUCUAAAGCUCUCCUCGAUGCAGAGACUCGCUACCCAAAAUUGGAGAAGCUCAUUUUGGCCCUUGUCGUUUCCGCGCGAAAGCUGCGGCCUUAUUACCAAGCUCACCGAGUCAUCGUUAUGACUGACUUUCCUUUGAGAUCAAUCCUCCACAGCCCUGAUGCUUCCCAGCGGCUUAUGAAGUGGGCAAUAGAACUAAGCCAAUACGACCUCCUCUACCGGCCAAAGACUGCUAUAAAAGCCCAGGCCUUAGCAGACUUUGUUGCAGAGUACACACCAUCAGCCGAAGAAGAGAAGCUGGUCAGCAAAAAGAAGGAAAGUUCGAGAGCAGACAAGACCUCCGCGGAACCUGACCAACCCAGAGACAUGUGGCAGCUACGCGUAGAUGGAGCGUCGAACCAGAAAGGAGCUGGAGCAGACGUCGUCAUCAUCACUCCAGAUGGAACCCUGUUAGAGCAAGCUAUCACACUUGGCUUCCCAACUUCAAAUAACGAGGCAGAGUACGAGGCAUUGCUCGCUGGCUUGCGCCUGGCAAAGGAGCUAUCAAUCAAGAAGCUGGCCAUCUACUCAGAUUCCCAGCUGAUCACAAGUCAAGCCUCAGGAGAAUACAUGGCGAAGCACCCAAGGAUGAUCUUGUACCUUGACAAAGUCCAAGAGCUGUUGAAGGCAUUUCCCACCUUCACCAUCCAGCAGGUGCCCCGAGCAGAAAAUGCACACGCAGAUGCACUGGCAAGCUUAGGAUCAGCACUGGAUACCCAAUUCAGACGCUCCAUCCCGGUCGAACACCUUGGUCAGCCUAGCAUAGAAGAGGUAGAACAACCAGACCUGAUGCAAAUCGACGAGGAUCCUAGCUGGCAAGAACCCAUCAUCGACUACCUAGUGAAUGAAAACUUGCCCCAAGACAAGUCCGAGGCCAGAAAAAUCAAGCAGAAGGCUGCAAGAUAUUACAUGAAAGGCGACACGCUUAUCUGUAGAUCAUACUACGGGCCUCAUCUCACUUGCAUCAAGUACCCGCAAACGCUCGAGGUUCUCUGCAAAAUACACGACGGCGAAUGUGGAAAUCACGCUGGAGGCAGGUCGCUUGCUCAGAAGGCUCUCAGCAUCGACUAUUUCUGGCCUACCAUGCGUAAAGAUUCCACGGAGUAUGCUCGAAGAUGUGAUCGAUGCCAACGGUACAAGCCAGUCCCUGGCUUGCCAGCUGAGGAAUACCAUCCGCAGAACAGCCCAUGGCCGUUCAUGCAGUGGGCCAUUGACUUGGUGGGACCUAUGCCGACAGCACCUGCCAAUAAAGAGAUGAUGAUCGUUGCCACUGAUUACUUCACUAAAUGGAUCGAGGCCGAGGCUUUGUCUUCUACCAAGGAAGCUGACGUUGAACGUUUCAUCUGGAAGAACAUCAUCUGCAAAUUCGGUUGCCCGCAAUCGAUAGUUACUGACAAUGGUACACAGUUCGUGGGCAGGCAGAUCACUGCAUUUUUUGUGAAGUAUGGCAUCAAGCAGCACCUGUCAACUCCCAGAUACCCGCAAGGCAAUGGUCAAGCAGAGGCAUCCAACAAAAUCGCGCUGGACUGCCUAAAGAAAAGACUGGAAGGCGCAGAAGGAAAAUGGGUCGACGAGCUGCCAGGAGUUCUAUGGGCUUAUCGCACAACCAAAAGGAGAUCGACCGGAGAAACACCGUUUUCCUUGGCCUAUGGGACGGAGGCAAUCAUUCCCCCACACAUCACAGUCCCUUCCAUGAGCAUUGAAGUGGGCAGUCUUGACCAAAACUGCAGGCAUAUGAGAAUUAACCUUGACCUGCUCGAAGAAGAACGAGAAAAGGCCAUUGUUCGAGUUGCCGCCUACCAGCAGCAGUUGACAUCCUACUACAAUAAGAAGGCCAAGAUCAGACAGUUUCGGCCUGGAGACCUUGUGCUCAGAAAGACUUUUAUCACAUCACCAAGGCAAGGAUCAAAGAAGAUGAAGCCAAAUUGGGAAGGCCCCUACAUGAUCAGCCGGUCUGGGGGUAGAGGAAGUUACACCCUCGACACUCUAGAAGGGAAGGAAAUUCCAAGACAGUGGAAUGCCCACCACCUUCGGAGAUACUAUCCAUGAAGCUCUUCGCUUACCAGCUCGACUCCUAGCAGACAACGAGCCUCUCGUACUUCUAUUAAAGGCAAACUGCUUUUUGAUGUUACCUAUGUUAUUAAUUUCCCUUAUUCAAUAAAGCGAUGUAUUCACACCAACAUUAAUACAAAAGCAAGCUUUUCAAUGAAGUACUUUUUUCGAGCUUUAUGUCCCACAAACAUAUACACAAAGGCGACAAGCCUUACCUCCAUUGCAGACAAGCUGCUCUCCGGAGCACGAACUCAAUGGAGUCCUUUUUAAGAGCUAUGUCCCCGACAUACGCUCACAGGCGGCAAGCCUUACCUCCAUUGCAGACAAGUUGCUCUCCGGAGCACGAACUCAAUGGAGUCCUUUUUAAGAGCUAUGUCCCCGACAUACGCUCACAGGCGGCAAGCCUUACCUCCAUUGCAGACAAGUUGCUCUCCGGAGCACGAACUCAAUGGAGUCCUUUUUAAGAGCUAUGUCCCCGACAUACGCUCACAGGCGGCAAGCCUUACCUCCAUUGCAGACAAGUUGCUCUCCGGAGCACGAACUCAAUGGAGUCCUUUUUAAGAGCUAUGUCCCCGACAUACGCUCACAGGCAACAAGCCUUACCUCCAUUGCAGACAAGCUGCUCUCCGGGGCACGAACUCAAUGGAGUCCUUUUUAAGAGCUAUGUCCCCGACAUACGCUCACAGGCGACAAGCCUUACCUCCAUCGCAGACAAGCUGCUCUCCGGGGCAUGAACUCAAUGGAGUCCUUUUUAAGAGCUAUGUCCCCGACAUACGCUCACAGGCGACAAGCCUUACCUCCAUCGCAGACAAGCUGCUCCCCGGAGCACGAACUCAAUGGAGUCUUUUUUUUUAAGAGCUAUGUCCCCGACAUAUGCUCACAGGCGACAAGCCUUACCUCCAUUGCAGACAAGCUGCUCCCCGGAGCACGAACUCAAUGGAGUAUUUUUUAAGAGCUACGUCCCCGACAUACGCUCACAGGCAACAAGCCUUACCUCCAUUGCAGACGAGCUGCUCCCCGGAGCACAAACUCAAUGGAGUCUUUUUUCAAGUGCUAUGUCCUUCAAGCGCUAUGUCUCCGGACGCACACUUACAAGAUACAAAGAGAAUUGAAGUUUGAAAAACAACUGAAAAUUCAAUAACAAAGCGGCCAAUCAGCCAAGUUCAACAAGAAGUAAGGUGGUCAACCAAAGACCACUUAUUGAAAGAAAAAUAACAAAGUUCAAAAAUAGCAAAAAUGGACUACAACUGCUAAGGAACUUCAGCAGGUGACCCUCAGCCGAUCACAUCCUCAACUGCGCUGGCAACAGCCUCAUUCUACCCAACUGGCACAACUGGCUCAACCGCCUCGGCUGCCUGCUCCUUCGCAUCCGCCUUAGCCUCAUCAGUUGACCCACCUUGGCAUUUAUCUUCCUCAAUUACCGCUGCUUCUGCAUCCACAACAUCCACCUGCUCACUCUGAGCGGGGGGCAGGUCAAGACCAGUCUGCUCACCGUCAUCAUCUUCGAGAGAGCAGCAAGGAGAAACACCAUUCUGGCAAUCCAGGUAUCCCAGCUUGUACGCGUUAGCAGCAAUCUCCAGUUUGGAUGCCUCCGUGGCUUCCACAAGGGUGUCAAACUUGACCAGCAGUUUGUCACGAUCCUGGGCCAAAGCAGCAUGCUUGUGUUCGAGGCAGAAGUAGGCUUCCUUACGUUCGAGCAGAGUAGCAGCAAGAGACUUGAGUUCACCAUCCUUUUGGCCAACAGAACUCUUGAGCACGGACAAACUCUCCUUCAUCUCGGAAAUCAUCGCAUCAUGGCGAAUCCGCUCGCUCGAGAGCUUGCCAGUCAAGUCGGCAUUCUUCUUCACCAGCUCGUCAAGCAGGGCAGAAGAGGGGGCAACAUCACGUGAGUUCCGCAUGGCCCCAACAGCAAAAACCAUUCCUUUUUGAAGAUGAUACAUAGCAGCUUCUUCUUGCUCAUCCAAAGGAAGGUUCGAAAAAGCACAAAGGUCGCCGGCUCGAUACACGUGAUCAGCCAGCUUAGCGCAAGCAGACGGACUUGACAGAAAGCCUGUUUUCAGCAGAUCAGACACUGGCUCGCCCCCAGCAGAGCUAUCACCAGUUCCCGGACCGGCAGUUUGUGCAAUUGGAGGACUCUUCGCUCGAGCAGACGACUCUUUAGCUCUUUUGGCUGCAACUUGCAACAUUGAGUCAGCCCUGCGCUUGACUGUUCGUGGCCCUGCAGAUGAGUCGUGGUUGCUACACCGAGGUACAGCCAUCUCAGCUUGGUUCCCAGAUCGGCACGGACGACCCAAUCCAUGCUUCCCAGCGGCUUCCUUGCAUGGCAGAUCACGGGUCUUAGGCAGUACGGGCAAAGACUUGAGCAGAACUUCCCGAACCUCCUGCAUGUCGUUGGCCUUCUUGCUGUUCGCGCUGACGAAGCGUUUGAUCCAUGCAGACGAGGCAGGAGCAACUCCCAUAUGGGCCUUCUGAGCAGGCAAGACCUCCCUUGUAGAAGACUUGUUCGUGGCAAGAGAAGAUCUCGGCUGCCUUCGCUGUGGAGACGUAUCCACUGAUCGUGAAACUGCAGCUUCAUCUCGAGCAGCGCUAUUGCACGCUUUCCCACCAUCGGGGGACUCAGUCGAUGACUCCUCUCGCAUAACUGGAAAGACACUUAGCUCCGAGUAGCGCGACUUCCACCUUUCAAUAUCUUCAGCAGGGGGCAGGCCACCGACUUCCUUCCGAUGUUCGCUCAGCAGCCAGCGCCAUUCACGAAACUUGGCGGGGAUGCUCAAAGCUUGUCGAACCUUCGUCAUAUCCGGGUCGAGAACGAGCUUCUUUCGGAUGGCAUCAUCUGCAAGCAUGAGACAAAAGUUAGUCAGACACAGCAAAGAAUUCCAUGGCAACAGUAGCAGAUCAGAGGGAUGCAACUUACCAUCGCAGUAGGUGAGAGGAACGAGCGGAUCGUCGCCAACCUCCUCUUCCUAUCUGCCGCUGACUUUCAGCACGUUCGUGCUCCGCACAUGAUCGCCUUGACUCAUACUGAUCCUAGUUCGUGGCACAAAAAUAAGAAGGAAUUGAAGCAAUUUGGAUCAUCCACAAAAAAGAUGACCUAAACUGCCACCUGCUCCAGCAGCAGAUCGCGCACCUCCAGCCCAGUUACAGCUGGACAGCCCGAGUAAAAAGCCUCCUCAACUCGGGAGCCCAAGUCCAGGAAGAAAGCCCAGUUACAGCUGGACAGCCCAACGGAUAAUUUACAUCUCCUACAUGCCGCCACGCGCCAUGCAGAAGCUGGGGGGCAUUUGUGGGAACCUAAUUAAACCAAAACCCUAGGUCAAUUAAUUAGGCCAAUCAAUUUGGGAAUUAUUUGACCUAAUUAGGAGUUACCUAACCUAAUUGGGAAUUACCUAAUCAAAUUGGGGGUUACUUGAUCCCCAAUUUAAUUAGGGAUUCGGUUCAUCCAUAAUCCCUAAAUGCACCAACCCCACCAACCACACCAACUACACCAACCCCACCUACCUCUCCAAAGGCCACUAUAAAUACCUGGUUACACACAAGGAUGAGGUACGUCAGAAUUCCUACUGAAACUCUGCAUAAAUUAUUUCUCAAAAACCCUAGCCACCUCCUCUCUUUCUCUCUCUCACACAAGGCUCCGGCCACCACACACGGCUCCGGCCACCCGGUUUUCCUUGAAAUACCCUACCUAACUUAGGCAUCGGAGGGCCUUUGGCCAACACCCCCCGGGUGUGGUCCUUUUACUCUGAUCUGUUUUGUAGGGAGAAAGAGAGGCGGAGAAGACGAAGGAAUCUUGGGCGAAUAUUCUCCCGUGAGAUUAUUUGCACAAACAAGGGGCAAUAAUAAAAAAAUACACAUUAAAAUAGGUACAUUUUCUUUUGUUAAACAUAUUUUUAUUUUGAUAAUUUUGGUUACAAAUUAUAUGUAUUUGUUUUAAGUUAAAUCUUCUUCAAAAUCACAAAGGGUUUGUAGCUCAAAUAGUUAAAAUCAUUUACCUUUGACUAAGGUUCGAUUUUUCCUCCUCCAAUAUCACUUGUAUCCAAAUAAUUUUUUUUAAUUAUUAAAAAUUAGUCAAUUGAGUUAUGACUUAGCAUGAUUUACAUGAUUUAAUGUAUACUUUUAUUUCUACAAAGACUAUAAAAAUUGUAAGUACAAAAAGAAUGGUCAUUAAAUUUUUAGAAAAAUUCAUGAUUUUAUCCCUGCAAGCCAAAAAAACAUUUCUCAUAGAACAAUAAUCUUUUUAAAAAAAUUUGGGAAAUAGAGCAUGAAAUCUAGUAAGGUUCAGUUUACAAAGGUGGCACUUUGCAACCUCAUGUUUGCUGGGAAUCUCUAGACUGCCAAGGGGUACGGAAAAUUGCUUUUCACAAUAAAAAAUGCAAUUGCCAUUGACUGAUUAUGGACAGAAUUCUAGAUGGUCAAGGCUAAAUAAUCUUAUCUUGAAAUCCCCAAAAAGGUAAGUAUCAGUUGCAUGAUACAUGAAACAGAAAUGAUCGUGGGCCAUAACCCUAAACCUAACCUUAUUUGUAGACGUCCAUGUUGACCAAGGGAUGUUUCUUGGAAAAUACCUUGAAAUAGAAAGAGAAGUAAGGGGGACCCAUCACCCAUGUCGGUUAAAGAUUUUAGUUCUUUGCAUUCCUAGGGGUGGUUUGGUACUGGACUAAAAUCUUGGAAUUCUCUUUAAUUGACUUCCUGAUAUAAUUUGGAUAACACCUGAACUGUCUUUGGUGUAUAUUUGAUUGGAUUUAUGACUAAGUUUGUUUUAAUAUUUACAAACAGGUUAUGUGGAUUUUUUUUUUUAAUAUAAAAUUUUUCUUCUUCUUCCUCUUAUUAUUUUUUUGGCUUUUCUUUUCUCUCUGCAUCUUAUUCUUUUCUUCUUCCGCAGCUGGCUUCUUUUUCAUCUUCUUCUUCUCCAUCCUCUCUCAUUCUCCUCGCCUUCUAUCUAUUUUUCUCUUUAUAUUUUUUCAAAAAUUUUCCGUUAUCUCUUCUCUCUUCUUCGAUCCUCUUCUAUUUUGUCUUCUCCUUCUUGGGCGGUUGUGGCUGGUGGUUGUGGUUGUCGCUUGGAUGGUCGGUGGUUGUGGGAAUCUCGGGUGGGGUUGGUUGCUCGUCGCUUGGGUUGGGAUUGUCCCUCCUCUCCAGACAAGUCUCACUAAGAACACCUAGGGAGGUGCUUUUAAGGGGACAAGUAUUAGUUAAUCCCACAUAAAAUUAGAAGUGUGUGAAACAAACAUUGGAUAAAAAUCUUAGUCAAACCAGUCCAAGCAUGCACAGUAUAACAAACAGGCCCCUAGAUUCCUAAGAGAGUUCCAAAUUAAAGUAAGCUUAAUGAUCAUUAUUGGGACAGUGUAUUGAAAAUUGUUAACUAACUUUGUUGAAUAAUCAUCUCUUAUUAUUAAUAACUUAAUUAUGAUGGAUUGGUAAACAUGACAGUGUCCUAGAGCUGCAGCCUUUUGUGAUUACUGACUCUAAUGAUAAUCAAACAACAAUUAGUCACAAAAGUUCGAGUUUUCAAAGGAGGGUUGGUUUUUGUUGAAGAAAAAUCAAAUUGAAGCAAUUCCAAGUUGGUACGCAAGAGGAGUUGAAUUUAAUUAUAAGAUAUUCAAUUAAGUUUUUAUUUUUAUUUUUUAUAGAAGUGAUAUUGGAGAAAGAAAAUCAAACUUACGACCUCCAAAGCUACGAGCACUUGAUUAAGGUUGGUUUAAAUAUAUGUGAUGGGCCACAAGUGAAUUGAGCAAGAUAUGUGAUAGCCGAAGAAGAAGAAAAUGAAGAUAUGUGAUGGGCCUAAUAUUCAUUAGCACAGAAGGCCUCAUUUAUGGUUACAAAAACGUGAGCAUGUGCUAUUCAUUAGCAAUUGAUUUACUUCCGGUCCAUUUGAAAAUGGGUAAUCAAAUUAAAUUAUGAUAGUGUUGUUAUUUUCACCAACUAUUCUACUUUCUCUACCAAUCCUGAUCUUUUGGACUACAGGGGUCCAAGAGAUUUGUGGUCACUCACCGUUGGAUGUAAAUUCAACGGUUCACUCACUCUUGCACUCCUUUUAAAAAAUUUUUUUGAACCAUUGUAUUAAUAUCCAACGGUGGGUGACCACAAUCUCUUGGACUCCUGUGGUCCAAGAGAUCGGGACUGCUUUCUCUACAUACCUUACAUUUUCACAUUCCACUCAAUUUUUACCUACAAUCGAUCCUAAAAUGCCGCCAAAUUUUUGAUCAAUUGACAGUGGUCUCAUAGUCCGAUCCAUUUGAAAAUGGGCAAUUUGAUGAAAUCAUAAGAGUGCUGCUAUUUUCAUGCAUCUGUAUAACUAAAUUGUGUAAAUUACUCAAAUGGUCCUCAAAUUUGUACCCGAUUUACAUUUUGGUCCAUAAACUAAAUUAUUCGUUAAAAUGGUCCACCAACUCUUUAUUAAUCAGAGCUUUGGUCCUACCGUUACAUUUUCGGUUAAAUUUAGUCAUGUGAGCAUCACAUGCUACAUUUGUGGGGGUAAAUAAGACUUUUGACCUAUGUAUCACUCCUUUAUCACCACUUUAUCACAUAUGUAUCACCACUUUAUCACUUUUUGGGGAACAUAGGACUGUUAUGGACGAUUUUACCCUUACAUCUGACGGUAACAUUAACAUAAUGUAACGGUAGGAUCAAUGGAGUGAUUAAUAUAGAGUUGAUAGACCAUUUGAAUGAAUAAUUUAAUUGAGGGACCAAAAUAUAAAUCGGGUAUAAGUUUGAGGACCAUUUGAGUAAUUUACCCUAACUAAAUUAUUGCACCUCUUAAUUUUCUCACUAACAUGGUAAUUGUUAUUAUAAUAUUUUAUGAAAGCUCACUCAUUCUUUUAUACAAGCGGAAUUAAGGAUGAGGGAAAUCGAACGUGAAACUUCAGAUACAGGAAUAACAAAAAUUCCCUCAUUUUAGAUAUACAACGGCAUGAGAAAUAAUUUUUUGAAAACGUAGACAUGUUUGCAUAAUUUUAGUAAGGUUAAGAAAGUUAUGGUUAAAUCUAAGAAAAUAAAGUUGACCCCAGAUCAAUUUGUGCCAAAAAAAAAAAAUGGAAAAAUGUACCAAAUGUCCUUUUUUAGAUCAUUUAUUGUCCAAAACAAAACCGAAAAGCGCUUGACCUUAUCAUCAUCACCAUGGUAGCAAAGACCGAUAGACCAAACUCUAAAGAGAGCAAUAGUCAUAGCAGCUGAGCGACAAACCAAUCAAUCUCAUCCACGAAAAUAGAAGGGAGCUUUAGUAAUAAUAUACCCAAAAUAGGGGCUGUAAUUAUUUUAAAAAAUCCUACAUAGAAUGCACUUUAGAAACACACCCAAAAAUCAUUUACUACCUAUGAAAUUAGUAUUGAAGUUUCUAUAAAUUACAUCGCUGCCAUUGAUUAACUUAAAACAAGACCAACACAAAAUUCCCAAAAUAACCCAAAACUGUUAUAAAACUAGAAUAAUCAGUUGAUGAGAAGUACCACUGUAAUAUUGGGAGUGGAAUUAUAUUUCUCUUUGUAGUGUUUACACUGACAGAAUUUCUCCUCAGAUAGACUCCACUCUUUCUCUUCUCUCUGACUCUCACUCUUUCUCUUUCUCUCUUCCGUUCUUUCUUUCUUCACUCUUUCUUCUCUUCUCUUUGGUGUCUAUUACAAGUGAAUGAGCAAGCCUAUUUAUAGGCAAAGUAAAAGGCUUCUAAUGGAGACAUAAUGAUUUCUCCCCAACAUUAUAAUUUCAUCUUUUGACUAAUCAUCCCACUUCUAACACCAUCAUUUCUUCUUUUGACUACCAUACUUAAUACAAUCAUUUUUCUUCCAUCAUUUCUCUUUAUGUAGGCUUCACCAAUAUUAUUUACAACACUCCCCCUUGAAGACCACAUGUCCCUAGAUUGGUUGCCUCAUUAAAACCUUGCUUGAAAAAAUCCAGUGGGAAAAAACCUAAGCGAAGGAAAAAGAGUACAACUUUAUUUGGGACAUAAGGGUAAUGCACUCAUGUUGCCUCGUUAAAACCUUGCUAGGAAAAACCCGGUGGAAAAAAACCCUAGUCGAAGGAAAAAGAGUACAACGCGCAUAUGUCCUGUGUUAGAGGACUCUUGAAUGCUCCCCCUGAUUUUGCAUGCUCCAACUUGAUUUCUUGCAGAGUUGUCGUAAUCCGAUGCCAUGCACUAACUUUUGGAAUGUACAUUUCGGCAAUGAUUUAGUGAAGAGAUCUGCCAGGUUAUCGCUUGAGCGGAUUUGUCUGACUUUGAUUUCUUGACUCUUCUGGAGCUCGUGUGUAUAGAAAAACUUUGGUGAUAUGUGCUUAGUCCUGUCACCCUUGAUAUACCCUCCUGUGAUCUGAGCAAUACAAGCUGCAUUGUCCUCAUUCAGGAUUGUUGGAGUGUCUGUUGCUGAGGGUAGGGCACACGUGCUCCGGAUGUGAUGGAUCACCGACCUUAAUCAAACGCAUUCACGACUGGCUUCAUGGAGGGCAAGUAUUUCUGAGUGAUUGGAAGAUGUGGCCACUAGUGUUUGUUUCGUUGAGCGCCAUGAGAUUGCAGUUCCUCUGCAUGUAAAUACAUACCCAGUCUGUGAUCGUCCUUGAUGUGAAUCAGAGAGAUAUCCUGCAUCUGCAUAACCAACAAUACUCUGGGAGCUGGUCGAUUCACUGGAAUAGAAUAAGCCCAUGUCUGUUGUCCCACGAAGGUAUCGUAGAACAUGUUUGAUGCCGGUCCAAUGUCGCCUUGUUGGAGCAGAACUGUACCUUGCUAACAGAUUUACUGAAAAUGAUAUGUCUGGUCUGGUACAUUGUGCCAGGUACAAUAAAGCACCUAUUGCACUAAGAUAUGGUACUUCUGGACCAAGGACCAUUUCAUCAUCCCCUUUUGGACGAUAUGGGUCUUUCUUAGUGUCAAGCGACCGAACGACCAUUGGAGUGCUAAGUGGAUGGGCUUUAUCCAUGCCAAACCGUUUCAAUACUUUUUCAGUAUAAGUUGAUUGAUGCACCAAAAUUCCAUUAGCACUAUGCUCAAUCUGCAAGCCAAGACAAUAUUUUGUCUUUCCAAGGUCUUUCAUCUCAAAUUCACGUUUGAGAUAAUCAUCAGUCUUUUGAAGCUCUUCAGAAGUUCCAAUCAGGUUCAUGUCAUCGACAUAUACUGCCACUAUCGCAAAUCCAGACUCUGAUUUCUUAAUAAACACACAUGGGCAAAUAGGAUCAUUUGUGUAUCCUUCCUUCAGUAAAUACUUACUGAGACGAUUGUACCACAUUCGUCCAGAUUGUUUUAGCCCAUAUAAUGAUCUUCUCAAUUUAACUGAGAACAUGCCCCAUGGUUUAUUUCUGGCUGCUUCAGGCAGCUUGAAUCCUUCUGGAACUUUCAUGUAUAUAUCUGUAUCCAAUUCUCCAUACAGAUAUGCUGUAAUGACAUCCAUGAGUCUCAUUUCAAGUUUUUCCGAAACCGCCAAACUUAUUAAGUAACGGAAUGUAAUUGUGUCCAUUACUGGAGAGUACGUUUCCACAUAAUCAAUUCCAGGCCUUUGUGAAAAACCUUGCGCAACGAGUCGCGCUUUAUACCUUGAGAUCUCAUUUUUCUCAUUGCGCUUUCUUGUAAAUACCCACUUGUAACCUACAGGGUUCACAUUGGGUGGAGUUGGAAUAAUAUGUCCAAAAACCCUCCUUUUUUCCAAAGAAUUUAAUUCUGCCUGGAUUGCAUCUUUCCACUUGGGCCAAUCUUGCCUCUGUGUACAUUCAUUAAUAGAGCAUGGCUCAAUAUCAUCAUCUUUUAUGAUCUCAGCAGCCACUGAGAAUGCAAAUAUAUCAUCGAUGAUCAUCUCAUUUCUACUCCACAAUUCAUCAGUGGACGCAUAAUUUAUGGAGAUUUCUUGACUUUCAGGUACAGUUGCCACUCCAGGGGCACUUGUCCCACCAACGACGUUUUCCUUUUCAGGAAGUACCUGUCCCUCUUUGGGGGCAUUUGAAUUAUGAAUUGUGGGCUCUCUAUUUAUUUCAUUUGGAUUCAUUUUGUCCAUCAACUUCCUCUUUCGAGGAACUGAAUCCUUUGAGCCUAGUGGUCUGCCACGCUUUAGGCGCGCAACAGAUGAACCAUUUGCUGGCACAUUGCCUUGUCCAUUAUGGACAUCAAUCCGUGCGGGUGCAUUUGCAGCUGGGAUAUGAGAUUUCGUCACCUUUGCUGCAUCAUUAAAUGCAUCUGACAUCUGAUUUGCAAUACUUUGAAGGUGAACGAUCCUUCUCACUUCGUUUUCGCAUUGAGCCGUAUAAGGAUCGAGAUGAGACAAUGUGGAUACAUUCCAUGAUAAUUCAUGUCGUUUUUCAGGAAUGAGUUUGCCUUGUUCUUUAGACACAGAUUUUUCUCCACCUAAUGAUGGGAAGAUUGUCUCAUCAAAAUGGCAAUUCGCAAACCGUGCGGUAAAAAUAUCACCUGUCAGGGGUUCCAGAUAUCUGAUGAUAGAUGGUGACUCAAAACCAACAUAAAUUCCCAAUCUGCGUUGAGGGCCCAUCUUAGUACGUUGCGGUGGUGCAAUGGGCACAUAUACCGCACACCCAAAAAUUCUUAAAUGUGAAAUGUUUGGUCCCCAAUACGAGUUGUAUUGGAGAAUAUUGAUUGUUGGCGACGGGCCUUAAUCGCACAAGUGAUGCUGCAUGUAAAAUGACAUAUCCCCAAGCAGAAACUGGCAACUUUGUUUUCAUUAGCAAAGUGCGUGCUAUCAAUUGAAGGCGCUUAAUUAAAGCUUCUGCCAAGCCAUUUUGAGUAUGCACAUGGGGAACAGGGUGUUCAAUGUCAAUGCCUAGUGACAUGCAGUAGUCAUCAAAAGUUUGAGAUGUAAAUUCACCAGCAUUAUCGAGUCUGAUUGACUUAAUGGGAUAAUCUGGGAAUUAGGCUCGUAAUUUAAUUAUCUGAGCCAAAAGUCUAGCAAAUGCCAUAUUCCGAGUAGACAAAAGACAAACAUGUGACCAUCGAGUAGAUGCGUCCACCAAGACCAUAAAGUACCGAAAUGGUCCACAUGGGGAUGAAUAGGUCCACAAAUGUCCCCUUGAAUUCUCUGCAAAAAUGAUGGAGACUCAACAUCAACCUUCGGUUGUGAUGUUCUGAUCACCAACUUCCCUUGUAAACAAGCUUGGCAAAAGAUGUCACUUGAUAACAUAAUGUGUUUAGUCAACAAGGGAUGUCCUUUAGAGUUGGUGAUGAUUCUGCGCAUCAUGGUGGAUCCAGGAUGACCCAACCUGUCAUGCCAAAGCUUAAAAGCAUUUGAGUCAAUGGACUCUUGGUCCAUGACACUAUGUGCCUCAAUUGUCCACAUGGUUGUAUAAUACAACCCUGAUGAGAGCGCACAAAGCCUCUCCAGUAUACGCUUUUGGGUAUCACUGGAGGUAAUGCAAAGAUAUUCCAUGUUUUUCUCUUUCUUUGUUUCAACAUGGUAGCCAUUCAAACGUAUAUCUUUGAAACUCAACAGAUUCCUUCUGGAGUUAGAUGAAUACAAAGCAUCUGGAAUGGACAGUAUUGUUCCAUUUGGUAACAUAAUUUGGGCUAUUCCUGAGCCUUCAAUCAGAUCUGCAGGACCUGAUAUGGUUGUUACCUUUGCUUUUGUAAGCAUUAAUUUUGAGAAAUACUUCCGAUCUUGAAGGAUCGUAUGAGUAGUCGCACUGUCUGCGAGACAAAUAUUUUUGCCAUAACCUUUGUUUUGAGGGCAUCCAUAAUUUACAUCCAUGCCUUCAAAUAAGCACACACACACUGUAAUAAAUAAAGAAGAAAACAUUACCACUUUUAUUGGAUGAAAAAUUAAACACUUCAUCUAAUACAAAUAGUACAUUAAGGAAUUUAAUCUAAUUCGGACUCAGAAGCUUCAUUCCCUUUUUCCGUAACAAAGUCAGAAACAUCCAGAUGCGUCUUGUUUAGCUGACGCGAUAUUUCUGAUGAGCCAUCUGUGGCUGGUGGAGCAUGAUCAAUAUAAUUUAUCUCCACUUUCCUGUUCUUAAGUGAAGCUUGAUAGAGAUCCGCCAAAUGCUUGGGCGUAUGACAUGCACGCACCCAAUGUCCCUUUGCACCACAUCUGUGACAAGUGCUUUCAACAUUUCUAGGCACAUGGCUCAUCUGUGCCUUUCCCUUAUUACGGGAUGUAUUUUUGCCAUUCGUGGAUGGACCGCUCCUUGGACCGAAACCCUCUGAACGAGCACCACGAUCUUUUCUGCUUCCUUGCCAGCGGCCACGCUUGCCCCCUCGCCCACGUUUGUGGAUACUACCACGAGAUAAAGUGGCAUUCACUUCCUGAGAUGCAGUAUUUAUUUCAGGAAGUGGUGCUGAGCCUGUUGGGCGAGAUUGGUGAUUCUUUAAUAAGAGCUCAUUAUUCUGCUCAGCUAACAAUAGGCAAGAUACAAGUUCCGAGUACUUCUUGAAAUCGCUAUGUCUGUAUUGCUGCUGAAGGAGGACAUUUGAAGCAUGAAAAGUGCUCAGAGUUUUUUCGAGCAUAUCCUCCUCAGAUAUAUUUUCCCCACAUAGCCUCAUUAAUGAGGUAAUUCUGUGCAUAACAGAGUUAUACUCGGACACUGACUUGAAAUCUUGAAAUCUCAAGUGAGUCCACUCGUAUCUAGCUCUUGGGAGAGUCACCAUCCUCUGGUGAUCGUAUCUUUCACCUAGAGCUUUCCAUAGAACCAACGGUUCAUCAACCACCAUAUAUUCGCUCUUCAGCGCUUCAUGGAUGUGGCGGCGAAGAAAGAUCAUGGCCUUCGCAUUCUCUUCAGGCGAAGCAUCAUUCUCAUCUACAAUUGUUUGUCCGAGGCCAUUGGCUCGUAGAUGAAUUUUGGCAUCUAGGACCCAUGAUAAAUAGUUGUCCCCGGAAAGGUCCAAGGCAGCAAACUCUAGUUUUGCCAAAUUUGCCAUCCGAAACUUUAGGCUCGAGAUCUGGGACAUUAAGCCACUUAUUAAUAGGAAUUUCAGGCCCUCAUUAUUCAGGUAUAUUAAUUGAUGAUAAAAAUAAAGUGCUAUGAAUUUGCUGGUAUGGACGAUAAACCCGCACCAUACCUUAAAUAAAAUUAAAUGUGCGGUAAAGUAAAUUCAUAAAGUAAAUUGCUUGCUGUAUGGACGUUAAUUCCGCACCAUACUUUAAAUAAAAGGAAAUAUAAAGUAUGAGGGUUAAUUCCACAUCAUACUUUUAAUAAAAGUAAAUGUGCAGUAAAGUAAAUUCAUAAAGUAUGAGGGUUAAUUCCACAUCAUACUUUUAAUAAAAGUAAAUGUACAGUAAAGUAAAUUCAUAAAGUAUGAGGGUUAAUUCCACAUCAUACUUUUAAUAAAAGUAAAUGUGCAGUAAAGUAAAUUCAUAAAGUAUGAGGGUUAAUUCCACAUCAUACUUUAAGUAAAAGUAAAUGUGCUUGUAUGGGCACUAAUUCUGCUCCAUACUUUUAAAUAAAAGUAAAGGCAUGGACGAUAAACCAGCGCCACCCUUUUAAAUAAAUAUUGCCGUAUGGGUAAUAAACCUACUCCAUACUAUAAAUAAAAUAAAUGUGGGGAUAAAAACCUCCACCUAAUAAAAUAAGAAAAAUGUUAGUAUUAAUAACGGUCUCCCACUGAUAAUAUGUUUAGUAUUACCAAGGGUCCAUUUUUGUUAGUAGUUAGUAAUAGAAAAGUGAAUAGAUAUAGCAUAUUAUAUUACCAUCAACUUUUCAUAUAUAUAUAUAUAUAUAUAUUAUACAAUGGUUAGUAGUAUAAAUAAUAGUGUAGCACAAAAAUUAUACCUGAGAGCUUCUCGUGCUGAUAACGUGUUAUAAAACUAGAAUAAUCAGUUGAUGAGAAGUACCACUGUAAUAUUGGGAGUGGAAUUAUAUUUCUCUUUGUAGUGUUUACACUGACAGAAUUUCUCCUCAGAUAGACUCCACUCUUUCUCUUCUCUCUGACUCUCACUCUUUCUCUUUCUCUCUUCCGUUCUUUCUUUCUUCACUCUUUCUUCUCUUCUCUUUGGUGUCUAUUACAAGUGAAUGAGUAAGCCUAUUUAUAGGCAAAGUAAAAGGCUUCUAAUGGAGACAUAAUGAUUUCUCCCCAACAUUAUAAUUUCAUCUUUUGACUAAUCAUCCUACUUCUAACACCAUCAUUUCUUCUUUUGACUACCAUACUUAAUACAAUCAUUUUUCUUCCAUCAUUUCUCUUUAUGUGGGCUUCACCAAUAUUAUUUACAACAAAAACAAGCCCAGCGAGCACAUAUUAGAUUUUUUUUUAAAAAACCCAAACAUAAAAUAUAAAAAACACGAAAACCAAGGGUCUGUCCCCACGACCCUUCAUUCUCCAUCAAACCUCCGCAAACCAUAUCAUAGAAGUACAUUGUUAAUACCAUGUCAUAAAAGUAUAUUGUUAAUACCAUGUCAUAAAAGUGCAUUGUUAAUACCAUGCUAUAGAAGUAUAUUGUUAAUACAAUUUCAUAGAAAAACAUUCUUAAUACAAUUUCGUAGAAAAACAUUGUAAAUACCAUUUCAUAUAAAAAAUCCAAAAAACCCUAACAAGAGAUUCGAUAUCCUUUGCUGCCACCUCCAAUUGUCCAUAGUUUCACCAGAUACAAUCGCAAAGGCAAAAGGAAAUACAUUUACAAGAAAAAAAAAAGUACACUGUUAAUACUAUGUCACAGAAGUAUAUUGUUAAUACUAUGUCAUAGAACUAUUUUCCUAGUAAAAAUCACAUUUUGCAUAUCAUAAAAUUCAAGUGCACAGCCAUAUAUAGAGCAAAAUAUAGAGCGUGCUUUGUUACUGAAAAUCUGUUAAUACUAUGCCAUAGAAGUACACUGUUAAUACUAUGUUAUAUAAAUCAACUCAGUUGUAGGGUAUGAACAGUAUAACAGCUGUUCAUACCACUUACUGGAAGUUAACAACUGCUCAUACGACUUACAGAUAACAAAUUGUAUACAACAAAUCAACUUACCAGCUUGUUGAAAUUUACAAAAGUCAUAUAUUAGACCCACAACCACCCAAAAAGCCAAAAUUGACUUGUUGCAAAUGUCAUAUCAAAGCACAAAAAGAUGACCACAUGCGAGUUGCAAAUCAUAAUAAAUGACACAACUGAAAACGAAAUGCUAUACCUGGAGGAAGGGAUUGCUUCAACUUGUCGGCCUUCUCCGAAUCAAACAUGCAAAGAGUGUAAAGGUACUUGGAGCAUCAAACCUUAAACUUGACAGCAUCUUUGCUCCUCUUGAUUUUGACAGAGUGUGCAUCCUUCCUUCUUGCAGUUAGAAGGAAAUCCUUAAUCUCGUGGAUUUGCUUCGGCUGUUGGUACAGAGACAGAGUACAUACAUUAACAUUCUCAAAUUUAAAAUCAACAAGGCUUGUAUGUUCACAUGUUUUAACAUCUACCAUCCAUCACUUAACACAGCUAUACCUGAUUAUUAGUGUGUCAAUUACUUCUUCAAGAUACAAGAACAAUGGGUGGGACACCAGGAAAAAACAUUAUAGUAUUAUACAAACCAUGGCCAGACAUGCUUCAAAUGAAAUACACAGGCAACUGUUCAUUUUCUAGAAUCAUAACUGUAUGAACCACUGCUUUUGUAUUCAGCUCCAAAACACAAAAUCAUUGAGACCCAUUCUAAAUUGGAACACAAAAUAUUGAGGACCAUUCAUACAAUAAAACUAGAAAAUACUGAAAUGAGCAAUCAACAUAAGAAUAAACGGUGAAAAUAUGUACAUCAGAGGCGUCGCUGAUGAGCUCACAAAGAAAGAUCUCCUUGCUGCUGUAAAAGGUGUUGAUGAUCAAACUCAGAAGCUAGUUGCUCUCAUGGAUCAGGACCUGAGUCCACCUUUUGAGUUGUAAAAUGACUUUGCCGAGUUUGGCAUAUCCCGCUCUUCAAAGAAGAGCUUCUUCAAUGGCGGCUGCAUAAAGGAGGAGGAAGCGGCAGUCCUUUUGGCUAUGGAAAAAUCAUCGUCGUCAGCAUCUGCGAACAAGAGAUCCGGGUUGAAAAUCGGGAACACAUGAUGGAUUUGGCCAUUUCGGAAUAUAUUGUCAGUGGAAAUCGUCUUCAUCUUCUUUCUUCUCGCAAUCACCACCGGCGUCGGUGUUCUGAACACCUUCGUCCGGUAAUUGACACCUCAAAUCUACAGAGUAGCCACAUAACUCAAUGAGCUUAACCAUUAGCUCUGUUCAUAUUGAAAAAAAUAGAAAUUAGCAUCAAAUUCAACGAAGAAACUGAAACUAAGUAGAAAUUCAAGUAAAUUUAGCAAAAAUCAAAAGGAAAAUAACGAAUUGAAGCAGAUGGAACAAACCUGCAAAGGAAAUAAAGGCAUCGGCUGUGAGAACACGUGUGAGGCCACUUAUGUAACGGAGAUUGUCGUCGGUCAUGUGUUGGUCCAUGGGUUUGAGACUGUUUGGUUUACUUUGAAGGCAUAGAGAGGGAAGAAGGGAGAGAACAGAGCAGAUAUGGUGGUUUGAAGCAGGAGAGGGGCUUGAGGCUUCAAACCUAAGGGAGGCUUUGUUGAUGCUCAAAAUGGCCCGGCCAAUAUUGAGUCCAACUUAGUGAUUAGAUGUGCUGAGUCUUCAGCAGAGAAGAAGGCUGAGGCCCUUGGUGAAAUGGGUUGGUGAGAGACCUGUAGAAGGUAAAAGAGGAGAAGCAAUCGUUAAGCUUCGGACACCGGUGUGGUGCCGGCCGAAGGCUCUCCGAUGCCUAAGUCAGUUACAAGUAGUAAUUCUGGCAGAGUAACAGUAAAAGUGGGAGAAUAGUCGUUCUUUGUACCUGGGUACUGUUCCCUAUUUAUAGGGAGGUGAAAGUAGGAGUUUUGCACAAAGUUCCAAUGUGGGACUUUGUGCAAGCCAUUGUGGUGGCGACACGUGUCCUGGAGAUUAGGUUUGGCAGCUGAGAGCUUCGGCAGGUGUCUGGCACCUCGGAAGUGUGUCUUCCUUCGGCAUGGGAGAAGGCGUGGCUGCCUUGGUGCUAGUCGCUUUGAUGCUGGGUCUGCUCGGUUCAUUAUGGUGUAAACAGUAGUCCCCCAAGUUCGCGGUCGAGAAGUAACUUCUGGGUUGGGAACUUGUGAGCUUUUGUAAUUGUAACCGAGCAUUCCAGCUUCAUUGGGAGCCGCAGGGCACUCCCUAGUCCCCCAAGUUGGCAAGCUAGGAGUUGCGUCAACACAUAGUAGCUGGGUACCUGGGUACUUGGGCAUGUUGCAGAUAGGGUGGGAGCUGGGUCCCUAGGGGAGCCAGACCUUCGAGGGAGCCGGGUACUUUGAAAAUUUUGGAGACUCCAAUUCUUUCAUGGCUCCUGCCGUUCGGCAAGGGUAUGGCUCCUUUUUUUUUUUUUUUUUUUUUUUUUUUGGGAAAUGGCUGGGGCCAUUAAGGGAUUUUUGGACCUCCUCACAAAGCCUCCACGGGCCUUGCCGUUCGGCAAGGGUCUAGCAAAAUAAUAUUUUUUUGUUUUGAANNNNNNNNNNNNNNNNNNNNNNNNNNNNNNNNNNNNNNNNNNNNNNNNNNNNNNNNNNNNNNNNNNNNNNNNNNNNNNNNNNNNNNNNNNNNNNNNNNNNNNNNNNNNNNNNNNNNNNNNNNNNNNNNNNNNNNNNNNNNNNNNNNNNNNNNNNNNNNNNNNNNNNNNNNNNNNNNNNNNNNNNNNNNNNNNNNNNNNNNNNNNNNNNNNNNNNNNNNNNNNNNNNNNNNNNNNNNNNNNNNNNNNNNNNNNNNNNNNNNNNNNNNNNNNNNNNNNNNNNNNNNNNNNNNNNNNNNNNNNNNNNNNNNNNNNNNNNNNNNNNNNNNNNNNNNNNNNNNNNNNNNNNNNNNNNNNNNNNNNNNNNNNNNNNNNNNNNNNNNNNNNNNNNNNNNNNNNNNNNNNNNNNNNNNNNNNNNNNNNNNNNNNNNNNNNNNNNNNNNNNNNNNNNNNNNNNNNNNNNNNNNNNNNNNNNNNNNNNNNNNNNNNNNNNNNNNNNNNNNNNNNNNNNNNNNNNNNNNNNNNNNNNNNNNNNNNNNNNNNNNNNNNNNNNNNNNNNNNNNNNNNNNNNNNNNNNNNNNNNNNNNNNNNNNNNNNNNNNNNNNNNNNNNNNNNNNNNNNNNNNNNNNNNNNNNNNNNNNNNNNNNNNNNNNNNNNNNNNNNNNNNNNNNNNNNNNNNNNNNNNNNNNNNNNNNNNNNNNNNNNNNNNNNNNNNNNNNNNNNNNNNNNNNNNNNNNNNNNNNNNNNNNNNNNNNNNNNNNNNNNNNNNNNNNNNNNNNNNNNNNNNNNNNNNNNNNNNNNNNNNNNNNNNNNNNNNNNNNNNNNNNNNNNNNNNNNNNNNNNNNNNNNNNNNNNNNNNNNNNNNNNNNNNNNNNNNNNNNNNNNNNNNNNNNNNNNNNNNNNNNNNNNNNNNUGCCGUUCGGCAAGGGUGUCUUGAGCAGGUUUUUAUUUGGACCGUUGUGUUGAUCAAAUUUGGGUCUUGGCCUUGGACAAUUUUGGGCCCUAGCCCUGUAAUAAGAUUGGGCUUAUGAAAUAGGCUAGGACACUUGAAAUUUUGGGGCUCCAUUUUGUUUUUGCACGGGCCUUGCCGUUCGGCAAGGUCCCUAAAUUUCUCACAAUUGUUUUUGUUUCUUGCUUGUAUAUUUGAAAAUUGAAUUUCAAAUUGUGUGUAGGUACAAGGGAUUUAGGAGGGAAUAUGAAAGGGUGCUAGGGUUUGCCCGUGAAACGAGGCGUGGUACCCUUAGUUGGCUAUUUAAAGGAACUUGGGUGGUGAAGGCAUCACACUUGGCUUGAGUUGAGAAAAAUUGUGAGAAUUUGAGGAGGAGGAGAAGAGAUUUCCGGCGAAGGUUUUGUGGUGGUGCUUGUGGCUGAGGUGAUUUCCGGCGACUUGUACGUGGUGGUACGAACAAGGUUAGACCUUAUUUCGCUUGAACUUUUGAAUUGAAAUGUCUUGUUUUGCAUGAACAUGUUGAAGGUUAGGAAGAACACAUUGAACAUGAGCAUGAACAUGAUGAACAUGUUGAACAUAUGUAUGAACAUGUAGAAUUCUUGCCUGGUAUGAAGAUUUGGCAAAUUCUUGUUGUUGUGGUUCGAUCCUCUCUGCAUGUGCAUUUAGUUCCUUUUUCUUGUUUUUCCAUAUUUGUAGAUGUCUGAAAGUUCUGAUAGGGAAAGUCUUGACCCCCCUGCCUUCGGCGGGGAUGAUACUGAGAGUCAAGAGCCGAGUCAAUAUAUAUGUUCUGAGAGGAAGUUCAGAGACAGAGGGUAUGGUGGAAGGAACCAUAGAAAGUNNNNNNNNNNNNNNNNNNNNNNNNNNNNNNNNNNNNNNNNNNNNNNNNNNNNNNNNNNNNNNNNNNNNNNNNNNNNNNNNNNNNNNNNNNNNNNNNNNNNAUAGAGUUAGAGGCUGUAGCAAAUCGGGUUCUAGCCUUGCCUCAGACGCAAGAAGUGGGUUCGAGCAACCAGGCAUCACCAUCAGGGUCUGUGGGUAUAGCCGUGGCGUCGGUGUCAGAGGGAUUAGACAUCCGGGUUGGUGUCCCGUUGCCGAGGCGGAAUACACUUACAGAAGCGAAAUUGGCCCAGCUACGAACAGAUUUUUGUGUGCCAGCCUAUGUGGGUUUGAGGUUACCCACUGAGGCUGAUGUAGUCAGAUAUCCCUCGGAUGGCUCCGUGAUGAUUUUUACAGAUAUGUAUCGGCACGGCUUCAGACUACCGUUUCAUCCGUGGGUUCAGAUGAUGUUGGCCAAGUUGGGGUAUGCACCGGGGCAGUAUAAUCCCAACUUUUGGAUUCUUCUUCAUGGGGUGUAUAUCGCCUGGUGGUUGGCUGGGUUAGGGGAGCCAACGUUUGAGCAGUUCAUGUACCUGUACUCCAUUUCGAAGCAACAAGGGAAUUUUGGCUGGGUACAGGCCAAUUGCCGAAAGGCGAAGGAGAGGGGCUACUUUAUUGGACACAAGCCCACAACGCAAAAGUCCUGGAGGAACAGGUGGUGUUUGGCCUAUGGGGACUGGGAAUGUCCUCCAGGGAAGAGCGUUGUCCAGCACAUUCCUACCCACUUCCAGUCUAUAGGUCCUUGCCCCAUCCCUUAAGAUUGUCCAAUGCCUGAUUGUGUUGUUUUGGCUCCUAUUUUUGGUUCUGUACUUCCUCUGUGCCAGUGUAAAUGGCUAAGUAGUUUCGAACUCUUGAUGCAGGUUCAGUGAAGUGGGGCCCUAUCUCCAAGGAGCAAGAAGACGAAGUUGAGUGGGUGAGGGCGCAGCUAUCAGAGACUGAGCGUGAGUGCGGGAACCUAGUCACGCAGAAGAAUUUGUUUGAGUCCGGACUGCUGCAAGGAAGUAAGUACCUGGGUUAUCUUUUUGUUGUGUGCUGAGCCUUUGUAAGUUUGAGUAAUAGAAUUGCUUUGUUUGUUUUGACAGUGGCUGGCAUCAUAAGGGGGAGCACGAAGGUGGCCGUAGACAUUGAUGAGGCCGAGAUGCAGAAGCGGCUGAGGGAGUCUCAGGCCAAGAAAGCUGAGAAAAGUGCUGGAAAACGACCCAGGGAUGAUGAUGAGGGUCGGGUCGAGGACGUGCUGGGGAAGAGGAAGGCUUUGGAGGAGGCUCAUUAGCAUGUGAUGGGGGCAGGGCCGAGGCUUCCGCCCUUUGAUCUGCAGGCACCGCCGAAGCUACCUUUCGGCAUGGAGGAUGUGUUCGCUGAAGGGGUAGAGAAGGUAGACUUCGGCAGGCUACGCCAGCAGAAGAAGGAGGUCAACCUGGCUAUGCACCGGCAGGAGGUGCCCUUAGUGAACGUCUUCCUGGAAGGCGUGAAGAGCGACCCUGAGGCCUUGGCGAGGACUCCAGCUUCUUCCUUCAUUGACCGGGCCCAAAAGACGAUCCUCACCUCUGCCUAUGUAAGUGUUUAGGCCCUUUUUGAAUGUACCUGUGUUGGAUUAUUUUUGUGUGGAUUGACUAACAUGGUUUUGGUUUUGCAGGCCUUUGGCGAGAUGUACGUCAGCAUGGCCAAGGCUGACAAGGAGAUCCAGAGGUUGAAGAGGCGGGAUGAGCUAGCCAAGAGCAAAAUGGCGGAGGCGCAGGAGGCCAUCCGAGAGAAGAACACCUUGCUGGUUCAAAAGGCGGCCCUGGCCAAGGAGGUGGAGGAGCUGAAGAGAUCUAGGGCCGAGGAGGUGGCUGCUGCCCGAGCCGAGGCGAUUGAGUCCUUCCGAUCCUCAGAGGAGCUGAAGAGCUAUAUCAUGGACCGACUGGUUGAUGAGCAGCUUCGCUGGAUUACAAAGAUCCUCCACACAACUAGCGGAUUCUAGNNNNNNNNNNNNNNNNNNNNNNNNNNNNNNNNNNNNNNNNNNNNNNNNNNNNNNNNNNNNNNNNNNNNNNNNNNNNNNNNNNNNNNNNNNNNNNNNNNNNCUGCUGAUGCUAGCGCCCCGACACCAGAGGCUGAGCCGGCUACUGAGGAUGCCCCUUCGACCGAGUCCUGAAGGCGUUGCUUCGUGAUGUGUAUAGCUAUUUUGUACUCUAGUGAAUGUGUUGGAACACUUGUUUGUUUUGUUUAUUUUGGUUAUGUAUGAAUUGUCCUUGCCUGGAGCAAGGCUGUUUUUAUUUAUGAUAUGAACUUAGCUUGAUAUCAAUUGUGUUAAAAAUGAUAACAAUGUGAGUUCAUGAGAAUGAGCCUGAGUCAGGCAUUUCAUUGAAAUAGAUGCCGAAAGGCAAAAGGCACAAGUGGUCUAGGGUCUAGAUACCUUACGUCUAACUUACAGUAAAUAAUCAAGACCAAAGUAUUGUCCUAGGGUCUAGAUAUGUUUACUUGUAAUAGUACUUGAGGUGGUCAGCAUUCCAGGGGUGAGGCAGUGUCUUGCCUGUGGAAUCGCGAAGCUGAUAAGAGCCAGGACGGCAGAUUUUGAUAAUCUCGUAAAGACCUUCCCAUGUAGGACCGAGGGUACCUUCGUUAGGAUUUUUGGUAGCCAAGGAAACCUUGCGCAUGACCCAGUCCCCCAUUUUGAAAGCACGGGGCUUGACUCGGGAGUCAUAGUAUUUGGCGAUGCCUUGCUUGUACGCGGCAUUGCGCAUGCUCGAUUGGUCCCGGAGUUCGUCAAUAAAGUCGAGGUUGAGGGCCAACUGCUCGUCAUUGGCCGUGGCAUCGUAAGUGGAGGUUCGGUAUGUGGGCUGGCCAAUCUCUACUGGAGCCACGGCCUCGGUUCCAAAUGAUAGGGAGAACGGCGUUUCACCCGUGGAUGUGCGGAAGGUGGUGCGGUAGGACCAGAGUACUUCUGGGAGUAGUUCUGGCCAGCAGCCCUUGGCUUUGUCAAGUUUUGUCUUGAGGGUCUUCUUGAUGAUUUUGUUCACGGCUUCGACCUGGCCAUUGGACUGUGGAUGGGCUGAGGAGGCGAAACACAGACGAAUCUUGAGGUUGGAACAAAAUUGUUUGAAUUUGGCGUUGUCAAAUUGCCGGCCAUUGUCGGUGACGAUGGAGUUGGGGAUGCCGAAGCGACAUACAAUGUUUUGCCACACAAAGGAUUCGAUGCGAGCCGCAGUGAUGGUGGCCAAGGCCUCGGCCUCAGCCCACUUGGUGAAGUAGUCCACGGCCACAACUGCAUACUUGACUUGGCCCUUGCCCUCUGGCAUCGGUCCAAUGAGAUCCAGUCCCCAUUGGGCAAAUGGCCAAGGGCUGACCAUUGCAGUCAACGGUUCAGCUGGGAGUUGUGGGAUGUUGGCGAAUCGCUGACACUUGUCGCAUUUCUGGGUGAAGGCCUGGGCGUCCGUGUGGAGUGAAGGCCAGAAGUAUCCUUGGCGGAUUGCCUUAUGGGAUAGCGAGCGUGCGCCCGAGUGGUUGCCGCAGAUGCCUUCAUGGAUUUCUCGGAGGACAUAGUGACCCUCCUCUGGAGUCAGGCAUCGGAGGUAUGGAAGACUGAAACCCCGCUUGUAUAAGGAGCCGUUAAUGAUCAGGUAACGGGCAGAGCGAUGGCGUACGCGUCGUGCUUCUGCCGGAUUAGCCGGUAGUGUUUGGUUCUGUAAGAACUGGAGGAUGGGGUCCAUCCAUGUGGGGCUGUGAUCAAUAGUGCAGAUGAGUGGGGCUUGUGUGCUGGGCUGGGCCAAAAACUCGAUGUGGAUGUGGCGACCCAGUCCCUGCUCCAAGGCUGAUGCCAACCUGGCUAGUGCAUUGGCAUGGCUAUUCUCGGAGCGCGGCACUUGCUUGAGAGAGUGGGCGUGGAAGGUCGCCAGCAGGUGCCGAGCGUGCUGGAGGUAGGCCGUCAUAGAGGGAUCCUUAGCCGUGAAGUCCUGGUUGACCUGGUGGACCACGAGUUGUGAAUCGCUAAAUAUCUGAAUUUGCCUGGCAUCCAUCUCUUUGGCUAAUCGAAGACCAGCUAUGAGUGCUUCGUAUUCGGCCUCAUUGUUGGAGGCUUGGAAUUUGAAGCGAAGGGCGUACUCGAGGGCAACCUUGUCUGGGGAGAUGAGAACGAGGCCGGCCCCACAGCCCUGGGCAUUAGAAGAGCCGUCUACGAAUAAGGUCCACAGGGGCUGGGUUAGGUCGAGAUUGCCUUCGGUGGGGGUUUGGUCCUGGCUUGAAGGGGGAUUGGGUUCGGUUAUGAGCUGGGUAGCUGCGGAAGCUUGGGGAUCCGUGAAUUCGGAUAGGAAGUCAGCAACGGCCUGGCCCCUCAUAGCCGGGCGGGGUUUGUAAUGAAUAUCAAACUCGCCCAGUUCAAUGGCCCAUUUGACCAGCCUCCCAGAGGUUUCUGGGUUCUGCAACACCUGUCGGAGUGGUUGGUUGGUUAAGACAUGGAUGGUGUGAGCUUGGAAAUAUGGUCGAAGGCGUCUUGCCGAGACGACCAGGGCGAACGCCAAUUUUUCGAUGUCUGGGUACCGAACUUCGGCAUCUUGCAAUGCUUUACUAACAUAAUGCACUGGGUGCUCCGCGUUAUCUUUUGAUCGGACGAGCACAGAGCUAACAGCCGAAGCUGAGAUGGAGAGAUAAAUCACGAGGAUGUCUCCGUGCUCAGGGGUUGACAAUAAAGGGGCCCGGCCCAUAUACUUCUUGAGCUCGCUGAAAGCCGUGUCGCAUUCAGCAGUCCAAGUGAUGUUUCUUUUGGUGCCUUUAAGGGCCUUGAAGAAUGGGGCGCAGCGGUCGGUGGCUUUGGAGAUAAAUCUGGUCAGGGCUGCGACACGCCCUGUAAGGCUUUGGAUAUCCUUGACCGUCUUAGGUAUUGUCAUAUCUAAGAUGGCCUGGAUCUUUUCUGGAUUGGCCUCAAUGCCCCUCUGGCUGAUCAUGAAGCCAAGGAAUUUUCCGGAAGCCGCCCCGAAAGCACAUUUGGUGGGGUUAAGCCUCAUUUUGUAUUGCUUCAGGAUGGUGAACAUGGCAGAGAGGUUGGGGAUGUGCUGGUCAGCCGUGCGACUCUUGACUAGCAUGUCAUCGACAUAGACCUCCAUGGUAUUGCCAAUCAGUGGGGCGAAGAGCUGAUUCACCAGACGCUGAUAAGUAGCCCCGGCGUUUUUGAGGCCAAAGGGCAUCACCUUAUAGCAGUAGAGGCCGCGGUCCGUAAUGAAAGAGGUGUGGGCCUGAUCUUCGGGGUGCAUGAAGAUCUGGUUGUAACCUGAAUAAGCAUCCAUGAAGCUAAGGAGGGCGUGGCCGGCUGUGGCGUCGACUAGCUGGUCAAUACGGGGUAGCGGGAAGCUGUCCUUUGGGCAAGCCCGAUUAAGGUUGGUGUAGUCGACACACAUGCGCCAGCCCUUUCUUGGCUUGCGGACCAUCACGACAUUAGCCAGCCAUGUAGGAUAGUCAACCUCCCUGAUGAAUCCGAUGCUACUCAAUCGUUCCACCUCCGCUCUCAUGGCCUCAUAGCGCUCGGGAUCAUAAGCGCGACGCUUCUGUCGGACUGGCCUGACGGCAGGAUUGACGCUAAGCCUAUGAGAUAUGAUGUCUGGUGAUAUGCCAGGCAUGUCAUUGUAGGACCAAGCGAAGACUUCGGAGUUGAGGCGGAGGAAGGCGACCAGGUCAGAGCGAAGCUCUGGCGAGAUGGAGGUGCCGAUCCGGACUUGUCGAUCCGGGAUAUCGUCAUGGAGGGUAACCAGCUCCAGGUCCUCCAUAGGUUCGGCCUGCGGUGCGAUGGACUCCUCCCUUGGGUCUUCAGGUGGGUCUGUGCCAGCUUGAGGAGGGGCGGGAGCCGUGGUUACCGAAAGGGCCUCGCUCCUAGGUUGGCGAUUGGUGGAUUUUACUGCUGAAGCAUAGCAGCUUCAGGCCCCGAGUUGGUCGCCGCGCACCGUGCCUGGGCCAUUAGGAGUGGGAAACUUCAACAGCAGCAUAUGCGUGGAAAUAAAAGCUCUCAUUUGGGCCAGGGCUGGGCGGCCGAGGAUGACGUUGUAGGCUGUGGGGCAAUCGACGAUAAGAAAGGGGGUAGUGAUCGUCGUCUGCUGGGGUGCGGCCCCAAUUGAGAUAGGGAGAUGAAUGCUACCGAUGGGCUGGACCACAUCGCCCGAGAAGCUCACAAGGGGUGUGAUGCUUCGGUCGAGUAGGUGAGGCGGGACCUGGAGUUCAUUGAAGCACUCGGCAAACAUCACACUGACCGAGCUGCCAGUGUCCACCAGGAUACGCCCAACGUCGAAGUUAGAAAUGUCAGCCCGGUCGUCAUGGGGGAGGAUAACACCACGCUCCUCUUCCUCGCAGAAGGUAAUGGGGGCCCAGCCAGUCCUGUGGGUCUUUGGCAAUCGUCCCUGCUCGGUGGUGAAGACCUGGUGCGCAUAGGUGAAGCGGACAUAAUGUUUGAUGGAAUUGUUGGAGGUGCCAGCCAGGGUAGGACCUCCGCUGAUGGUGGAGAUCAUGUUGAUUUGUCGUUGGUGAGGGUUAGGCGGGGCUGGUAUGUUGCGCACAUAGUUGUCCAGCUUACCCUCCCUGAUGAGCCCUUCAAUUAUGUUGCGCAACGCAACACAAGACUCGGUGUCAUGGCCGCUGAAUUGAUGAAAGCGGCAGAAGACCCCCGUGUUUGGCAUUGGCUUGUUGGAUGGUCUCCGGGGGGGUGGCUUGGGGAUGAUGGGGGCUUCACGCACCAGGACGUUCUCAUAGGUGGUGUUGAGGGUGGUAAAUACCUCGAACCUGGGCCUGGGUGUGAAUGGAAGUGGGGCCCGAUCAGCAGGCCUAGGAGGGUUGCCUCCGCUAGAGUGGUGGUGGUUGCCAUGUCUGCCCCGUUUGUUAUUACCGAAGGGAUGCUGGUAGCUAUCCUUCCGCUUAUGUUGUUGGUUGUCCUGAGUACUCGGGGCAGGGGUAGAAUGCUGAGGUGGGGCUGGGGCUGGUGCUGAAGCAGGUGGAGGAUCAGCGAAAGCGUUGCGCAUCAGGUUAGCUGGGCCACGCUUGGUAUUGAAGUAUUCGGCCUUAGCAUGGACUGCUGCCUGCUUCAUCAGCUCUGCAUAUGUGUUCCAACUGUUGCUAUGGACCAGGUAGCGGAAGUUGGACUCGCGGAGGCCGCUCUUAAAAGCGCCGAAGGCAGCGCGAUCGUCAGUGUCUGGGCAGCGGGAGUAUUCAUGACUGAAACGGGCUGCAUAUUCCCGAAAGGGUUCGUCCUCAGCCUGCCUAAGCAUAUACAAGUCGUCGGCAGAAUAUAGGCGAUCAGUCUGGAUCAUAAAAUGGUCCAGGAACGUCUGCUUGAGACUAUCGAAGGAGUUGAUGGUGCAGGGGUGGAGCCUGUAGAACCAAUUCAGGGCCGCGCCGCUGAGGGUGGAAGGGAAAAGGAGGCACAUGCCUUCAUCAGUGAGGCCUUUGCACCCAAGGGCAGACUGGAAGGAGUGGAUGUGGGUGAUAGGGUCCUCCGUGCCAGUGUAGAAAGCGAUGCGGAGUGGCUGGAUAUCUUUCUCCUGGUGGUAGUGGAGGAUGCGUUCGGUAAAGGGCCCGGGUCGUGGUUUUGCCCAGAGGGGUUGAUGGCUGCGAUGUUGUUCGCUUUCCAGGCGCCGGACCUUUUCGAAGAGAAGCCUCAUGGCCGGGUCGGCAUGAGGAAGAGUUUCAGGCGCCAAAGGCCUAGGGGCGGGGCAGACAGGGACUGGGGAUUGUUCCCAAUUUUCCAGCGCCCCGGUGUGGUAAUUUGGCUGGGUCUCCGAAUUAUAAAAGUCCCAAGUAUCCGAGUCCCCGACACCUUCCUCGUCGGGUAUGCGGACGGGGGCUGGCGAGAGGCCCAGGUGUGUCACCCGUGGGUCUUCGAGGUUGACAGGGAUAGGGAUCGGCCUUGGCUGACGGUCCGAGAGGCGAUCCCUGCAAUCUUGGUAGAUCCUGACUGGUUCAUGGGGCCGGUCCCUCGGUGGGGGAACGCAAAGGGGUCGCGACUGGGUUAUCUCCGGAUGAAGGUGGUCUUUACCUUUGCGGAGCCUAGCUUGGGCCGAGGCACUGUGGCUGGAAUGUACUGGCUGGUUCGGCUGAGUAAGCCCAACGUUCUGGGUGAGGUCUUGCUGGGCAUCCUGGGUGUGAGUCCUUUCCCAGUUCCGCUUUAAAACACGGUAGUCAUGUUCUAGCUCAACGUUCCUGCAAUGAAGGUGCUCGUAUUUUUCCGACAUUUUAGUGACACUGUCGCAGAGGCGCUCCAUUUCUGCCUGGAGAAUGGCAUCUUCCGAAGAUUUUCUUCUAGAAGUACCAUCGCGGGGGGUAUGAUGCUGGGUAUCGCGGCUAUCCUCGGUCGGCAUAGCAGAAUGUGGGGUGAAGAAGAGGCGACGGGGCCUGAGGGGUGAAGGAGCCAGCUGGGCUGAUAGAGAAAGAGGGGAUUCAAGUGUCGAUUUCCCACAGACGGCGCCAAACUGUUGAUGCUCAAAAUGGCCCGGCCAAUAUUGAGUCCAACUUAGUGAUUAGAUGUGCUGAGUCUUCAGCAGAGAAGAAGGCUGAGGCCCUUGGUGAAAUGGGUUGGUGAGAGACCUGUAGAAGGUAAAAGAGGAGAAGCAAUCGUUAAGCUUCGGACACCGGUGUGGUGCCGGCCGAAGGCUCUCCGAUGCCUAAGUCAGUUACAAGUAGUAAUUCUGGCAGAGUAACAGUAAAAGUGGGAGAAUAGUCGUUCUUUGUACCUGGGUACUGUUCCCUAUUUAUAGGGAGGUGAAAGUAGGAGUUUUGCACAAAGUUCCAAUAUGGGACUUUGUGCAAGCCAUUGUGGUGGCGACACGUGUCCUGGAGAUUAGGUUUGGCAGCUGAGAGCUUCGGCAGGUGUCUGGCACCUCGGAAGUGUGUCUUCCUUCGGCAUGGGAGAAGGCGUGGCUGCCUUGGUGCUAGUCGCUUUGAUGCUGGGUCUGCUCGGUUCAUUAUGGUGUAAACAGGCUUCAAACGAGAUCCAAAACUAAUUUAAUGCUAAAAAGGGUAAUAAAGAUAUUUCAUCUUAUUAAUUAAAUUAAAAAAUAUACAAUUGUUGAUUUUUGGGUUUAUUUUGGGUGUGUUUCUAUGUUUUAAAUAGUGUAGGGUAUAUUUAUAGUUUCAUGUCUAGGAAUGGGUGUUUCACUAAUUUUGUAAAAAUAGAAAAGCAAGCCUUCACUUUCAGUGGCGCCUUUCCUGCCGUUGAAUGAGACUGAACUAAAAACUCUCCUCAGAUAUUUUGAGACUCCACUCAUGUUCUUCUUCUACUUCUGCUUCUUCUCUCGUGCUCUGCAAGAACCCAACAUUCAGCUUCAAAUGGAAGGAGAGAGAGAUAGAGAUGUAUACAACUUGCUAAACAGAGUAUCAAAAUAGUAUCUGGAGAAAGGUUUCUGGUUUCAAGUUCAUUGUAUUUCUUUGUGUAACUUACAACAGAAUUUAUACAAGGAGAAAGCUUGCUAUUCAAGCUCAAUAUUAAUUACAAGUAGGUAGAUGGUAGCUGGUUUUGAGCUCCUAAUCCUAGAGAUUUUGCAGCAGCAGCCUUCCAAAGUCAAGCCAACCUAAUUAAUGCACCCACCUCAUUAAUGGAGCCAACCUCAUUAAUGCUACUAGCUAACACUCCCAAAGUUGGUGCAAAAAUAUCACACAUGCCUAACUUGUCAAGUGAGUAAUAGAAAACUUUACUGGAUACGACCUUUAUCCGAAUAUCAGCAAGUUGAUUUUCUGAGUUUACGAAUGGAAAUUUAAUGACACCAUUUUCUAAUUUUUCUUUGAUGCAAUGCCGGCCAAUUGUACUGGAUUAUGUGCUAUCUCAAUAGCAGCUUUAUUAUCACAAUACAGGUUUAUGGUUUCCAUCUGUUUCAAUUUGAGAUCUUUUAGUAAUCUUCGUAACCAGGGCAAUGCACACACUUCUUGAGCCAUUCCCCUAAACUCAGCUUCACCAUUUAAUCUAGCCAUGACCUUUUGUUUCUUACUUCUUCAAGUAACUAAGUUGCCACCCACUAAUGUAAAAUAUCCAGAAGUAGAAUAUCUAUUUGUGAUGGAACAUGCCCAAUCGGCAUCUGUGUAUCCUUUUACAUUCAUGUGUGCAUGUUUGGAGAACAUCAACCAUUUACCAGGAGUCGUCUUCAAGUAUCUCAUUAUUCGCGUUACUCCAUUCAUGUGUGCUUCACUUGGUUCAUGCAUGAAUUAACUUACCACACUUAUAGCAUAGGCUAUGUUUGGGCAUGUGUGAGAUAGAUAAAUCAGUCGUCUAACUAAUCUUUGAUACCUUUCUUUAUUAAUAGGUACCUGAUUCGGAUAUCCAUAAUUUGUGGUUUUGUUCGAUAGCGGUGUCUACUAGCUUGCAAUCCAACAUUCCAGUUUCGGUUAACAAAUGCAACACGUAUUUUCGUUGAGAUAGAAAUAUGCCAUGUUUUGAUCUAACAACCUCUAUGCCAAGAAAGUACUGUAACUCGCCCAAUUCUUUCUUCUCAAAUUCACUUGCAAGGAGCUUUUGUAGAUUCUUCAUCUCUUCGCUAUCAUCAUUGGUAACAACCAUAUCAUCAACAUAGAUUAUUAGAGCCGUAAAUUUACCACCACAACGCUUCAAGAAUAAGUUUUGGUCUGAGUUGCUCUGAGUGUAUCCAAAAUGCUUCAUGGAAGUAGUGAAUCUCCCAAACCAAGCUCGCGAUGACUACUUCAGCCCAUAUAAUGACUUUCUCAGUUUGCACACUGUAUUGGAAGUAGAUGUCAUAGGAAUCCCUGGUGGUGGAUCCAUAUGCACUUCUUCCUAUAAAUCUCCAUGAAGAAAUGCAUUCUUACAUCAUACCGCAGUAGUGGCCAAUCCAGAUUUGCAGCUAAAUAAAGAAGAACGUUAACACGAAUAGUGUUGAUCUUGGCAACUGGUACAAACUUCUCAUGGUAGUCGAUCCCAUAAGUUUGUUUAUAUCACUUAGCCACUAAUCUAGCUUUGUAUCAAUCUAUGGAGCCACCAACUUUGUAUUUAACGGUGAAUAUCCAGCGACAUCCAACUGGCUUCUUCCCUUUUGGUAAAAACACCAUUUCCCAAGUGGAAUUCUUAUUUAGAGCUUCCAUUUCAAUUGCCAUAGUUCUGCCUAUCUGGGAUCUGUCACAGCAUCCUGCCACUUACUUGGAACACAUAUAGUAGAUAAUUGAUUGACAAAAGAUGCAUAUGACUUUGACAAUCUAUGAGUAGACACAUGAUUAUUAAUAGGAUAUUUGAUUUGGCAUUAAGGUCAGGACAAUAUUGAAGUUUAGGUUUUCCCUUAAUGGAUCUAGGUGGAAGCGUAUAUGGUAUAAUACUAGGUUGUUCAGAGACUACCUCGAGAGCUUCCUCAUCACAAGAUGAUUGAGAAGAUGGCAGGGCAGGAGGGGUUGUAUUUUGCAGUUGCUCUUCGAAGAUAUCAUUAGUCACUUCGGAGACAUCAUUAGUCACUUCUAGCACUAAAUCCUCAUCAGGUCCUUCUCUGUUUGAAGAUGACCAGUCGACAUGAACAUGUUGAUCGAUCAACUGCCGUAAUUCUUCCUUGUCUUCUUCAAAGCAAAAUCUUCUCUUCACUCCCCCUCUCUCCCUGAAGAAAAUGGCUCGUAUGAGCCACAAAGUAGGAUAAGUGUUCAUGGAAGGUGACAUCCAUUAUGAUCAAGAGCUUCUAGGUAGGGGGUGGUAACAUUUGUAUCCUUUUUUAUUUGAGCCAUAACCAAAAAACACACAACGGAUGGCACAAGGAUCUAACUUACUCCUCUGACAAGAAGGAACAUGAGCAUAUACAACACAACCAAACAUGCGAUGAGGUAUCUUGAGGAUUGUAGGAAGAGAGAUGUAAUGAGCCAAGGUGUUUAGUGGAGUCUGAAAGCCUAGAACACUACUAGGCAUUCAAUUAAUCACAUAGACUGUAGAUAGGAUAGCAUGACCCCAUAAAUAGUGAGGGACUGAUUUAUCAAGCAUGAAGGCACGGGCAACCUCAAGCAAUUGUCGAUUCUUUCAUUCCGCGACACCAUUUUGUUGUGAAGUGAAAGAGGUGGAAGUCUGAUGAUGAUGUCGUGAUCCCGAAAGAAUUGAGCCAAGACAUUGUUCAAGUAUUCCCCACCAUUAUCAGACCAAAAAACCUUGAUGGAUGCUUGAAACUGAGUGGUGAUCAUAGCAUGAAAUUCACGGAUAGUAGAGGUAACAUCACUUUUAUGGAUGAGCAAGUAUACCCACGUCAUGUGGGUGCAGUCGUCAAUGAAGGUAACAAACCAUCUAUUUCAAUUAGAAGAUACUUUAGCAGGGCCCUAAACAUCAGAAUGAAUUAAGUCAAAUGGUUGGGUAGCUUGAUGGGUACUUGACGAAUAAGUAGCACGGUGACUUUUUGCCAAGACACAUGUUUCACACUUGAAUGUAGAAUCAUCAUGAUGGUGGAACAACGAGGGAAACAAGGACUUGAGAUAACCAAAGGAUGAGUGUCCCAAGCGACGAUGCCAGAGCCAAAUUUAUUGGUGGUCAAUUUCACAAGUACUCAGAAUAGUAGAAUGAGCCUUGGUGGAACUAGGUGGUGGUGGUGGUACGGGCAAUGCCAAUGAGUACAACCUCCCUCUCCAUUUACCAUAACCAAUCAUCUCAUGGGUCUGGAGGUCUUAAAAUUUGCAAUAUGUAGGAUAGAAAGUAGCAUAACAAUUAUGUGAGUCUAGUAACUUGCCAACGGAUAAUAAGUUGCAAUUAAUGGAAGGAACAAGUAAGGUUUAAGAGAGAGAUAAUGCAGAGGAAAAUGGGACAGAUCCUUCCCCAAUCACUGGUGAAGGGACACCAUUGGCACUAGUGAUGUAUAAAUGGCGAGAUUUAGAGGAUAAUGAGGUAAACAAAGUAGAGUAAAAAGUCAUAUGAUCAGAAGCACCUGUAUCAAUUAUCCAUGUAUUUUGAGACUUAACUUGUGGUGGAUCAUAUGCAAAAAGACAGGCAGGUGGUAUCAUCCUACCAGAACCAGUAUGAUCCACAGAGAAUGUCUUGUUAAAAGCCAUGAGUCAAACAACCGCACACAAGUAAGGCAAAGAUUGCAGCGUGAAAAAAAACACAGCAGCAAAACACCAACAAAGCGUGCUUAGCAGGAGCAGAUUGUAGUGAAAAACACAGCAGCAGAACACCAACAAAACAUGCACGACAGGAGCAUCAACACAGGCCCCAGUAAAGGCAAUUCAAGGCAAAAACAAAAGAAAUAGCACCAACAAGGCAAAGAACACAGAAAUAUCCUAUGAACAAAAGGCAAAGCAAGGACAAAGUAAAGCAAGAGCAAGGGGUAGGAACAAUAUAGAAGCAAAGCAAGGACAAGGUUAAGUAGACAAGGCAUGCAAAGUAAGGGCAAGUUAAGUAGAGACAAGGAAAGAACAAGGUUAUGCAGAGACAACCAAAAACGAUUGCUCUGAAUACAUGCUAAAUAGAGUAUCAAAAUAAUAUUUGAAGAAACGUUUCUGGUUUCAAGUUCAUUGUAUUUCUUUGUAUAACUUACAACAGAAUUUAUACAAGGAGAAAGCUUGUUAUUCAAGCUCAAUAGUAAUUACAAGUAGGUAGAUGGUAGCUGGUCUUGGGCUCAUAAUCCUGGAGAUUUGCACCAGCAGCCUCCCAAAGUCAAGUCAACCUAAAUAAUGCACCCACCUCAUUAAUGCAACUAGCUAACACAACUGAGGCCUUGGGUAAUUUCUCAGUGUUUAGAGAGACUUUCGUUUCAAUGGCAGCCACCAACUAUCUCAGAAGUCCAGUUCGAAUCUGACCCAGCAUUCUUAGUAGCAAGAAUUUACUCUGGAAUCAUGGCAUGAAGUGCCAGUGCAGCAUCAGCAGCAGCAGUAGCAGUAGUGGCGUUGAUGAGAGGUCAGUGUUUUCACUCACCUCGUCAAGCAAGUACGAAGUUGAUUAUUUGGGAGAGAAAACCAAAGGGGAUUUGAAUGUCAAGGUGGAGCAUCUUAAGGCCUUUGGUAACUAUCUUUCCUCUCCAAUGCUCUGUUUCAUUCUUUCAGUUUUGAAACUACAACCAUAUAUAUAUAUAUUGUGUGUGUGUGUAAAGUUUUGUUCUUUUCAAUGAACCCAUGUAGGAAUUGAUAGUCAAACAACUUUAAAAGGUCCAAUUGAGGAAGUGGCCAGGAUUGAGGCUGAAGAAGCUGAAGACUUGCUCAGAGACUUGGGUAUCCCAGUGCUGCUUUUUAAUUCCUUUUCCUGCAUACAUUUGAUCCUAUAUAUGCAUCAUCUUAUCUCUUUGCGUUCUUAUCUUUUUCUUUAAUAUUUGGUUCUCUUGAAUCUUGAACCAAUGGAUAUCCUUCUUAUCAUUUGCUUAUGGUAUUACCAUGUUCAAUAUAUAUGUGCAGACUCCCUUUUCGUCAAGACAAUCACCUCGCGGCAAUUUUUUGUAGAAGCACAUUAAAUCUUUGAUCAAUCAGUGCCAUUGGAUAUGAUAUGGACUACACCAUGAUCCAUGGUAAUGUGAUUGUAAGUGUCAUCAGCUUAAUAUAUGUUCUUAUUCUCAGCAUUAUUUGGCGCGUCAGCUUUGUUGCAACAGUAAGAUCAUAUAGUUUUGCACGUGCAAGUGACUAAUGUUGCAACCUCAACCAUUACUAUUCCAGCUAUUGUCUGACAUGGAUUUGUAUUUUGCGGGCUUGAGAAGGGAGAGCUUAUGAUUACUGCAUGGAGAAUUUGAAGAAAGGGGGUUUCCCUGUUUUCGGUCUUGCGUUUGACCCUGACUUGGUAGCUUCUAUAAGCAACUUAACCAUCUUUUCCCAUCCUUUCCCAUCCUUUCCCAUAGCUUAUUAGAGGCCUUGUCAUAGAUAAAGAGAAAGGCAACUUAGUGAAGGCUGAUCGAUUUGGUUAUGUAAAGACGGCUAUGCAUGGCACGAAGAUGCCAGCUGAUCGAGCUGUAAGGUACACUAUGAAGCUUUUAUUUUUGGUUAGUCUCAUAGUGCAAAUGCAAAGCAGGCAUUCAGUGUGCUGUUAAAACAUUAGCAAUAAGAAUUCCUAUGAAAGUUCCUAUUAUCAGAUGUAUUACUCUGGUAAUUUACCUCUCUGAAUAAAAUUACAUUACAUUGUAGAAAAUAUAUUUCCUUGUAUUUAACAGAUUACACAAAGUCCCUAUUUAUACUAGUACAGGAUAUCUACUUAAGGUAGGAAAUAAUAUAGAAAUGAAUACAAUUCGAUUUACAACAGGAAAGGCUAAUUGCUAGGAGGAGAUUGUGAAGUUGACUUCCGUAUAGGCUAGGAAAGGAAAGCUGCGUUAACACUCCCCUCCCCCCCGCGCGGAAACUGGGCGCCACAGGAUGCACAAGUUUGGAAGACAUAUGCUGAUAGAGUGGUUUGUGAAGGGCUUUGGUGAACAGGUCCGCAAGUUGGUCGACAGAAGGAAUAAAGCAAACUUGAUGACUUCCAAGAGCCACCUUUUCACAGACAAAGUGAUAGUCUAACUCAAUGUGACGUGUGCGGGCAUGGAAAACUAGAUUGGCAGCCAUGUACGUGGUGCUGAGAUUGUCACAAAAUAGUUGGAUCGGGAACCGAAGACGCACACCCAAUUCAUAAAGAAGAAAGCAUAGCCAAGUGGUUUCGGCAUAAGCAUGAGAGAGUGCACAAUAUUCUGACUCUGUACUAGGGCGCGAACUGUGGGCUAUUUCUUGGAACACCAUGAGAUGAGAUUAGUUCCAAGAGUAAUCACAUAUCCAAUGGUCAACCGACGAGAAUAGGGGCACCCAGCCCAAUUCGUAUCAGAGUAGGCAGAGAGGCGAGCGGCGGCAAUUUGAGAAGUAAAGGUGAGGCCGAGAUCAAUAGUGCCCUUGAUGUACCUAAGUAUCCGUUUGGCGGCAACAAGGUGAGAGGUGCGAGGAGCACUCAUGAACUGAGCAACAGUGUUGACGGCAAAAGAUAUGUCAAGGCGAGUAAGAGUGAGAUACUGUAAACUGCCAACAAGCUCGCAAUACUUGGUUGGGUUGGAGAUGGGAGCACCAUCAGGCAGAGAGAAGAACCUUGGUAGCCAAUGAAGUAGAUGCGGGUUUGGAGUUGAGAAUAUUGGCUUUCUGUAAAAGAUCAUGUACAUAUUUGAGUUGAUUGAUGUGGAGAGUACCAUCUUUACGAAGAACCUGUAAACCCAAGAAAUAGCUUAGUGGACCAAGGUCUUUGAUGUCAAAAUGGGCACCUAAAAGAGAGAUGAAUUGUUGGAGAUGAGUGGAAUCACUACUAAUUACCAAGAUGUCGUCGACAUAUAGAAAGAGAAAUAUGGUAUGGGACGCCUGUUGAAAAAUAAAUAAUGAAGUGUCAGCUUGGCUCCGUAUAAAGCCCAUAGAGAGAAGGAAAGUACUGAUGCGAUGGAACCAAGCACGAGAUGCUUGUUUGAGGCCAUAGAGUGCUUUGUGGAGCAUGCAAACAUAAGAAGGACGAGUGGGAUCAAUAAAACCAGGGGGUUAAGCCAUGUAGACAUCUUCUUGAAGAAACCCAUGGAGAAAGGCAUUUUUAACAUCAAGUUGACGAAGGGACCAACCACGAGAAAUUGCAAGGCUAAGAACAGUGCGAAUGGUGGCAGGCUUGACAACAGGACUGAAGGUUUUAGCAUAGUCUAUGCGCGGACAUUGAUGAAAACCGUUGGCAACUAGAUGAGCUUUGUAGCGUUCAAUGGAGCCGUUAAAGUGACGCUUAAUCCGAAAAACCCACUUGCAGCCAACCAAGUUCUGAGACGGAGAGGAAGGAACCAAAUACCAUGUAUGAUUUUUGAGGAGUGCAUUGAUCUUUUCAGUCAUAGCGUCACGCCAUUCAGGAUGCUUAGUGGUCUGUGAAAAACAAGUAGAUUCAGUAUGUUCAACAACAGUUAAUAAGGCACGGGGAAGAGAAUAUUUGACAGUGUCAUCAGUAUGAAGCUUGGGCUUUUAAAUGCCAUCCUGAAGGCGGGUGAGCAUGCGUUGCGGAGUUGCAAGAAUUCUUAGGUUCGGAGCUGCUGGAACCAGGGGGUCAGAGUUGCUAGAACCGAGAGGUUCAGAGCUCCUGGAAUUGGGGGUUCGGAGCUGCUGGAACCAGGGGGUUCGGAGCUGCUGGAACCGAGGCAGGCGCAAGCGGAAAGAGCUAUAUGCGAGGGCGUCGAGAAUAAGUUUGGAGCAAGGGUUGGGAUAAAGCAGAAGAAAUGUCGUUGAGUGAUCCCGGGGUGCGACGGGGUCAUGGCUUGAGACUGCAGCAGUUGGAAAGGUGCGAGCUAGGGAGGUGCCAUGAGGUUGCGAGUCUGAGACUGAGUCUGCAGCAGGAGUAAUCGAUAGGGGCAUAGGUGUGGAGAAGGGCAGAAUUGGGUGGAAUUCAAUAUCCACAUACUCUAAAGAAGAUCAUACCUGCAAAUGCUCAAAUGGAAAAUGCAUUUCAUUAAAUAAAGCAUGAUGGGACAUGUAAACACGACCCGUGGAGGGAUGUAAACAACGGUAACCUUUAUGGUGAGAACUGUAUCCAAGGAAAACACAUUCAAGGGUGCAAUUGGUGAGUUUAUUUUCAGUAUAUGGUCCAAGGUAAGGGAAACAAGAACACCCAAACACCCGGAGAUGAGAGUAGGAAGGAGGAUGUUGGAAGAGACGAUUGUAUGGAGUGUCCCAUUAAAGAUUAGGAGUCGGUAGGAGGUUUAUGAGAUGGACAGCAGUGAGGGCAGCUUCAACCCAGAGAUUGUGGGGAAUGUGAGAAGUGGUAAGGAGGGUACGGAUCAUGGUGGUAAUAUGUCUGUGUUUACAUUCAGCUAGGCCAUUUUGUUGGGGAGUGUGGGGACAUGAGAAACGUUGGUGGAUGCCUAGUUGACUGCAAAGAUCAGAGAAAGCAUUAUUAACAUAUUCAGUACCAUUGUCACUUUGAAGAAUUUGUACAGUGGUGUGAAAUUAAUUUUUAACCAUGGCAAGAAAGGUUUGAAAGUGAGAGAAGACCUCAUUUUUACGAUGCAUAGGAUAGAUCCAGGAGUAACGAGAGAAGUCAUCUGUAAACAAGACAUAAUAGCGAUAACCAAUGACAGAAACGACCUGGGACAUCUAUACAUCAGAAUGAAUUAAAUAAAAGGGAGAUUGGGCAAAGGUUUUAUUACUAAGAAAUGACAGUUUGGUGGAUUUGCUAAGUGCACAAUCCUUACAGAAAGCAUUUGAAACUUUAAAGUCUAGAGAUGGCGCUAAAUGAGAGAGCACAUGAUUGGAUGGAUGGCCAAGGCGACGAUGCCAAGCAGGAGAGUGCACGGUGGUAAGGGCACGAGGGACUAUGGAUGAGUGAGAGGAUAGGGAAAGUAGGUAAAGACCAUCUUUAGAAGGGCCCUGAAAGAGUAACGAACCAGUACGUAAGUCAUAGAUUUGAUAAAAGUCAGAAGUAAAGACAAAGAAAACUAAAUUAUCAAGAGUAAAACAGGCAACAUAAAGAAGAUUAAUACGAAGAGAUGGAAGACAAAAGACAUUUUGAAGAGAAAAUUUGUGAGAACCCAAAGGAAGAGGAAGAGAGCUAGUAUGAGAGAUAGAGAGGGAAUCUCCAUUAUCAAGAAAUACAGAAUUAUUACCCUGAUAUGGUUGUUGAUUUUGGAGAUUAGAAGGACUACUAGUCAUGUGAUGAGUGGCACCUGUGUCAGGGUACCAAGUAGAGUCAGGUGGCUGCAUAAACUGAGCCCCAGUAAAGGAAGGAAAGGAUUCUGGGCCAUUGUAGCGAUGGGGACAUGUUGAAGUAGUAUGUUGAUUGGUAUUGCAGGUGGUGCACCAAGCGGGUCCCAAGACACCAAGAGCUGAGUUAGGUCGGGUAGAGUGUUUGCUAGAAGUGGCAGAUUGAGCCCAAGGAGGCUGAAAGAAAGGCCAAUUGCUUUGAGAUCCAGAACUUGGAGCAAAAGGAGGCAAUGGUUGAUUAGGCCAUUGGAGUGCUGGAAGCUAUUCCAUGGGUUGCUCCAGAAAGAUGAGAAGUUGCGCCAGCCACCACGACCACAACCACGCCAACCACCACGGCCACCACGCCUAUUGCUGGAAGAGCCACCACCACGGUAAGAAGGGAAUGAAGUAUGACCGGUGGUGUGAGGAGAGGAUUGGGCUGCCAUUAGCGCUGUGGUUUGAUCAGGAGAGAUUUGAGGAGCCUGUGCGUCAAAAGCUAACAAACGAGCACGAAGAUCAGCAAAGUCAAGAAGCAGAGGAAAAUUGAGAAUUGCAGUGACGAGCAUUUUGUAAUCGGGUCCAAAACCUCGAAGCACAGUAGUGACAAGUUCUUUUGGGAAGAUAGGUUCAUUGAUGGCAGCCAAUGAAUCGGCAAGGGACUUAGCAUGACGAAGGUAAGCAUCAAUGGGUUGAGAGACUUUUUGCAAAUCCAAGAGUUGAAAACGAAGAGCAAAUUCACUGGCCAUACUAGAUUGAGAGAAGUGGCGUUGGAGACACUCCCAGAGAUCCCGGGCAAAGGUGCAACCAAUAGUGAGAGAGAGAGAAUGGACUCAGAGAGUGUACUGGUGAUGUAGCUAACAAUGAGUUGGUUUUGUUGGUACCACUAAGCAUGGGCGGGAUUGGUUUGGGUAAGAGUGGUUGUGGUGGUGGUAGUUGUGGGUGUUUCGGUGGUGGAGCUGGAGGUGUGGGCAGAAGGUUGUUUAUUAGUGUCAUCGAUAAAUUUCUAGAGAUCAUGACCGAUUAAAAAAGGUUUGAGUUGGCGGAGCCAAAGAAGAUAGUUAGAGUCAGUAAGCUUGAUAAAAUGAGAAGAGUUGAGGCUUGGGAGGGAGAUGGUGGAUUCAGAUGAAGCCAUUAGGUGGACCUAGAGGAGAAGAGGAUCGAAUAAGGGAGAGGAAGAAAACCCUAGGUUAGGCUGAUACCAUGUAGAAAAUAUAUUUCCUAUAAGGUAGGAAAUAAUAUAGACAUGAAUACAAUUCGAUUUACAGCAAGAAAUCUGAUUUACAGCAGGAAAGACUAAUUGCUAGGAGGAGAUUGUGAAGUUGACUUUCGUGUAGGCUAGGAAAGGAAAGCUGUGUUAACAUACAUACUUUCUUUUUCUCUGGAUAAAAAGAAUAUAAAAGCUAUCUAAGAUGAUGCACUUGCAUGCAAUGCUACCAAAGAAGCAUAAGUUCCAUCCUUGAUACCGAUCAAAGUUUCAUGCUUUCCUUUCUCUGCAAUGACUCCAUUUUCCACCACUGCAAUUACAUCCGCACCCUUUAUUGUGGAUAACCGAUGGGCAACCACGAUUGUUGUUCGAUCCACCAUGAUUCGGUCCAAUGCAUCUUGAACCACUCGUUCCGAUUCAGCAUCAAGAGCACUUGUGGCUUCAUCUAGUAGUAGUAUCUUUGGUGCCUUCAUUAUAGCUCGUGCAAUUGCCACCCUUUGCUUCUGUCCACCGGACAAUUGAAUCCCCCGCUCUCCUACUAUUGUAUCAUAACCCUGCAUUGUUUUUUCCAAACUUCACAUGGUUAAUCUUCAACGUUCCAAAUAAAAUUUUGUGAAUUUUCAUCAACUAGUCCUUCUCAUUUAUGCAGCACCAUGGCAAUAGAUUAUAUUAUAGUAUUUGUGGCCAAAAGAAAUUGACAAGCUUGUUAAUUUUGUAGUGCCUACCUGUUGUAAACUACAGAUGAACUUGUGAGCAUUUGCCAAUUCUGCAGCAGCUAUAAUUUCAGCCUCUGUUGCAUUCCCUUCCUUUCCAUAUGCAAUGUUGGCUCUGAUAGUAUCAUUAAACAAUGCCGGCUCCUGGCUCACCAGUCCCAUUUGCUGUCUCAACCACUUGAGCUGUAGCUUCUGGAUUUCAACUCCAUCUAAUGUAAUGUGACCCGAAUCAGGGUCAUAAAAUCUCUGCAACAGUGAGACGACUGUCGAUUUCCCACUUCCACUUUCUCCAACCAAAGCAACUGUCUGAAUAACAUAAUACAAAUUUGUAAAUCCCAGAAACUUGAAUUAGACUACGAGGUUCAAAUUUUAUGCUUUUUUUGAAAUGAAUAAAAGAACAAAACAUGUUACUAAGUUACCUUGCCAUGACGAAUGGUCAAGCAAAGAUCCUGGAACACUGGAACGUCAGGUCUAGUUGGAUACUUGAAACUGACAUGGCAAAGUUCAAUUUCUCCCUUCACAUUUUCUAUAGUUAUUCCAGAUUCAUCACUAGAGUCUAUUUUUGAUUUCCGGUCAAGAAUGGCAAAUAUGGAAGCAGCAGAGCUCUUUACUUUACCAAGAUUAGGGGCUAGGGAACCUGACUGAGACACUCCAAUAGCUGUCAUCGCUAGAGCAAAGAAAACCUGUAAACCAGGGAAAUGUUAACAAUCGACUGAAUGGACUAAUGAAGAUUUAAUUCUCAAGUAACACAUAUUUAGCAGAGUUCGGAUCCUCUGCUAAUGUUUUCUCAUCUAUUUACUUAAUUGAAGACUUGUAGCGCAAGGAAUAAAAACUCACCCGGAAAACAUCAGAGAAUGUUGUCUUGCCUGCUGCAACAAGUCGGGCUCCAGCAUAAAAACUGCAGGCAUACACAGAAAAAAGAAAAAAGAACGAGAGCCCAAAACCUGUCCCACUGAUUAACCCUCGUCUUAUCCCUGUCUUAAUAGGGCCUUCACAUUUCUUCUGGUACAAUUCAAUCACCUUCUCUUCAGCACAAAAGGAAGCAAUUGUUCGAAUACUCCCCACUGCAUCAUUGGCUACUUGACUUGCGUCCUCGUACAUUUUCUGCAACAAUUUAAAAUUUUCAGCAUUGGCAAAAAGGAUUGGUCUUAUAUAUAUUAUGUAUGUCGUAUUGGAUGGUGUUUUGACUGCACCAGCUACAAGUUCUCUACUAUAAAAUUUUGUAAAGUUUGGACUUUGGAGAAAUACCUUUGCAUCUGCACUGAAUCCUUUCAAGAACUUGACUUGAACAUAACCAGUUAAUCCUAAUAGAGGCAGCAAAACCAGGAUUAUAAGAGCAAGUUGCCAAUUUGCCACAAAAGCAAUACACAAACCAGCAAUUGCAGUUGCUGAAUUCUCAACCAGCAAACCUAGUGCAUCUCCAACCACCCCACGCAGAGAAGCUGCAUCUGCAGAAAGCCUUGCACCAAUUGCACCACUUGAGUACUGAGGAUUGUCAAACCAACUUACUUCCAUGUAAACCACCUUCUCAUAGCACAUUGAUCGAACUCGUUUUAUUAAAUUACACCCUGCCACAGCAAAAAAGUAUUGUCUUGCUGGCAGUGCUAUGAAAGCUACCACUCCAAGAACAAUGAAGGUUAAUGCCCAAAACUUCGAAUCCUUACGGAGUUGAGGAGGUGGCUCGUAGAAGGUCUUGAUUACACUGGAUAUCAAUAUCGAAAAAAUAGGUAAGAUUGCCCCAUUGACUGCUGCGGCUAUAGUACCUAGUAAUAAUACUGGGAUCUCUGGCUUGUUCAGGUAAGCCAGGCGACGAAUUGAGACUUCUGGAGGGCCUCUUGAUGAUGCUGAAGCAGGAAUAUCACGUCCUACAGAUGCUGUUUCAAGAGAAUCGACUGCAGUGGGCACACCAUAUGUGAUUGAGAAGGAAUGACGAUUACUAUUUCCGCUUCCAGAUGAUCCCCUGCUUAUGGAUCGUAAGUUUGAAAAUCUUUGACUUGAAUGUCUUCGAGAAUCCACGCUGCUAAGCCUUUCGUGAUUAUUUACAGCAGUCUGUUCUGACACGCUGCUCAUUUCUUGCAACCUUAUAAGCUGGCUAUAUGCUCCUUCAGGGUCCUUAAUUAGCUCAGAAUGUGGACCUGCUCAGUUGAAAACGAUCAGUAAGUGCACUAAGAAUAAGAUGAAUUGUAACAUUAUGUUGAACUAUAGACAAUACGAUUUGGCCUUCAAAUGGCAGAACAGGACAACAUAAACAAAUGCAUUACCUUUUUCAACAAUUGUUCCUCGAUGUAUAACAGCAAUGGUGUCAGCAUUCCUUACUGUGCUCAAGCGGUGGGCUACGACAACAGUAGUCCGGUUGAUCAUAAUUCUGUCCAGUGCCUCCUGCACAAUGCUCUCAGAUUCUGCAUCAAGAGCACUCGUGGCUUCAUCUAAAAGUAGAAUUCUUGGGUCUUUGAGAAUUGCUCUAGCUAUUGCAACUCUCUGUUUUUGGCCCCCAGAUAGCUGAGUUCCAUGCUCACCAACCAUUGUGUCUAGUCCCUAAAUGCAUAAAUCACAAAACCACAAAUAAGAAAAAGGGAAUUGAAUGAGUUGAUCGAAAUAAUCGGAGUUUUUAGAAAAUUCAUGUAACAAAAUGAUAAGAUCACUGGAUGUCUCAAUAAGCUUCCAUGGUCGUGGAAAUUAAGAAUUCACACAAAAAGUUCAGAGAACAAAAUACCAGAACUUAGAUGAAAGUUUAAAUGAAUUUAACCUGAGGCAGUUUGUCUAUGAAUUUAGCAGCAUUGGCAAGUUCAGCAGCAGCCCUUAUUUCUUCAGUGGUUGCACCAUCCUUUCCAUAGGCAAUAUUAUCUUUAAUGCUACAAGUAAAUAAAACGGGUUCCUGGCUGACAAGGCCUAUUUUCUGUCUGAUCCAUUUCAACUGGAACUCUUUGAGAUUAAUCCCAUCAAUAAGAACUUCGCCAGCUAGGGGGUCAUAAAAUCUCUCAAUCAAACUGACUACAGUUGAUUUACCACUUCCACUCUCUCCAACCAAAGCAGCAGUUGCACCACUAGGUAUUGAAAGAGAAAAUCCAUCGAAUAUUUGUUCAUCCGGUCUUGCAGGAUAACUAAAAUAAACAUCCCUCAGUUCUAUGUCUCCACGGAUAUCAUGUAAUUGUUGCCCAUUAGUGUCAGAAGCAUCAAUCUCUGGCUUUCUGUCAAUUGUCUCAAACAUCUUAUAAGCUGCAGCUUGUCCAGCAGCAAAUACACUCAAGCAUGGAGAUGCCUGCCCAAGAGACCUGAAAAUUUAUCAUAGAAAGCAGAAAAGUUAUAUCUUUAUCUUCUGAAGAAUCACAUAUCAAAUUUUGGACUGAAGGGGGGAGGGGGAGUAGUCAGUAGAUCAAGUAAAAAUGCAAACACUAGUACAAUAGUACUAGGAUCAACAAAUUUGUUCAUUAAAUUUUACUGCAAGCAACUUACAUGGAGCCAGUCAACACAGCUGAAACUACAUUAAUGACUUCCCCUCCUGUAUAUCCUUUUUCAAGUAUCAUCUUUCCUCCAAACCAUAUAGCCAGAGCAUAACUACACAUCAUAAUCAGCAUAGCCGAACCAAUUCCGAACCCAGAUGCCAAACCCUCUUGCACACCGGAGUUGUAAGCUUUAAUUAAGGAGUUGUUGUAAUUAGCUAUAGCUUGCUUUUCUCCUGUAAACGAUGCAACCUGAAAUGGGAACACAAGUUUUAGUUCUACACUAAGAAAAUAGAAAUAAUAAAUUUUUGUUUUAAAGAUCUUAAAGACAAGUAGGCCUACUGUUCUGAUUGAACCAAUUGUCUGCUCUACCACAGUUGCUGCCACUGAAUAAGCAGUUUGUCCACUGGAUGCCAUCUUUGAUAUAAGGAUGCGCAUGAUGGCACCAGAGAGGACAAGAAGGGGGAUAGAAGAUAGCAUGACAAGGGUGAGAAGCCAUCCCUUAACAAAUGCUAUAACAAAGCCUCCUACGAAUGUUGCAAUUAACUGGAUAAAAGUUCCUACCUGCAAUAAGAAAAUGAAAGAAUGAGAGGUUACUGGAGAAAAUAGCAACAGCUUAAGGCUUUUGUGUGUGGCAUGUAAAUACCUUCUCGCCCAUGGCCUCUUGAAUGAGCACAGUAUCACCUGACAUCCUCCCAACAAUUUCCCCAGUGUUAAUUUCUUUAUCAAAAAAGCCAACAUCUUGCCUCAAUAUUGUUUUCAAGUAUAAACUUCUUAUUCGAGCAGCCUGUCUCUCUCCAGUGACCAUCCAGCAAGACAUCUCUGGCAUAGAGAGAAAGCUACUAAUCUCAGUUUCCAAAAAGCCAAAUUAUUUGUUUGGUGCACCAGCAGGCAGUUCAGUGUAACUUACGUAGAAAUGCAGCUGCAGCAGCUCCCACCGCCACGUAGACUAACUUUAGAGCCACCUGAGAAUAUUGAAUUGGCCAAAUUAUAUCUGAUUAAGCCUUGUUCAUUACAAUUUCAACUAAGUUAGAGCAACCAGAGAACCAAAAUAGAUGUUAAAACAGAAGUAAGCUCAUUCAUCGCAGUUCUAAUAUUACAGUCACAUAAUAUUUACCUUGGAAACUGCGUCAACCACUUCUUUAUUAUUCCCUGUUUGUCCAAAGGAAUUAAUCAAAUCUCCAAAGAUUAUGGUCAUUAGAGGGACAGAGGCCCCAUUUCCAAUAGCACUGAUUGUACCAACAGACAUUAGCAGGUAAUCUAAGGAAUCGGCAAAGGAGAAAAGCUUGUAAUAUGGUACUGUUUUGGUGCCAUCCUCCUUGCUCCUGCUUCUAUCUUGUGGGUUGUUUUGAGAGUCCUCCACUGCUGAGUGGCCGUUCGAUGCUGCCUUGCCCUCCUCCUUGAUUACAUCUCCAUCCGCAGGAUUUUCCUCAGCCAUGUUUUUCGAAGCACCUCAGAGAAGUAAGUUGCAACUAUCUUGUGACAGUAAGCAACUCAAACUUGGAUGAUGAGAUCAGAGCUGCAAGAGAACAUUUAUGGAUUGAAUUAGAAACCAGGCACAUUAUUUUGUUUGUUUUUCGGGCACAAAAUUGACUACAUAAACCAACUUAAUCUAAUUGAAUAUAGAGUUGAUCAGUAAGCAAAAAUAUAUUUAAAAAACCCACUUAUUCCAAUAUUCUUUUUUUUUAAUUCUUUUUUUUUUGGCGCGUGUGAGAAGGGUUCGUUGCAAUAAAAUAAGUGCAGCAACUGUGAGAAGGGUUCGUUGCAAUAAAAUAAAAAAAUAUCAAAACAAAACCAAAACUUAAGAAGCCUCACACUGCAGGCAGUGAGAAAUCACAGUGAGGAAUCAAACGAAGAAGAAAAGAGAAAGAAACCUAGUGGCCAGCCAGCUGAUGCAUGUUCUAAAGGUGAGAAAUUUAAGGACAAGAGAAAUAGAAUAAGGAAUAAGACAAGCAUGGUAGCAAAACAAAAACUACAAGCAUGGUAGCAAAACAAAAACUAUGGCAUGGAAUAUGAAAUGAGGUGUUCGUCUAUUAUUGAAAAGAGAACAAUUUCAACCAAUGCAAUAGGGUUGUGCAGGAUCCAAACCAAUAUCUGCUAAAAUUGACCAAUCCAAUCCAAUCCAAUUUUCAUUAGUUUCGACAACAUUGGUGGAUUGGAUUGGAUCAGAAAAAUAGAAAUCCAAUUAGAUCAGUUUGGAUAACGGAUCAAGAAUUGAAAAUCUAACAUAAAUCAAACCAAUCCAAUAUACAUUUAUAUUAUAUAAUGUUUACACUAUCAUCUUGUUUUUCACUAAUAUAUUAAUCUUACUUUCAAAAAAAUUAAAACAUUAACGUAUUACCACAUUUUUAUCCCACAUUUCUAUACCACAUGAUGCGGUAUGUCCAUAUCAUAUGUCAUAUCAAUUAAAUCAAUGAAGUGUAUUUUAAUAAAGAAAGUUUAAUUGACAAUUUUUUUUAAGUGUUAAUAAAUCAUAAAAUAAAAGAAAAUGUUAAAUAAUUUUAAUUGAUAUGUGGUUGUCCACAUCAUCUGCCACAUAAGGUGGUAUCGGAAUGUGGUAUACAAAUGUGGUAAGAGUAGCAUUAUUCUAAUUUAUAUUAAAACUUAAUAUAUUAAUGUCAUAUCUUUCAUCAUAUUGAAUUUUGUAUUAUAUGUAAUGAAAGAUUAUGAAGUUUUUUUGUCAUGAUUAUUUUUUCAUACAAACCGAUCAUGCAAUCCAAUCCAAUGUACAUUGGAUCGAAUUGGAUUGGAUCCUAACUUCCAACCAUAUUAGAUUGGAUUGUAAAAUUGGUAAUCCAAUAAAAGAUUGGAUUGAAUUGGAUUGGUAAAAAAACCAUUGGUUUCGGACCGAUGCUCACCCCUACGAGAAAUUAUAGAGUGAUACUGUAUCACUACGUCAGCUGGUGAUACUCCCACUCAAAAUCUGCUAUGUGUAUUUUUUAAAAAAUAAAUAAAAUAUAUUUUACAACUGGACUUUGGCUUCCAACUUUACCCUUCAACUUUAAUCACCCAAACCCUCCCCACCGUGUUCCCUAUCCACCGUCUUCUUCCCUACGCUAUGCCUGCUAUCUGCAACACCACGCGUCUUCCCUUCUCUCUCAUCACCUACCCCAGCCUUCACUGUUGUUUGUGCAAAUAAUCUCACGGGAGAAUAUUCGCUUCUAGAUCCUUCAACCUUCGAUCUUCCUUCUCUCUCUUCCUCGAUUCCUGUAAAAAAGACUGGAGUAAAUAGACCACACCCGGGGGGUGUUGGCCAAAGGCCCUCCGAUGCCUAAGUUAGUUCGAGUGUUUGUAGGAAAACAAUAGCUAAGCAAAGGGUACGGAGUUUUAUGUAGGGUGUAAACCGGGUGGCCGGAGCCGUGUGUGGUGGCCGGAGCCGUGGGGAGAAAAUAUGGAGAGUGGAGAGGGAGAGAGAGCUUCGGGUAUUUUUCUCUGGUAUAAGGAGUAGGUUUAGAUGUACCUUGAAUGAUGAAUGAGGUCGUCUAUUUAUAGGAGCCUCGGGGCUAGGGUUUCGUAGGAAUCCAGUUGGGCCUGAUAAUAUCUGAAUUAAAUAUAUAUUAUCUCUUAAGAAGAUAAUAUCUGAAUUAAAUGAUAUUAUCUCUUAAAAAGAUAAUAUCUGAUUUAAAUGAUAUUAUCUUCUCUUUAUUAGGAUAAUAUCUUAAUUAAUGAUAUUAUCUCUUUAAAUAAAGAUAAUAUCAUAUUAAUUAAGAUAUUUAUCCCAAUUAAUUAAUUAGCCAGAUAAACUGGUUUAAUUAAUUAAUUAAAGAGAUAAUCUUCUUUUCCACGUGGCGUGCCCUGAUUGGAGACGAAAAUAUAUGCUCCCACAACUGUCUUCAUAGUUAAUGAAUCUAAAGAACUUCUAUUGUCAAAUGACUCAAAACCCAUAAACAAAAUCUAGUCAAACUCUACCAUUUUAUCUCUGGAGACACCCUUGAAGCUAAAGAAGAUGGGUAAUCUCUGAAAAUUUCACUUCUUACUCUUUUAAAAAGACCUUGAAUGAAAGCUGAUAAUGAAGAUGGUGAGGAAGAAGAAGAAUCUGAUGUGGAAUGGAGAGAUUUUUGGCGGAUUUCCUUCAUCAAGCCCCGCCCCAAUGACUUGCUCUAUAACACAAUUAAUUCUUGGUUGCCCAUCACGUCAAUCUUCCCUUCUUUCACUAGUGGUUUUUGUUUAUUUAAGAUUUAUGGUUUCAUGUUUAAUGGGUUUGCACAUAUUUUUAAGAUUUUUGGCUUUUUUUAUUAAAGGGUUUAACUUUUCACCGAAAAUUCGAGGGAGAGAGAGGAGGUGGGAAUAUUGGAGGGGUAGGGAAGGCCGGGGUGGGUGGCUGAGAGGGGGAAGGGAAGAGGGUUGUGUGGAGUCGAUAGCAAGGGCAUAGCACAGGGAAGCCGGAGGGGGGAAGGGUUAUGGUCAUUAAAGUUGAAGCGUAAAGUUGUAAGUCAAAGUUCAGUUGUAAAAUAUAUUUUAAUUUUUUUUAAAAAAAUACAUGUGGCAGAUUUUGAAUGGGAGUAUAACCAGCUGACGUGGUGAUACAGUAUCACUUUAUAAUUUCUCCACCCCUACAAUGCAAUUUGGAUAGUUGGGUCUUAGGGCUCAUAUGGUAUGUCAGACUGUACUGACUAAUUUAUGUCGAAUAGUAUUAAUAUGUUCCGAGAGUACUGAUUGUUUAUCCAUAAUAUAAUAAGGCGUUUGGUGUUGUUCCAGAUAAAUAGUAUCACUAAGUUAUACUAUGUUUGGUACUAUUUCGGAUAACAUCAGAUCAGACUAUUUUUUUAAUAAAAUUCUUUGAUAAUUUAAUGAAAAUUUAAAUUCAUAGGAAAAUUGAGUAAUUUAGUGGGAAGGGCUUUUAAUUUACCUACGGCUUCUUGCCAUUAAUCCCAUAUGUCCAUUCAACAUCAUGAAUUUGCCUAAUAGUUUAUUUAGUUAAGUAAAAUUUAAUUUCCAGCAUUGACCAAAUUAAAUCGAACAAUCCACUCAUCCUCCAAACUGAAGUUUGAAUCUUGGAAAACUGAAUUAUGAACCAAACUCAUCCACUCCCCAACAACCAAACCCAAGCUUUUUGGUUGCUCUCUGAAACAUCGAGUUUCAAUUCAAUGCAAAACAUAGACAAAUAAAUAAUUCCACGAUGCAAUUACAUUCCUAAUCUAACUUCCACAAAAAUAAAAACUCACGACCUAGUUUCCACAAAAUUUAAUAAAAGAUGAAAUAUAUAAAGAAAGAGAAGAUGAAGACAGAAUAAGAGAGAACAAACAUAUUGGAGAGAGUAUGAGAGAGAGAUGGAUACUUGGAGAAGAUAGCAGAUAAGAACCCUAGGCAGAAGAAGAUAACAAUAGAAUUUUUCACAUGAAUGUGUGUGUUCUUUUUCCCUAACCGUAUAAUUAAGCAUGUAUUAUCUAAAUCGGGGUGUGUAGAUUGUAUUUAUUAGUCAGAUAAAGAGAGUAUUAAAAGUCCAACCCGUUUAAAAUAGUCAGAUAAUUAAAAAAUACGAGCAAAAGACAAAGAAGGAAUCUUUGAACUUCUUGGAAGGUUAGGAUUAGAAUUUGGAUAGUUGGGCCAAAAUUUGGACAAUUAAUUAAGUUGUAUUUUGCCAAAGGGAUAUAUGAUUAGAGUACAUGGAAAUGAAAACAAAAACUACUAUGGCAUGGGAUGGAAGUGUUUGUAUAUUAUAUGUAGAUAUUAUAUUCGAAUGGGAACAUCAAACUUAAAAUUAUUAAACUAAUAAUCCAAGAUUUCCAUUUCCAAAGUAGAAUAAUUAAUAUUAACAUGAGAGUGAAGUGAGUAUAUACCUUCUACGGUGCACAUGCACCGAUGCACCAAGAUUUAUAAAUAAAUAAAAAUGAAACCUGUUGUUCAAGUUGUCCGGUUCCCUGUUUUUCUUUUUUGUUAAGAGUUCCCAACUUUUCUUAAUAUUUAAUCUUUGGCCUGUUUUUUUUGGGAAAGAAACUUUGUCUUAUUCUUUUUCUUCUUUUUUUUGGGGUCGAAAUAUCUUAUUUAAUUUUUAGAUAAACUAAUCUUAACCCAACUAACCCAAUCAAAUUUUAAAAUUUAUAUAAAUCCAAUCGACCAAAUUGAUUUUUUUUUUUUUUGGAAGAUUCACUAUUAUACCCAAUAUAAGAGUCCAAAUUAUUUAAGAAAUUCCUAAAAGAAAUAGACUUUUUAAACAUACUCAAAGCCUAUUUACAACAUAACAAAAAGGUUUUUAACUUCUUUUAAAUUACAAAACUAUCAUUGAUUUCUUGAAACAAACUCAACCCCAAAACUUCAUAAAAAAAAUCCAAAACACUCAAUAGGGUAUUAAAGUAAUUUAAUAAUUAAAAUUAAAUUCAAUAGGGCCAGCUGUCAUUUUUUGGGAGUUUUUUGAGUUUGUUUAGAGAAAUUAAAUGGUGUAGGAUUUAUUUAUAGUUUUAGUGCUAAGAAAGAGUAUAUGACUAAAUAUCUUUCUUUUCUUUUUUUUGUUAACUUGUAAUAAAAAAAAAAUUAGUAACUACAAAUUUGUUGGGUAUAAAAUAUUGGUUGAGUUUACUUAUAAAAUAAUUGGGUUCAAAUAAAAACUCUGUAAAUUUUUUUAAUCACCAAAUGCCUCGAGUUAAAAAUUGAUUAAGCACUUCAUUUAUGCAAUUACUAUCUCCAUAUUUGGUAAUUGUACAAAUACGGGUGGACCUUGCAUAAGUAAAUGUGGUCUUUAUUCUUGUAAACACAAGGGUUUACAAUAUUAAGGAAUCAUAUCACAAUGUUUUGGACAUCAAUGUUCCAUAAAUUUGUAAAGUGUAUCCAUAUUGUUGUAAUACUAUAAUUUACAAUAUAAAUGAUAUCCAUUACAAGGUUAAGGUAAGUGUGGACCCUGGAGAAGUAAAUGUGAUCGUUAUUCUUGUAAAUACAAAGGUUUACGACAUUAAGAACUAGUUCUACAACAUUUUGGACGUAAGCAUUCCAUAAUCUUAUAAAGUGGAUUCAUAAUCUCGUAGAUUACAAGAUUUGGGUUCCCAUUUAUAUGGUUUUGCAACCUAAUUACAAAUUUAAAGUUCAUUCUAGUCCAUAAUCUUGUAAUACAAUAAUUUACAAUAAAAAGGAUCCACAUUAUAAGUUAAUGGAACACUGAAGUCCCAAACAUUGUAAAAAGGGUCCUUAAUAUUGUAAACCAUUGUAUUUACAAGAAUAAAGACCACAUUUGCUUCUCCAAUGUCCACCUUUACCUUAACAUUGUAGGGGGAAUCCUUUCCAAUGUAAAUUAGGGUAUUACAAGAUUAUGCAUUAUGAAGAACCUUAAAAGUGUAAUCAUGGUGCACAAAAUUAUAAAUGAGAACCCAAAUCUUGUAAUCUAUGAGAUUAAUGAUCCACUUUACAAGUUUACGGAACUCAUACGUACAAACUAUUAUAGUAUGAGUCUUACAUGUUGUAAAUCAAUGCAUUUACAAUAAUAAGGACCAAUUUUACAUCUCUAAGAUCCACCCUACCUUAAACUUGUAAUAGAGAUCAUUUCUAUUGUAAUUUAUGAUAUUACACAUUUAUGGAUACAUUUUAUAAGUUUAUGGAAUACUGAGGUACAAAAUAUGGUAAAAGGGGUCCUUAAAACUGUAAAUUCUUGUGUUUACAAGAAUAAAGACCGCAUUUAUUUCUCCAAGGUCAACUCUUACCUUAACUUUGUAAGAGAUAUCUUUUCUAUUGUAAAUUAGGGUAUUACAAGAUUAUGGUUUAGGAAGAACCUUAAAAUUAUAAUAAUGAUGCAAAAACUUGAAAAUGGGAACCCAAAUCUUAUAAUUUACGAGACUAAGGAUGUACUGUACAAGUUUAUGGAACACUUAAGUCCAAACAGUUGUAAUACGAGUCAUUAAUAUUGUAAACCGUUGCAUUUCCAAGAAUAAGGAUCAGUGUUAUAGUAUUUGGGAUUGAGAGUUCCAUAACAUUGUUAAAUUUAUCCCUAAUCUUAUAAAAACAAGGGUUUGCAACAUUAAGGACUCAUGUUACAAUGUUUGGGACAUGAGGGUUGCCAAAUAUUAUAAAUUUUAUCUCUAAUCUCGUAAAAACAUGAGUUUACAACACUAAUUACUCAUAUUACAGUGUUUGGGACAUGAACAUUCCAUAACAUUGUAACAUUUAUCCAUAUUCUUGUAGAUUACAAGAUUCAGGUUCGAAUGUACGAGAUUUUACAUCGUCAUUAUAACUUUAAGGUUUACUUUGAUCCAUAAUAUUUUAAUAGCCUAACAAUUAAAAUGAUCUCAAUUACAAUAUUAAGGUAUUGUUGGACUUGAAUAACUAAAAUUGGGUCCUUAUUCUUGUAUAAAUCACGAUUUACAACAGUAAGGACUCAUGUUAAACUGUUUUGGACAUGAGAAUUCCAAAAACUUGUGAAUUGUAUCCAUAAACUCGUAAGAGCAAUUUGGAGCUCAAAUACCAGAGGUCGUUUGGCACCACUCAGGCAAUUGGUUUUCGCAAAUUGGAAGUGCAAUUACAAGGUUCCUAUUUGUCGAUUGCCAACUUGACAUGGCUGAGUGAAAGCAAAAUAGGCAAUUUCACUAACUUGUAACAAAAAUAACAAUAAAACUUGGGUAGCUUUAUAUAAAUCCAAAUAGCCAAACUGAAAUUGUUUUUGUUAACGUGUAACAAAAUAAAAUAAAAUAAAAUAAAAAAUCUUUGGAGAUUGUAGAGUUUUCCUUGAUUAUUGAAAACUGACACGACUUAAAUAAUUUUAAAGAAAUCUUUGUAUAUUUGAAUUCCACCUCAACAUUCACAAGGAAUAUAUAAUUUCGACUAAAAAAAUGAGGGAAAUAUGAUUGCAUCUAUGUUUAAUCACGAGUACAUAACAAAAUUUAUAUGUAGAACUGGCGCAAUAAUUUAGUUGGUGCAUAGACAAUGUCAAUUGCACGACUGGAAUGCAAAUGGGACCGCUUUAUUUGUCAAUUGCAUGACUGGAAUGCAAAUGCCUCUACCUAUUUGUCAAUUGCAUUGAUAAAUCACAUAUUAUAUUUACACUCUCAAAAUUGAAAAGGCUGCCAAUAACAUGGCAAUAUGCAUACACUAAUCUCAAAAUACAACUUUAAACUAUGAUAUAACAGUCAAAUUUACUUUAAAAACUUAUUCUCAAUGGUACUAUACCUCAUCAAAGCCAACAUAAACUUCAUUCAUGUAAUUGAAAGUAUUCUUCAAUACAUUCGCUUUACAUAACCAAUAAUUAUAAAACUAAAAUCUCAAGUCAUUAUGUAUUUAAAAAAAAAUUACAUUCUCCAGAUACAAUGAAAAUGUUACAAAUUCAAGUAGCCAAAUAAAUAGACUCCAAAAUAGUAUAUUAGUCUUGUACUUGGCCUAGUUCUUUACCCCAACCUGAAAAACAAUCACAAAAACAUCAAUAAAAUGAAUGGGAAACAUAAAACAUCAAUAAUAUGCUAAUAUGAAAAUAAUUACAAAGUCAUCAUUAUAAACAAAAAAAAUAACAAACCUACAACAACAUAAUUAACUUGAAUAAUAGAAAGCAAUAUGCCAAUUUCGGGUAGAGAUUUGUUCUUUUCUUUUUUCUUUUUUUACUUUUUGGAUUGUAUAACGAUUAUCAAUCUUAUAGGCUUUGAAUAUCAAACAAAAAAACUGCAAAGAAAGCAGCCAAAAGCUGGGACUAGCUUCAAUCAUUAUCUCCAAGGCCAUGUACAAUGGCCUGGUGUUUGUCUUUACGUCCUCAUUUUGUGAUUCCAAACUUACUAUACUUAGCACUAUGCCAAGAUUAGGCAAAUCAUGCCACUUCCAAUGUAGCAUGAUAGUUUUUAACAUGCAGUUCAUAAUAUAUAUAUUCCUCAUGCAUCACUAAAAUAAAUAAAUAAAAUCUCCAACCAUUCACCAAAAUGAAAGACAGAGACAAAGAGAGAUAUAUCUGAGGAAAAAAAAAUAAAACAAAACAAAACAAAAUUUUACCCAUUUCAUAUGCUGGGAAGGGUGGAUGGGCUGCUAGUUGGAAUACCUGCAAAUCCAAAAUCAAAAUAAAAACAAUACCUAACUGGAAAACAUAAUCAAAACCAAUUUCAAAUUAAGAAGCACAAGAAGAGUGAGUCCCUUUCCCAUGUAGAAGAUUUAGAAGUCAUGUAAAUUAGGACUCUUCAUAUGCAUGGUACUAUUGAUUGCAGUGAAGUUUCAUGUUCAGUGGGUUAGGAAGUCCUGUAAAUAGGAAAACAUACAAGCCAAAUAAAACAAUAGUUAUAGCUAACUACCAACAGUUCAAUUAUUGGGUGUUGUCUAAAGUCAAAUAUCGCAUAUUGCAAAGACAAGGCAUUAAGAAAAUCAUUCAUAAAAAGGCAAGAAACUACCUACUAAAACUUUGAAAGUAAGACGAAGAAAAUAACCAGAAGGCACGUGCCCCUUUUCUGCUCGUUCCUUCUUUGCACGCCUCUUUUCCAGAUCAACCUUACACGAGCAACAAGAAGCAGCUACAUUAUGAAAACUAUCACAGAGACCACAUCAAUAGAAUAGAAGUUAUAACUAUGGUAUGAAGGUCCCUGAAGGUUAUUCUUCAAAUAUUAAAAAUCUUGUAUCUUUACAAGAUUCAAGACUUCUUGGCCUUAAAUCAGAUGAUUGUCAUACCUUAAUGCAACAAUUGCUCCCUGUGGCAAUUCGUUCUGUUUUGGAGAAGCCUGCAAGGUAUGCAAUAACUCGUUUGUGCUUCUUCUUCAAUGCUAUAUGUGCAAAGACUGUUGAUGUUUCCAAGCUAGAUAAGUUGGAAGAAGAUGUAGUAGUUACUCUGUGUUUGCUUGAGAAGUACUUUCCCCCUUCAUUCUUUGAUAUCAUGGUUCAUCUAGUAGUACAUCUUGUCAGAGAAGUUCGUCUAUGUGGGCCAGUAUAUUUUAGGUGGAUGUAUCCGUUUGAAAGAUAUAUGAAAUUGCUGAAGGGGUAUGUUCAGAAUCGUACUCGUCCCGAAGGUUGCAUUGCUAAGCGGUAUAUAGCUGAAGAAGCGGUAGAGUUUUGUACUCAGCAUUUAUCUGAUGUUAGUACAGUUGGAGUGCCUUCAAGCCAAAAGAUGGGAGUUUCAAAGCCAUUAUCAGGUUGCACAGUGAGCGUAGUUGAUCAGGACCUGUUGAAUCAAGCACAUCUAUAUGUCUUGGAGAAUACGGAGGAAGUCCUACCUUAUAUCGAGUACGUAUGAGUUUUAUUCUUUAAGUUUCCAUUUUAAAUUAUUUCUUAUGUUUAUCUUAUAUAUUUGGGACCGUAAUGCUUGAAUUUUUCGUGUCAUGUAGGCAACAUAUGAUCCACAUCAAGACUGCUUAUCCAAAAUUUAGAAAGAGAACAAAGUGGCUGCAGGAUAAGCACAAUAGCACUUUCAUUCAAUGGCUACGCUUCAAGGUAUAUGUUGUUGAAUAAUAUAUUUCUCUUUUAAUUUUCUUUUAAUUUCUAUGUUAGAUUGAAUUAAGAUAUGAUUAAUUUGCAGGUUCAAAGUGAACUUGAGGAAGACAAUCAUGGCGUAUCAGAAAAUUUAAGGUGGCUAGCAGCUGGUCUAAACAUGGCAGUGCCAUUAUAUAGGAGCUAUCUUAUUAAAGGUAUUAAAUUCAAUAUCAAGGCACAAGAUGAUGUGCGGACAACUCAAAAUAGUGGAGUUUAUUUACUUGCACAUACCAUUCAAGUUGCUAAUGCCAAGGAUAAAAACCCAAUUCUCUCAAAUAUGGGUUUCUAUGGUGUCAUUCAAGAAAUUUGGGACCUUGACUACCAAAAGUUUACAAUCCCAGUCUUUAGGUGUGAUUGGAUAGAUAGUUCUGGUCUUGUAGUCGACGAACUUGGAUUUACCCUUGUAGAUUUGAGUAAAAUUGGACAUAGGAAUGACCAAUUUGUUUUGGCUUCUCAAGUCAAACAAAUAUUUUUUGUUGACGACCCGAUGCAUCGUGGUUGGUCGGUAGUGUUAUCAAUGCCUAAUAGAGAAUAUAAUGAUGUUAUUGGUGAUAAAGUCUUAGGUGAUGUGAUAAUUGAGUGUGAGCCAUUUACUAGAGGGAUGCCAAAUGUUGACACAUUUGAUGAACUGGUGAGUGAGUUAGGUGGUCAAAAUAUUCGAGAUGGGUGUGAAGAUAUAUGGAUUGAAUGAUGCUUAUGUAAUUGGCAGUGUAUGAUAUUAAUUUUGUAAUAUAUUGUAAUGUGAUUUCUUCACUUUCAUUAUACAGGUUUUGACCACAAAACAAUCAGUGCAAAAAAUACUGGUUCCAGAUUACAUCAUUAUAUUCUGCAUAAAAAACGACGUAUGUUCAAAUAAAACACGACGUUAUUGUGAACCAGUUAUUCAGCAUAUUUACUGACGUCUUAAAACAACGUAACAAUGAAGAACCACGACGCUAUUGUGAAGCAAUUAUUCAGGAUAUCACGUCGGGGAAGGAUUAAGAACCGCCAUGUAAUUCAAAAUAACACGACUCCAAUCCCAUAAUACCGACGUCUAAAAAACGAGAUAUAUAAUCUGAACGUUAAAAAAUACGACGUCAUCAUACAUUUUCCACGUCGCAAGUUCUUUUAUAAACGAAGAGGAACGAAAUGAAUUCCGACGGUAAUUCAUUAUAACCGUCGUCUAAUAUCAAUUAAACGACGUUAUUUGUAAUACGGCUCUCAUCAUAAUCAACGCCGUCUAUAUGUUCUGUAAUACGGCUCUCAUUUAUUUAGAACCGACUUUGUUUAGAAGUUCAACGUCGUCUAUAUUAAUAAGUGCGUCGUGAGUAAUGAAUACAUAUAAAUGCAACGUCGACUAUAUAAAUGCCACCGACGUUGUUUCGCAUUUCAACGUCAACUAUAUAAAUACAUACGUCGUAAAUAAUGACACUGACAACUAUUUCCACGUCAUCUUUUUUAGAAAAAUCGAAGUGAAAAAUUUAUUUCACGACAGUUGUUUGUAAAUAAGAGACGUAGUAGAUUUCAAUAACGUCGUCUUCUCAUGUAUUUAAAGACGUCAUAUUUUUUCUUGUCGUGAAAAUUAUAUUUAACGGCGUAGUGUUUUAGUUGUCGUCGUUGUAUGUCUAUCUUGCGGCCUUGUUCUUUUAAUAUGUGUCAUAUUUUUCCUUUUUAACAACGGUUUUUUUAGAGAGUUGGUCGUCUAUUCUCAUCCUCAACUGCUUUUUUAGAUCUUUUUGCAGUACAAAGACGUCGUUUUGUAUUUGUUGAUGACGUUGUAUAUUUUAACAACGACGGUGAUUUAGCGUCGUGGUUUAUGAGGGAAAAGAUGACGGUGGAUUCCACGACCAUUGAAAAACCGAAUACACGACGGUAAUUUACCGUCGUCUUUUUGCUUUUUUGUAGUAGUGUAGAACUAUACCUUUGUAAAGGCCUGCAACUAUCUCAGAGACCACAGCAACCUCCACCAUAUUUUUUCUACUAUGACCAUGAUUAAAAGUUUAUUUCAGUUGUUGAACCUUCACUUACAUAAACAAAAUUAAAUGCAACAGAAACAACAACACUCAAAGCAAUCAUAUAAAGCAAGAAAAUUUACCUAAGAACAGAAAUCAAAGUACACACUUUUCAAAUCCAAAUUACCUAGUCUUUGCUUUGGGGCCAGAUGAAACAAAACUCCCUACAAUACAGGCAGUGGCAGAGCUAGGAUUCUUAGUAUGGAGGGGCCAAAAUUUUUUUUUUUUUUUUUGGUGAAACAGGGGGAUAUAAAAACCCAGAAAAGGAAAAAAAAACAGCUAAACAGAACUAAUAAUACGGGUCUUAGUAACCCCUAUAGAGUCAUCCAAUAACAGAGGCCCAAGCCAAGUCGGAUUAUCCUCAAGGAAACAGCACCCCAGAUCAAUGUCGUGGCUCCAAGCAGCCAAUCUGUCAGCUACAGCGUUCUUCUCUCUGUAGAUGUGGUGAAGAAAACAUUUUGGAAUUUGGCUCAUAAGUCUCUUGCAGCUGUGAACCAAACCAGCCAUAGGAUGACAAAAAUUCAGAUCAUUACUCAGGAUAAGAUUAACGGCAUUGACAGAAUCCAUUUCAACAACAAUAUCCAUUAUUCCUCUUGUGGUAGCUAAUUUUAGACCAAAAAAUAAACCCCACAGCUCAGCUUCAAGGAUUUGUCCUUUCCCCAGGUUGACAGCGAAACCACCAAUCCAGUUACCCAGGUGAUCUCUGAGGGGCCAAAAUUUCAAAAUCACUUCCACAUAAUUUUUUCAUCUUCAACUGGGAGGGCCAUCACUAAUCUAAUUGCAUUAAUUAUAUUGCUAUAUCAUAUAUUUUAUAAUAUAUUAUAAGAGAUUAAAAAUUAAAUAAGGGGGCCAAGGCCAUGGCAUGCCUUGCUAUGGCUCCGCCCCUGAAUACAGGCGAAAGAUUAAUGGUAUUUCAGUGGAAAGAACUGAGGAAUAAAAAUUUCCUACAAUACAAAAGCAAAUAUGAUAAAAUAGCACUGCAAUCAUUGUCGAACUUUCAAUUUGGCAAAUACUAGUUUAGAACAUAACUCCAUGGCCUGAAGCAGCUUAGAAGCUUUUUCAAUCAGAACCAUAAUUAAAGUUUUUUGAAAAUUUAGUAACAUGCCAACUAAAAGCAUAAAAAUGAAAUAUAUAUAAUUUAAAAAACCAAGAACUAGCAGUGGUUAUAAAUCUGGAGGGAUGUGCGAUGAAGAUUAACCAAGAAGAAGCAGUUGCUAUAAAUCUACACAUCAACUAAUGGAUAGCAGAGAAACAGAAAUUUUUUUUAAAAAUUCAACCCAAAUCAGAAUCAUAAUGCCUACCCACCAACAAAUUAAACCAGAAAAUUAUUACCUGAAAGAGAAACCAGAAACCAGAAACUGAACACACUAAGGAACUGAACCCAAUAUAUAUAUAUAUAUAUAUAUAAUUUAAGUCAUAACUUGUCAAGGCAGUUAUAUAACGAGGAAAAAAAAAAGCUUUGAAGACCAAUACAUUCCAAUCAAUGAGCUCCAAACUUAUCAAUAUUCAAAGAUUAACAAAUCAAAUAAAUUAGACCCACCAAAAAUCUAGAAUAAAAAACUAUCAAUCCAUCACAGUCUCAACCACUGACAGCCUUAAUUUAACAGAAAAAAUCAUCUACCUCAACCCCCAAUUCAAUUCAGAAGCCCUAAUUUGACAAGCCUAAUUUAACAGAAAAAACCCUAUAUUCAAAGGAAGAGUGCUUGCUAAACCCAAUGCAGGUGUCGCGCAAUAGUAAAUCUCGUAAGUCGAGUAUCGUAUCUACAGAAAACGUUAAAGUGCACAAAAUACGUAAGAUAACUGCAACAAAAAGAAUACGAUUAAACGAUUAAAAGAAAGUUCAAUAAUAAUAAAAUACUAAGACGUCGGGGUUCCACCUUCAAAAUACAUAUGCAAUCCCAUUAGUUUGAUUCUCACUAUGAUUGUUCACAAUUAAAACCCAAUUUAAUUUCGUUUAGAGAGAAUUUCAAGCAUAACCUGUAGGCUGUACCUACAGCAACAACCUAUCAAGAAAUAAUUUCAAUGAAAUCAAAGCAAUCUACUAAUUUUUCUCAAAUCUCGAAAGCAUUGAUGUUUUUAGUAAACUGUAGGAAAAGCAUGACUGAACCUAUGAAUAAGAUUAUCAAGCACCCAUCAAUCGAUCAAAGAGAAAAACUAAAAUUAAAUUGAACAAAUCCAUAAAUAAGAAUUUAACAUUGAAUCUCCAUUCGAAUCAAACUAAUGAAACCACAUAGUAUCUCGAAGGCUUUCCCCCUAGCCUUAGCUAGGGAGUUAGUUCUCCAUAACAAAGAAAAAAAAAGUGUUUUGUGCCAAAAAGCAGAAUCCUUGAGAUAGAGCGAGUAGCACCCUUUUACAUCAGUCACACCCUAACCACUUAGGAUUUAUUUUCCUCCUUGAAUUUAACUUCUCCAUAGUGAAUUUCCCUUUCUAUUCUCCUAUGCAUGCACGUCAGCUUCCUCUUUUGAUAAGUCAUUGAUCUCUUACUUAGCACGUGAUGAGUCUCCAACCAAUUGGCUUAGUUUUCUCUUUUACUUCAUCUCUUUUGCACUCCAGCAAGCUGCCUACAUAAUUCCAAUAUUAUUUGCCUACAUAAAAUUGGCCAAAAUCAAUGCAAAAUAAUAUUAAACUUUAUUUGAAAAAUUAAAAAUAUAGUAGACCAAAAUGAAUAAAGUAGUAAAUAAAUAAGCUCUAAGGGUAUAUUUUAGGGACAUAAACGAUGCACUUUUCAGCUAUUAUCAAAGAGGAUGCUUAGCUUAAACUGAUAUGAGAGAGGAAUCGAGGAAAGGAUAUGACGCUGCCGAUGCUGUCUCGUCGACUUCGUCACAGAAGGAGGAGCGCAUGUGGAAGGAAUCAAAAUCAAAUAGAGACUGAGAAAAGAGGAGGCGGAGCGGCUCUGUUCAAAAAGCGAUGUAAGGAGAUAGAAGAAUGAGAAUAAGCAGACUGACUUACCUCAGAGGAGAGGAGAUGUGGUCGUUGGCACUGUCUCAUUGUCACAGAAGGAGGAAAGGAGCAGCUGUGGAAGGAAUCGAACUCGGAGGAAAAGAAAAAUGAGAGGAGUGGCUGUUAAAUGUCUUUGACUGAAGGAGAGAGCAGUUGGUUUUGCUUUACCUACAGCAACAAGUUAACUGGUAACUAACAAUGAACGGUGUGGAUUACUUCACAUGCCCCAACUACUCAUCCAAUGAUCAUAAUAAGUGGCACAUCCGUACACCAGGCGCACUGUAGAAUUUUCCAAUAUGACUUUUGGAGGUAGACUAUAUUUUUAUUAUAUUAUGUGUAACUUGGAGUGUUGGGCAUGCAUAUCAGUUCAUGCAUGUGUGUUUAAUAAAGGGAUGGCUUGAAUUCUUUUUUAGAAAGUUAGUCUUGGUGUGCAAACAAAGUGGAUGGUGAAGAAACCUGACAUCAGACAUGACAAGGUGAGAUGAGCUUGUAUUUGGUAGAAAGUAGAAACAGAGAAAAUGAUGACAAGGUGAUUAUAAUAUUGUUAAGGAUGCUUAUGACUAAUAAUAGAUUAAUGGGCAAUUAGUCUAACAUGCAUGAGGUUAUUUUCAUCCAUUAAAACUGAACCCGUGACAUGGUAUUUUGCCCCUACGUUGCUAGAAUUCAAAGUGUCGAUUAUAUGGAAACAUGUAUGCGCAUGUGAGCUGUGAGAGGCUAGUCAACUGGCGAUACCAGUCAGUAACCAGCCUCUCACAGUUAGGACGCACUUGGAAUGUUUUGCAUAUAAAAAGCAUUUCUUUUCUAAUAAAAAUAGAUCCAGGAACUAUACACAGCAACUUUGUUUUCGGAAUUUCUAACAAAGCAUUUCCUUCCUACCUUUGUUCCGUCCUUUCCCAUAGGUUAUUAGAGGCCUUGUCAUAGACAAAGAGAAAGGCAACUUAGUGAAGGCUGAUCAAUUUUGUUAUAUAAAAGGGCUACGCAUGGCACGAAGAUGCUAUCUAAUGGAGCUGUAAGGUACACUAUGAAGCUUUCAUUUUGGUUAGUAUCAUAGUGCAAAUACAAAGCAGGCAUUCAGUGUGCUGUUAAAACGUUAACAAUAAGAACUUCCUAUGAAAGUUCCUAUUAUCAGAUUUAUUACUCUGGUAUUAUAACUUUGUGUAUGUGGCGCUUAGGUUCUUCCAACAUGGCAUGAAGAUGCUAUCUAAUUGUUUGAUUCGGUCCGCCAUGGAUGAAUUGAAUUAAAAUCUAACUGAAGACUGAAUUUGAAUUCGAAUACAAAUUGAAGUUGGAUUGGGAAGAUGGAAUUGGGGAUUUUAUUAAAAAGGACCAUUAGCCAGCUCACUGGAUGACAUUUCCUUAUGCACAUUUACUUAUCAUUUUCUGAGGAGAUGAGGCCUCUCCUCAAUAUUUAAAGACGUAAAACACAUGAAAUUGAAUGAGCCCUUCAAGUGGAGCUUACAAGAACGAAGGAUAAUAAAAAAAAUGAUCUAUUCCUAUAGGUAAUUUACCUCUCUGAAUAAAAUUACAUUACAUACUUUCUUUUUCUUUGGAUAAAAAGAAUAUAAAAGCUAUCUAAGAUGAGGCACUUGCAUGCAAUGCUACCAAAGAAGCAUAAAUGCCAUCCUUGAUACCGAUCAAUGUUUCAUGCUUUCCUUUCUCUGCAAUGACUCCAUUUUUCACCACUGCGAUUACAUCCGCACUCUUUAUUGUGGAUAACCGAUGGGCAACCACGAUUGUUGUUCGAUCCACCAUGAUUCGGUCCAAUGCAUCUUGAACCACUCGUUCCGAUUCAGCAUCAAGAGCACUUGUGGCUUCAUCUAGUAGUAGUAUCUUUGGUGCCUUCAUUAUAGCUCGUGCAAUUGCCACCCUUUGCUUCUGUCCACCGGACAAUUGAAUCCCCCGCUCUCCUACUAUUGUAUCAUAACCCUGCAUUGUUUUUUCCAAACUUCACAUGGUUAAUCUUCAACGUUCCAAAUAAAAUUUUGUGAAUUUUCAUCAACUAGUCCUUCUCAUUUAUGCAGCACCAUGGCAAUAGAUUAUAUUAUAGUAUUUGUGGCCAAAAGAAAUUGACAAGCUUGUUAAUUUUGUAGUGCCUACCUGUUGUAAACUACAGAUGAACUUGUGAGCAUUUGCCAAUUCUGCAGCAGCUAUAAUUUCAGCCUCUGUUGCAUUCCCUUCCUUUCCAUAUGCAAUGUUGGCUCUGAUAGUAUCAUUAAACAAUGCCGGCUCCUGGCUCACCAGUCCCAUUUGCUGUCUCAACCACUUGAGCUGUAGCUUCUGGAUUUCAACUCCAUCUAAUGUAAUGUGACCCGAAUCAGGGUCAUAAAAUCUCUGCAACAGUGAGACGACUGUCGAUUUCCCACUUCCACUUUCUCCAACCAAAGCAACUGUCUGAAUAACAUAAUACAAAUUUGUAAAUCCCAGAAACUUGAAUUAGACUACGAGGUUCAAAUUUUAUGCUUUUUUUGAAAUGAAUAAAAGAACAAAACAUGUUACUAAGUUACCUUGCCAUGACGAAUGGUCAAGCAAAGAUCCUGGAACACUGGAACGUCAGGUCUAGUUGGAUACUUGAAACUGACAUGGCGAAGUUCAAUUUCUCCCUUCACAUUUUCUAUAGUUGUUCCAGAUUCAUCACUAGAGUCUAUUUUUGAUUUCCGGUCAAGAAUGGCAAAUAUGGAAGCAGCAGAGCUCUUUACUUUACCAAGAUUAGGGGCUAGGGAACCCGACUGAGAUACUCCAACAGCUGUCAUCGUGAGAGCAAAGAAAACCUGCAAACCAGGGAAACAAAAUGUUAACAAUGGACUGAAUGGACUAAUGAAGAUUUAAUUCUCAGGUAACAUGUACUUAGCAGAGUUCGGAUCCUCUGCUAAUGUUUUCUCAUCUAUUUACUUACUUGAAGACUUGUAACGCAAGGCAGAAAAACUUACCCGGAAAACAUCAGAGAAUGUUGUCUUGCCUGCUGCAACAAGUCGGGCUCCAGCAUAAAAACUGCAGGCAUACACAGAAAAAAGAAAAAAGAACGAUAGCCCAAAACCUAUCCCGCUGAUUAACCCUCGUCUUAUCCCUGUCUUAAUAGGGCCUUCACAUUUCUUCUGGUACAAUUCAAUCACCUUCUCUUCAGCACAAAAGGAAGCAAUUGUUCGAAUACUCCCCACUGCAUCAUUGGCUACUUGACUUGCGUCCUCGUACAUUUUCUGCAACAAUUUAAAAUUUUUAGCAUUGACAAAAAGGAUUGGUAUUAUAUAUAUUCUGUAUGUCGUGUUGGAUGGUGUUUUGGCUGCACCAGCUACAAGUUCUAUACUAUAAACUUUUGUAAAGUUUGGACUUUGGAGAAAUACCUUUGCAUCUGCACUGAAUCCUUUCAAGAACUUGACUUGAACAUAACCAUUUAAUCCUAAUAAAGGCAGCAAAACCAGGAUUAUAAGAGCAAGUUGCCAAUUUGCCACAAAAGCAAUACACAAACCAGCAAUUGCAGUUGCUGAAUUCUCAACCAGCAAACCUAGAGCAUCUCCAACCAAUGCACGAAGAGAAGCUGCAUCUGCAGAAAGCCUUGCACCAAUUGCACCACUUGAGUGCUCAGGAUCGUCAAACCAACUUACUUCCAUGUAAACCACCUUCUCAUAGCACAUUGACCGAACUCGUUUUAUCAACUUACACCCCGCCACAGCAAAAAAGUAUUGUCUUGCUGGCAGUGCUAUGAAAGUUACCACUCCAAGAACAAUGAAGAUUAAUGCCCAAAACUUCGAAUCCUUACGGAGUUGAGGAGGUGGCUCAUAGAAGGUCUUGAUUACACUGGAUAUCAAUAUUCCAAAAAUCGGUAAGAUUGCCCCAUUGACUGCUGCAGCUAUAGUACCUAGCAAUAAUACUGGAAUCUCUGGCUUGUUCAGGUAAGCCAGGCGGCGAAGUGAGACUUCUGGAGGCACUCCUGAUGAUGCUGAAGCAGGAAUAUCACAUCCUGCAGAUGUUGUUUCAAGAGAACUGACUGCAGUCGGCACACCGUAUGAGAUUGAGAAGGAAUGACGGUUACUGUUUCCUCUUCCAGAUGAUCCCCGGCUUACGGAUCGUAAGUUUGAAAAUCUUUGACUUGAAUGUCUUCGAGAAUCCACGCUGCUAAGCCUUUCGUGAUCAUUUACAACAGUCUGUUCUGACACGCUGCUCAUUUCUUGCAACCUUAUAAGCUGGCUAUAAGCUCCUUCAGGGUCCUUAAUUAGCUCAGAAUGUGGACCUGCUCAGUUGAAAACGAUCAGUAUGUGCAAUACCCAUGGAAUAAGAACAAGAUGAAUUGUAACAUUAUGUUGAACUAUAGACAAUACGAUUUGGCCUUCAAAUGGUAGAACAGGACAACAUAAACAAAUGUAUUACCUUUUUCAACAAUUGUUCCUCGAUGUAUAACAGCAAUCGUGUCAGCAUUCCUUACUGUGCUCAAGCGGUGGGCUACAACGACAGUAGUCCGGUUGAUCAUAAUUCUGUCCAGUGCCUCCUGCACAAUUCUCUCAGAUUCUGCAUCAAGAGCACUCGUGGCUUCAUCUAAAAGUAGAAUUCUUGGGUCUUUGAGAAUUGCUCUAGCUAUAGCAACUCUCUGCUUUUGGCCCCCAGAUAGCUGAGUUCCAUGCUCACCAACCAUUGUGUCCAGUCCCUAAAUGCAUGAAUCACAAAACCACAAAUAAGAAAAAAGGAAUUGAAUGAGUUGAUCGAAAUCAUCCGAGUUAUUUGAAAACUCAUGUGACCUAUCUAUAUUUCCAUCUUCGAAUGUAACAAAAUGGUAAGAUUCCAUGGUUGUGGAAAUUACGAAUUCACGCAAAACGUUCAGAGAACAAAAUACCAGUACUUAGAGGAAAGUUUAAAUGAAUUUAACCUGAGGCAGUUUGUCUAUGAAUUUAGCAGCAUUGGCAAGUUCAGCAGCAGCCCUUAUUUCUUCAGUGGUUGCACCAUCCUUUCCAUAGGCAAUAUUAUCUUUAAUGCUACAAGUAAAUAAAACGGGUUCCUGGCUGACAAGGCCUAUUUUCUGUCUGAUCCAUUUCAGUUGGAACUCUUUGAGAUUAAUGCCAUCAAUAAGAACUUCGCCAGCUAGGGGGUCAUAAAAUCUCUCAAUCAAACUGAUUACAGUUGAUUUACCACUUCCACUCUCUCCAACCAAAGCAGCAGUUGCACCACUAGGUAUUGAGAGAGAAAAUCCAUGGAAUAUUUGUUCAUCCGGUCUUGCAGGAUAACUAAAAUGAACAUCCCUUAGUUCUAUGUCUCCACGGAUAUCAUGCAAUUGUUGCCCAUUAGUGUCAGAAGCAUCAAUCUCUGGCUUUCUGUCAAUUGUCUCAAACAUCUUAUAAGCUGCAGCUUGUCCAGCAGAAAAUGCACUCAAGCAUGGAGAUGCCUGCCCAAGAGACCUGAAAAUUUAUCAUAGAAAGCAGAAAAGUUAUAUCUUGAUCUUCUGAAAAAUCACAUAUCAAAUUUUGGACUGAAAGGGGGAGGGGGAGUCGUCAGUAGAUCACGCAAAAAUGCGAAUCAACAAAUUUGGUCAUUAAAUUUUACUGAAAUGCAACUUACAUGGAGCCAGUCAACACAGCGAAAACUACAUUGAUGACUUCCCCUCCUGUAUAUCCUUUUUCAAGUAUCAUCUUUCCUCCAAACCAUAUAGCCAGAGCAUAACUACACAUUAUAAUCAGCAUAACCGAACCAAUUCCGAACCCAGAUGCCAAACCCUCUUGCACACCAGAGUUGUAAGCUUUAAUUAAGGAGUUGUUGUAAUUAGCUAUAGCUUGCUUUUCUCCUGUAAACGAUGCAACCUGAAUUGGGAACACCGAUCAGUUUUAGUUCUACGCAAAGAAAAUAAUAAAUAAUAAAUUUUUGUUUUAAAGACAAGUAGGCUUACUGUUCUGAUUGAACCAAUUGUCUGCUCUACCACAGUUGCCGCCACUGAAUAAGCAGUUUGUCCACUGGAUGCCAUCUUUGAUAUAAGGAUGCCCAUGAUGGCACCAGAGAGGACAAGAAGGGGGAUAGAAGAUAGCAUGACAAGGGUGAGAAGCCAUCCCUUAAUAAAUGCUAUAACAAAGCCUCCUACGAAUGUUGCAAUUAACUGGAUAAAACUUCCUACCUGAAAUAAGAAAAUGAAAGAAAUGAGAGGUUAUUGAAGCAAAUGGUAAUAACUAAAAAAGGCUUUGGUGUGGCUUGUAAAUACCUUCUCGCCCAUGGCCUCUUGAAUGAGCACAGUAUCACCUGACAUCCUCCCAACAAUUUCCCCAGUGUUAAUUUCUUUAUCAAAAAAGCCAACAUCUUGCCUCAAUAUUGUUUUCAAGUAUAAACUUCUUAUUCGAGAAGCCUGUCUCUCUCCAGUGACCAUCCAGCAAGACAUCUCUGGCAUAUAGAAAAAGCUAAUCACCUCAGUUCCCAAAAAGCCAAAUUAUUUGUUUGAUGCACCAGCAGGCAGUUCAGUGUACUUACGUAGAAAUGCCGCUGCAGCAGCUCCCACCGCCAAGUAGACAAACUUUAGAGCCACCUGAGAAUAUUGAAUUGGCCAAAUUAUAUCUGAUUAAGCCUUGUUCAUUACAAUUUCAUUACUAAGAGGAACCAGAGAACCAAAAUAGAUGUUAAGACAGAAGUAAGCUCAGUCAUUGAAGUUCUGAUAGAACUGGAUACAACAAUGUUUUGAGUAGAAUUUUGUUCUUUACUAUUGCUGCUAUUGCCUAGUUGACUUAAUUUCUAUGAAGAUGUUACAUGUACCCAACACGAUUGUACGAGGUCACAAUUCACCCAACACAAUUAACAGAGAUAACUAUCUACCAGUUUAUAGUCACAGAAUAUUUACCUUGGAAACUGCAUCAACCACGUCUUUAUUAUUCCCACUUUGUCCAAAGGAGUUAAUCACAUCUCCAAAGAUUAUGGUCAUUAGAGGCAAAGAGGUCCCAUUUCCAAUAGCACUGAUUGUACCAACGGACAUUAACAGGAAAUCCAAGGAAUCAGCAAAGGAGAAAAGCUUGUAAUAUGGUACUGUUUUGGUGCCAUCCUCCUUGCUCUUGCUUGUAUCUUGUGGGCUGUUUUGGGAGUCCUCCACUACUGCUGAGUGGCCGUUCGAUGCUGCCGUUCCCUGCUCUUUGAUUACAUUUCCAUCCGCAGGAUUUUCCUCAGCCAUGUUUUUCACAGCAAUAGUAAAGCUGCUAUAUUUGACAACAAGCACCUCAGAGAAGUAAGUUGCUACUUUAUCUGACAGAGAACUUGAUCAGAGCUGCAAGACAAAACAUUUAUGGUUUGGAUUAGGAACCAUAAUUUUUGUUUUUUUGGGGAACUAAAUUGACUAUAUAAACCAAGGAAAAUUUGCCAACUGAUUCUAAUUGAAUAUGGAAUUGAUUAUUCAGCCAAAAUUAAAAAAUCCAUUUGUUCCUAUAUUCUUAUUUUUGUGCGUGUGAGCAUUAGAAAACCCGUUACUGAAGCAAGUGGUACAGAAUAUGUACAUGUUGAUUCCAGAAGAUGAAAAUAGAAAAUAAGGGUUAAGAACACAGACAGGAAAAGGAAACAGAGGAAAAAGAACAAGUAAUAACAAAAAUACUAUACUCAAACCAAACAUUAAGAAGCCUCACACAGCAGGCAUGAAAUGCAGGUCGUGGGAAUGCUGAGAACAAAACCUCACAAACACAAUUUGAAACCAACUAAAACGAAACUAGGAAUCAAACGAAGGAGAAAAGAGAAAGAAACCAAGUGGGCAGCUAAUGCAUGCUCUAAAGGUGAGAAAUUUAAAUAGAAGAGACAUAACCACAAAAAGCUGAGAUACAACUUCAAAAAGUGUUGCAGGAAACAUUAAUAUCACCAAAAGAUGAAGAUACUCACUGAGGGGGAAAGAAGUUUACAAACUUUCAGGAAAUGGGUUGAUGAAAUUGUUGUACUUCCCCCCGAAAGCGUUGCUUUAUAAGGCAGCACAUCAGCCUACAGCCUACCAACUAGAAAGAUAGUGUAGAUACAAGACUAGUCAAACGUUCAAACUAUCCAGACUUAUAAAACAAAAUUGAAAGACGUAAAAUUCUGGUCCUCUGCUCCUCUCCGUGGUGGCUUUGCUUAGGCAGGAAAUCAAAUGGGUUGCUUUGACAUUAAGUUAAAGUUGAAUUUGCAAGGCAACCGUGGUUUGGAGUAUUUACUCUUUCAUGCAAGCUUUUGAGUCCUAGCAUCCGUGUAGUGUAUGUGAGUUUAAUAUACUAUCGUCCCUUUCAAUAGGAAAUGUGCUCAAAAAGUUAAAGUUGAAUUUGUCAGCUCAGAUACUAUGCUUUGCUGCUUGCAAUGCAAAUCGGCCGUCUUUCUUUUGCAAUUAAAGUUAAAUAUUGUUUUCAAAGUUAGGAAGGCGACAUGGUUUUCUUACAAACGCUGCCAAUGUAUCAUGAGAAUUCAAAAUUGAAACCACUAAUAUGCAAGUCAAGGCAAUUUUCCACUGAAUUAGACCCCUUCAUCACCUACCCUACCAUCAUAUUGCUUUGAAUUUAUAAAAUUAAAUAAAUAAAUAAAAGGUACUGCAAAAACUCGUGACCAGUGGAAAGAAAUCAUUUUGGAGACAUAACAAGACGCGUGACACAUUGACUAGCAUAUUCUAUAUAUCAAUCUCUAGUUGUUUGACACACAAAAUCUAGUUGUUUGUCCUUCUUUUGUAAUUAUUUAACUUGUAUGAUAUGUAAGCAGAUCACAACGUUAGGUAGAAGGUACCCAUCCAUUAUGCUUUGCCCUUUAGAUUAAUCAGGGUCGACAGUCUAUCUACAUAACAGAAUGAGUAAAAUAAGAAGCUGGGAUUGGAAUUAUGUUCAUAAUUUGGACAAUUAAUUAAGUUGUAUUUUGUCAAGAGGAUAUAUGAAUCUAUGAUUAGAAUACAUUAAAAUGAAAACAAGGAAUGGUAGCAAAACAAAAACUACUAUGGCAUGGGAUGGAAGUGUUUGUAUGUUAUCGUUGAAGAAAAAUGCUGAAACUAAAUAUAUAGAUAAUUCGGCUGUGAUAUUAUAUUAGAAUAUGAACAUCAAACUCAAAAUUAUUAAACUAUUAAAUUAUGAAUCCAAGAUUUCCAUUUCCAAAGUAGAAUAAUUAAUCUUAACAUGAGAGUGAAGUGAGCAUAUGUGGUUUGAUUCCUUCCCCUUUUUCUUUUUUCUUUUCAAAAAAUUAAAAGUAAGAGUGAUGCGCAAGUUUGUGCAAUAGAAAGAACAAUUCGAGCACUGCAAUUUGGGUGGUCCAAUAUGACUUUUGGAGGUUGACUGUAUUUUUAUUAUAUUAUGCGUAACUUGGAGUGUUGGGCAUGCAUAUCCGACAUGAGACAUGACAAGUCAAUCCUCUCGACUGCCAUUCUUUUUGUGUUUUUGUUGUGUUAAAAUAUGCAAUUGUCAUUGACUUAUUAUGGAUAGAAUUGGUAUGCAAUUUGAAAAUUGUAUUUUAAAUUUUAAAAUUUUGAGAAUUUGUGGGUUGUUAAAAAAAAUUGAAAAAAUAUUUUUUUUUUGUUUUUAAUAAUUGGGGUGUUUUUUUGGUUGUUCUUGAGUUCGAGUUUUUAAAAAUAGGGCUAUCAAACAAGUUUUCUUUAUUUUGGAUUCAAAUUUUGUUUUUGAAUUGAAAAAGUUGAAUUCAAGUUGAAUAUCAAACAAGUCAUAAUCCUUGUGUUUUUUUUUUCUUUCCUCCCAAGGAACAAAUGGACUUAUCUUGAAAUCCCCAAAAAGGUGAGUGUCAGUUGCAAGAUACACGAAACAGAAAUUAUCUUUGUAGACGUCCAUGUUGACCAAAGGAUGUUUAUUCAAAUUUUGUUACUUAGAAAAUACCUGGAAAUAGCAAGAAAAGUAAGGGGAGUUUCAAAUUAAAGUAAGCUUUUGUAGACCCGUGUUGGUUAUAGAUUUUGGUUCUUUGCUUUACUAGAUUCUUGAGGGAGUUUCAAAUUAAAGUAAGCUUAAUGAAUCAUUGUUGGGACAGUAUAUUGAAAAUUGUUAACUAACUUUGUUGAAUAAUCACCUCUUAGAGAAUAUUUUUUUUUAUGGGUGGUGAUUUUCUCACUCCCUUUUUAUCCACCUACAUUCCCUUUUGUUUUUUUAAUACGUUUUAUUACAAGAUAAAAGGGAGUGUAAGUGAAUAAAAGAGGAGUGAGAACAUACAAUUUUAAAAAAAAUAAAAUGUAAGUGGAUAAAAGGGGAGUGGAAAAAUCAAUACCUUUUUUUAUUAUAAAUAACUUAAUUUUGAUGGAUUGGUAAACAUGACUGUGUCCUAGAGCUGCAGUCUUUUGUGAUUACUGACUCUAAUGAUAAUCAAGCAACAAUUAGUCACAGAAGUUUGAGUUUUCAAGGAGGGGGUUGGUUUGUGUUGAAGAAGAUUCAAAUUGAAGCAAUUCCAAAUUGGUAAGUGCAGGACGAGUUGAAUUUAAUUACAAAAUAUUCAAUUAAGUUAUUUAUUUAUUUUUUAUACAAGUGAUAUUAGAGAAGGAAAAUCGAACUUACGAACUCCAAUACCACUUGAGUUACGAGCACUUACAAAUUUGAUUAAGGUUGAGUUUAAAUAUUUGUGAUGGGCCACAAGUGAAUUGAGCAAGAUAUGUGAUGGGCCAAAUAAGAAGAAAAGGAAGAUAUGUGAUGGGCCUAAUAUUCAUUGGCACAGAAGGCCUCAUUUAUGGUUACAUAACGUGAGCAUGGGCUAUUCAUUGGCCAUUGAUUUACUUCCGGUCCAUUUGAAAACAGGUAAUCUGAUAAAAUCAUAAGAGUGUUGUUAUUUUCACCCACUAUUUUACUUUCUUCACUCACCUUAUGUUUUCACAUUCCACUCAAUUUUUACCCACAAUCAUUCCUAAAAUGCUCCCAAUAUUUUGAUCAAAUUGACAUUUAGUCUCAUAGUCCAAUCCAUUUGAAAAUGGGCAAUUUGAUGAAAUCAUAAGUGCCUUUAUUUCCACGCGAUGUAUAACGAAACUAUUACACCGCUGAAUUUUCUCACUAAUAUGUCGGGAUGGCAACGGACCGGUUCAAAGAUUGGUAUCACAAUACCAUACCCGUCCCCACUCCCCAUCCCCGCACCUGUCCCUGCCCUAAUCCCUGAUAAGAAAUUUCGGGGAAUCCCCGUCCCCAUCCCCAUCGAGGGGUUGUCUCCCAAACCUGCCCCGAAUUCACGGUUUUUAUUUAUAAAAAUAUACUACACUCAAUUUUGACCAAAAAAUAAACUCAAUUAUAUUCAAUUAAACCAUAAAAAUUCAACUUAACUAUUUAAAAUCAUCUAAACAAUUUGACAAACUAAUAGAAAUCAUAUAUUCCACAAUCAAAACUAAAUAUUUUGUCGCAAAAUUCUUAUUUUACUGCUAAAACUAACAACAACAAAACACAUUAAAAACCUACAAAAAUAAAAGAUCAAAUAAAUUUAAAAAAAAAACAUGGCAGCACUAUAGCACCAGCACCGUAACUUCAUUAGACAAUAUAGAAUGGAAGGAGGUUCUAAUAACAAAUCAGGGAGAACACAUAAACAAACAAUUUCCAUAUGUUUCUUGGUCAACCAAGAGCAUCAUGAAUUGUUUCCUAUUGGUUUAUUGAAAUAUAUAUUAUAUAUUCAUUAAUUAAAAAUAUAUAUAUCACUAAUCAGGCAGGGUUCAAGGAUGGAGAUAACGAUACCAUCCCGGUCUAUCUUCAACUGUGAAUUUUUAAAAUUCAGGGAUCCCCUUACCCGCCCCCGAUUUUUCCCGACAUCUUCCCCUAUUAUAGUCAUAGUUAUUAUAGAAUUUUAUAAAAGCUCACUCAUUUUUUGAUACAAGUAAAAUUAAAGACGGAGAAAUAAAAUAUGAAACCUUAGAUACAGGAAUAACGAAAGCUCAUUCAUUUUAGAUAUACGGCAACAUAACAUAAAUAAUUUUUUGAAAAUGUAGACAUUUUUGCAUAAUUUUAGUAAGGUUAAGAAAGUUAUGGUUAAAUCUAAGAAAAAAAAGUUGACCCGAGAUCAAUUUGUCCCAAAAUAUUGGGAAAAUGUACCAAAUGCCGAAAGGCCUUUUUUAGAUCGUUUACUGUCCAAAACAAAACCGAAAAGCGCUUGACCUUAUCAUCAUCACCAUGGUUGAUAGACCAAACUCCAAAGAGAGCAGCAGUCACAGCAGCUGAGCGACAAACCAAUCAAUCUCAUCCACGAAAACAGAAAAGCAAACCUUCACUUUCAGUAGUGCCUUUCCUGCAGUUGAAUGAGACUGAACCAAAAACUCUCCUCAGAUAUUUUGAGACUCCACUCUUCUUCUUCUACUUCUGCUUCUUCUCUCGCGCUCUGCAAACACCCAACAUUCAGCUUCAAAGAGGGGGGAGGAGAGAGAGAGAGAGAUAGAGAUGUAUACAACUGAGGCAUUGGGGAAUUUCUCAGUGUUUAGAGAGACUUCCGUUUCAAUGGCGGCCACCAACUAUCUCAGAAGUCCUGUUCGAAUCCGACCCAUGUCCCGUAGCAUUCUUAGUAGCAAGAAUUUACUCUGGAAUUAUGGAAUGAAGUGCCAGUGCAGCAGCAGCACCAGCAGUAGCAGUAGCGGCGUUGAUGAGAAGUCAGUGUUUUCACUCACCUCGUCAAGCAAGUACGAAGUUGAUUAUUUGGGAGAAAAAACCAAGGGGGAUUUGAAUGUCAAGGUGGAGCAUCUUGAGGCCUUUGGUAACUUUCUUUCCUCUCCUGUGCUCUAUUUCGUUCUUUCAGUUUUGAAACUACAACCAUAUAUAUGUGUGUGUGUGUAAAGUUUUGUUCUUUUCAAUGAACCCAUAUGUAGGAAUUGAUAGUCAAGCAACUUUAAAAGGUCCAAUUGAGGAAGUGGCCAGGGUUGAGGCUGAAGAAGCUGAAGACUUGCUCAGGGACUUGGGUAUCCCGGUGCUGUUUUUUAAUUCCUUUUCCUGCAUACAUUUGGUCCUAUAUAUGCAUUACCUUAUCUCUUUGCUUUCUUAUCUUUUUCUUUAAUAUAUGGUUCUCUUGAAUCUUGAACCAAUGGAUAUCCCUCUUAUCAUUUGCUUAUGGUACUACCAUGUUCAAUAUUUAUGUGCAGACUCCUUUUUCUUCAAGACAAUCACCUCGCGGCAUUUUUUGUAGCCGCACAUUAAAUCUUCGAUCAAUCAGUGCCAUUGGAUAUGAUAUGGACUACACCUUGAUGCAUUAUAAUGUGAUUGUAAGUGUCAUCAGCUUAAAAUAUGCUCUUAUUCUCAGCAUUAGUUGGCGCGUCAGCUUUGAUGCAACAUCAAGAUCAUAUAGUUUUGCAUGUGCAAUUGACUAGUGUUGCAACCUCAAUGCAUUAGUAACCGUUACUAUUCUGGCUAUUGUGUGACAUGGAUUUGUAUUUUUCAGGCUUGGGAAGGGAGAGCUUAUGAUUACUGUAUGGAGAAUUUGAAGAAAGUGGGUUUCCCUGUUGAUGGUCUUGCGUUUGACCCUGACUUGGUAACAUCUAUAAGCAAGUUAAAAGGUUUUUGAGUAUUUACAUUUAAGCAAGUCUUGAGAUCUAAUUUUCGUUUUUCCUUCCUACCUUUGUUCCAUCCUUUCCCAUAGGUUAUUAGAGGCCUUGUCAUAGACAAAGAGAAAGGCAACUUAGUGAAGGCUGAUCGAUUUGGUUAUGUAAAGAGGGCUAUGCAUGGCACGAAGAUGCUAUCUAAUCGAGCUGUAAGGUACACUAUGAAGCUUUUUUUUUAUUAGUCUCAUAGUGCAAAUGCAAAGCAGGCAUUCAGUGUGCUGUUAAAACAUUAGCAAUAAGACUUCCUAUGAAAGUUCCUAUUAUCAGAUUUAUUACUCUGGUCUUCCCUUGUAUUAUAACUUUGUGUAUGUGGCGCUUAAGUUCUUCCAACAUUUUGCACUUUAGCAUAUCAUUUUUGGGAAAAGAUGGAAUCAUAUAUUCUAGUGUGACUUAACUUUUUACUCAUUGAAGUGAGAUGUAUGGGAGGGAACUGGUGGACCUCCGGAAGGAAAGUCGAUGGGAAUUUCUUAAUACACUGUUCUCCGUCUCAGAAGCUGUCGCUUAUAUGCAGGUACUGUUUUGUCUUAGCUAGAGCACUGUUUUAACCUCAGACUCCUUUUAUUGCUAUUAUUUUUGUGGAUUUAGUUUAUUCGUAUGCGGACAUUGACUCAUGAUUCUUUUCAGAUGGUUGACAGAUUGGAUGAUGGAACCAUAGCAGCACAACUUGGUCCACUUGAUUAUAAAGGGCUCUAUAAGGCAAUAUGUUGUGCCUCAAUUUUAUAGAGCCUGGUAUUGGUUUUUUCUUGCUCCUUUUUAACUAUUGACAUGAUUUCAGGCUGUUGGAAGAGCCCUCUUCAGGGCACAUGUAGAGGGUCAACUAAAGGUUAAUAUAUUUAUGAUUUGUGUAUCAGAUAUGUAAGAAUUGGUUCAUGAGCAGGAACUGAUUGUGGUAUAUAUGCAGAGUGAGAUAAUGUCUAAGCCUGAACUAUUUGUGACACCUGAUCCAGAAUUACCCCUAGCACUUUUGGAUCAAAAGGAGGUACGUCUUAUAGAAAUUUAUCUUUCAGUAGCGUGUGACAUCAUUUAACUCCUUAUUUACUUUGACCUAUUCGUGCAUUAGGCUGGUAAAAAGCUUCUGCUCAUUACCAACUCAGAUUAUCAUUACACAGACAAAAUGAUGCAGCAUUCCUUCAACAGAUUUCUUCCCAAUGAUAUGGGUUGGCGGGAUUUAUUUGACAUUGUAAGUAAAUGUCGUUUGUAUACUUAUAACUUCGUGCCACAUUGAAUAGUAAUUAUUUUAUAGGACCUCUGCUAUAAAAGUCUCAGGAUCAUUCUUUCCUGAGUGGUGCUUAAACUAGCAGCAUAAUUUUAUCACAGACCAGUGUUUUUUCUUUCUUUUUGUGUGUGUGUGUGUUUAACAAUCAAAGAUUGCCUUGAAACUUAAUGAUCAUUAGAAUUGUGAUCGCAUUAACAGCAGUGAGUCAUGUUUUUUUGGUCUAUUACGCUCCUUUUCAGGUAAUAGUCUCCGCAAGGAAGCCAGAGUUCUUCCAAAUGUCACACCCUAUGUAUGAGGUGGUGACAGGAGAGGGGCUCAUGCGUCCAUGCUUCAAGGCUAAAACAGGUGAUGAAGACUAAUGUUCAGUACUUGUGCUUGUUUAGCCCUGAAAUUCUUUUAUUUUUAAGGCAGAAUACAGUGAAGUUGUUAAUUUCAUGUGCUCUGUGGUUGCACUUGCUUUGAAUGUCACUUGGUUGCACAUUAGCUAAAUAAUCAUGUUUGAUAAAUGAUUGUUAUUGUGACAUUAAUUAACUAAAUAACUAAGUUGUUAAGUUGGUCAAAUCUCUGCUGUUUUUUUUCUCAGUCAACAUCAUUUUUACAUGUCAAUAUAUUAAAUUCCUCUGGGCUUUGUAUGGAUCAUAUUAUUUGAUAAUUCUUUACUUUGUUGGCAUUGGUUUUAUUUAACAAUCUCAUGCUCAUUCAAAUUCUUCUUCUUGCAGGGGGAUUGUAUUCUGGGGGAAGUGCUCAGAUGGUUGAGAAUUCCCUAAAUAUUCAUGGAGAUGAAAUACUGUAUGUUGGUGAUCAUAUCUACACUGAUGUAAGUCAAUCCAAAGUUCAUCUGCGAUGGCGGACGGCAUUAAUUUGUCGAGAAUUGGAAGAAGAGGUUUGUGUAGUUGAUUUUCUCUUUACAUGCAAGAGUACAGAAUAGAAAGUGCAAUUAACAUGUUUCUGGAAGUUGAGAUCUCACUAUCAUUGAAGAAUUGAAAAUUUUGGCAUGAUUAAUAAUAUACUGACUAGAAAAAACACUUUGAGACAACAAAUGGAACCCAAAGAACCUGCUUGCCAGUUUCCUUAUAUAAAUAUUCUAUUGUUCCACAGACCAGACACCUAUGGACUAUAAUUUUUAAUUUGGUCUCCUAGUAAUUGAGAGAUUUAAUAUCCUUGAACUGUUAAAUGCUGAUUAGGUCUCCGUUUGUUUCGUGAAAUUUUGAGGCUGCAGUUUAGUGCUUUGAUCCAUAGCCGGGGUCAUAGAGCAUCACUGGUAGAGCUUAUAAAUCAAAAGGAGGUCAUAGGGGAUCUUUUCAACCAACUUCGGCUCGCCUCGCAAAGGCGAACUAAAGGACGCCCUGCUCAAGUAAGUUUUAUCCAUCACUGAAUUCUUGUAAUGUAUAGUGAUAAUAUCUCAAUAUAUUUUUCAUAUCUCCUCUUUUUUAUGCUUGUAUCUGUAUCCUUGAGCAUUAAACAAUUACUGCUUUAAUUAACAAAUAUUGUCUGCUCACCGUUGCAUGUAUUUGAGUAUAGAAGUCAAGAUGAUCUGGUUAUCAUUUGAACAUUUCUAUACUAAUACAUAAGUGCAACUCUUAAUUCUGGUGUUACCUCUGAACUGAAUCCAUGCUACAUUUUCUUUUUCCCAUUAAGCAUCACCACUCAGCAAACAGUAUGAACUCCUAAUCCAAGAGUGUGGACCAAGAGAUGAUAGAACUGGAAACAUAAAAAAAGAAAUGGUUUAUAUAAUGUAGUGCUUCUUAAUUUUAUCUGAAACUUUUCUGCACUUUCAGACCCUUGCUGCAACAAACUUGGAUGAUCAAGAACUCUCAGAAAGCAUGCAAAAGCUACUUAUAGUUAUGCAAAGACUGGACCAGAAAAUUGCUCCAAUGCUAGAAGCAGAUGGAGAGCUCUUCAACAAAAGGUAAGAUGGGGUUAGGAAACAUAUGGAAUUGAUUUUUUUAUAGAGAUAUUUAGUGAUAUACCCAUUUCUAGCACUAAUAUUAUAAAUAAACCCUACACAAUUGAAUUCCUAUAAACAAACCAAAAAAAAACCCAAAAAAUGAUAGCUGACCUUAUUGAAUUUAAUAUUGAUUAUUAAAUUACUUUGAUGCCCUAUUGAGUGUUUUGGGUAUUUUUAUGAGAUUUUGGGGUUGGGCUUGUUUUAAGAAAUUGAUGGCAGUUUUGUAAUUUAUAAGAAGUUAAAAGCUUUUUUGUUAUGUUGUAAAUGGGCUUUGGGUGUGUUUCUAAAGUCCAUUUUAUAUAGGAUAUUUUUAUAAUUUGGGCCCCCAUAUUGGGUAUAAUAGUGAAUAUCCCCUUUUUUUAUUACUAGUGUAUAUCUGUGGAAAAUGUUUCAUUCAUAAAUAUACAGUUGACCUCGUGAACCUGCUGUGCAUUAGGUGGGGAUUUCUUUCCCGUGCAGGGUUCUGGGAUAAAAGCCAUCUGAUGAGACAGAUUGAGAAGUAUGUUCUGUUUUUUCGACAGUUCAUAUUUCAUUCAUCACAGGACGUCUGUGACAGAAAUAAAAAUUUAUAUUUUGAGUGUCCUUAACAAUGAUUCUCUCAAUUCUUUUUCGUCUUACAGGUAUGCCGAUAUAUAUACCUCCAGGGUGUCAAAUUUCUUGCAUUACACACCUUUCAUGUAUUUCCGCUCACAGGAACAGGUAACUACUAAACACCAAAGCUUAAAUUAUUAAGGAAUGCCAACAUUGUCAUCUUCACGCGCAACCCUGCACGUUGAAAGGGGACUGUGUAAAUUACCAAAUGAGUAGAGAAUGAGGAUUUGAGAUUUCGAACUUAGGAACUCUUGUAACCAAAACUCUGAUACUGUGAGGUAACAAUGUGAAAAAGAGAACAAGACUACAAUAUUAAUGAACAUGCAAAUAAGCAAGCAAUACAUGACUAUUUUACAACCCUCAACUUUUAGAAAGAGCACUUAUAUGCCUUAUGCCUUUUACCACUGCAGACGCUUGCUCAUGAUUCGUACUCAUACUACUGUUCGAGGUUUAAUGGGUCUGCUGUGGAUGACGAGGUCGACUUUAUGUUGUAGAAGUGCAUUUUUGGCUGUAAAUAUUGCUCAAGUUGACCAUGCUAAUUAUUGUAGUAUCUUGACUCCAUUGUUUUUCUGUAUGAAUGAUCCAGGCACUUCACAAUUUUCAAGGUUAUAGACUAAUAAUGAAUAAUAAUGUUUGAUUACUGAAUAGUAAUCAGUGCUUAUCCAAUGAUGAGUGGAUUGUUUAUGCCAGACAGAUGAACAACAUGAGGUUAUUUUCAUCCAUUAAACUGAACCCCUACAUUGCUAGAAUUCAAAGUGUUGAUUAUAAGGGAACAUGUAUGCGCAUGCGAGCUGUGAGAGGCCAGUCAACUCGCGAUACUAGUCCGUAACCGGCCUCUCAUACUUAGGACACACUUGGAAUGUUUUGCAUGUAUAAAGCAUUUCUUUUCUAAUAAAAAUACAUCUAGAAACUAUACACAGCAACUGCGUUUUGGGAAUUUCAAAUUAGAUACACAAACGGCAGAACUGCUAAAUUAGAUAAAUAUUUAAUGGGAACUAUCCCAUUAGAAAGCACUGUCGUUUCCAGACUUUGGACGACUCGUCGUUAUACCUUCGUUAAAGCAAAAUCAAAAUGGGUUUAAGAAGCAGAAGCAACAGAAGAAGCUAAAAAGAGCAAGGAAUCUGGAAAUGGAGAUGAAGAAGCUGAGAUGGGCAAUGGACGGAAGCUUUUGGGACCUUGACAUAUCGACUCCGAGGACCCUUGACGGACUGGCCAGACCCGUUCCCGGCGACCCACUUCCUCUGGGUCUGACCCGAGGCGCCAGGCUCUCCAGGCCCAAGCAAAUUGACUUCAUGCAGCGUUUCAUGCCUGUCCCUUUUGUCCCUUCCUACGCCGCCGCCAAUGGCUUCAGUCUUCAGCGAGUCCUCACCAUACCCAUUAGCGACAAUUGGUACCCGCCACCAAAAUCCAAUUCAAUUCCUUUUUUGCUUUUUCAUCUUCACCGUUUUUCUUUAUAAGGUUCAAGUUGAAUCAGUAAUUCUUGAAUUGAAAAGCUCUGUAGGUUUGGGACGUUACUGGGCCAGUUCAAUUUGCAGAGGUUCGUAUCCUCUGUUAAGAAAAGUGGGAAGACAACACCACCAGACUCUGCAUCUUCAUGGAUGCAAAGCAUUGGAACCCACUUGCGUGAAAAGUCCUUGUAUGCCCUUUCUUUCUGUUCUGACUUCUUGUUGACACCUGACGACACAUUGGUGUUUAGUGUGGAGGCUUAUGGUGAUGAAAAGAAAGCUCGAAAGAAGGCACUUUUUCAGCACAAGGUGUGUUUGUGUUUACCCAAGUGUCAAUUUUGUGCUACUUCUGGCUGGAUUUACUGAUAAAGCUUUGGCUGUUGUGUAAAUUUCAGUUUUCUCAUCACAAUUUGACAGUGGAGGCAGUUUGGCCCGGGCUUUUUGUUGACAAGCCUGGUAAUUAUUGGGAUGUGCCAUUCUCAAUGUCACUUGAUCUGGCUUCGGUUGCUGCUGACUCCGGGGCCAGUUAUCGUAUAUGUGCCCAUCAUAAUUCAGGUUCACCGGAGCGCCUUGACAGUGGUCAGAGCGAUGGAGUUCCUGCUAGUCUGCUUCCUGGUUUGUCUGUCACAAGUACUUUUUCUUUUAAGAAGAACAUUGAGCUUUGGAGAAAUAAUGCUCAGAAGUUGAGAAUGGUGCAACCAUAUGAUAUAUUCCUUUCAAAUCCUCAUGUUUCGGCUUCGGGGAUUAUUGGUAAGACACUGCCUUUUUUUAUUGCUGAAUUAUACUGGUAGAUGAUAAUACAUAGGAGAGGGGCAAGAGGGUGAGGUUUACUAUAAGAAUCAUUUAGACACCCUUUUGCUUAUAUGAAAGAGAUGUUUUCUGGGUAAAGAAAAGAAGCCAUCAGGCGUUGGCAUUAAUGAUUUACAACGUUUGCCCAAAAUUGGGAUCAAGUAGCUCUGUGCCCCUUUGUAGCAUAAAUUUUCUGAUGUUCAUAACUUUUUUGUGUACUGUGUUUUAGCUUAGCCAACCCCUGAUAGUUGGGAAUCAAGUGAGUUGAGUGGAGUAGUUGUUGUCUUAGCAUCUUGGCCAUUGUCUUAUACAUGUACAACUCUCUUACUAAUUGAUAAUUCAAAUUCGUUCAUACACAGGUGCUGCUAUGACUGCCUCGUUUGGUGAUAGUUCGGUUAGGUCACAAAUCGCAGAUGAUGAUCCUGAGGGUUUUAGAGGCUUUAGUAUUCGGGCUCCUGAAGUAAAAUCUGCCUUUCUAGCAGAUAUAUUUGCAUCUGCAUCAUUUACAGCCCAGCAUGGAAACUUCCAAAGGCUAUUCCUAGAUCUUACUCGCUUUCAUGCCCGUUUGGAUUUUCCUUCUGGUUCUAAAUUUCUUUCAGGUGCUACACAUCUAGCACAAGAUUUUUUCAAUUCUCAACAGCCAAAUUUGGAAGCUAUCCAGGACAUUUGCCCCAAUGCCACACUUUCUCUUCAGCAGCAGGUAUCUAUAUUUCUUUUAUAUUAAUUAUAUUUUCCGUCUUGGAAAAAAUAUUUCCCAGAAUUCAAGUGUGAUUUCAGAAUGAGAGAAACAUUGAGGUUAUAUGUUAAACUUGUUCGUGUAAUGGAUAUUCCUGUGUUGAUCUUGGGCUGCACCUUUGUAGUAUCUGGGUUUCAAAGCAGUCCAGGUUAUGGUCGUUUCUUACAUAGCUGUUGUAUCUGAAUGACGUUGAAAUGAAUGUUGACUUUGAAUUGCCUCUGCAAUUUCUUGCAGAUUGCUGGACCUUUCAGUUUCAGGGUCGAUUCAGGAGUUGCAGUUGAACUAAAGAACCAAGACUGGAAUAUACGUGUGGACGAGCCCGUAUUUGCCCUUGAAUAUGCACUGCAAGUCCUUGGUUCAGCCAAAGCCGUUGCUUGGUAUUCGCCAAAGCACCAAGAAUGCAUGAUAGAGCUUCGUUUUUACGAGACAUAAAACCAUGUGCUCUUGACUCUUGAUAGGGUUAUAUUGUCGGGUCAUUUUGAGGGAGAUUCUCCCAUAAAUGAAAAAAAAAAAAUUUCAUUCGCCAUUUGUCUCGCCAUUUGUAAAGUGGUGUAUUAUUGGAGAAUUUUAUUUUUGCUGAAUGCAAUGGAAGUUCUGGUAAUUGAAACUCUCUGUGCUUCAACAUUAUACUACCUUCUGAAAAUUGGAUAGAUUUAUAAUUUAAAAAUUAAAAUUUUUUUUAAAAAAAGGAACAGUGAUGAUGCAAUAAAUACACAAGUAAUUUUAAGAGAUCCAAUGGCAACAACUUUUAGAUUUUUUUAACACAGAUUGAAAUCCUCUGGCCACACCAUUUCUUGAAUACUCAUGUUAUUGGUUCUUUGUUUAUUGUUUUGGUACAAAUGAAAUUCUUAAAUUCUUAGUAGAAUGGAAGCUUACAUGAUCCUAUGGUAUAAUGCCUGCCAAAACUGGUCGUGGAGCAACCAGAUGGAAGCCUUAGAUGCUCCUCGUUAUACUUGACUGUCGCAAGACUUAGCCCAUGAGGUGGAGCAAACAUGGCAUAUUUAGCAAGUUCCCUGCGAUCUCGUGUUGCCAAUAUCAUGGGAACAACAUAAGGAGGCAGUGCUUCCCUCCCAAUUUGAAGCAGCAGAGAGACCUGCAUAAGUGUUUCACAGAAAAUGCUUGUACUACCAUUUGAUGAAAUGCAUUGCAUAGUACUAAAAAGACAAUAACUUUAGAUGAAAAAGGUUAAGAUGAAUGCUUCACCAUGUUCCGGACUUGUCGAUAUAAGAAGCCCGACCCUUCAACUUCUAGUUGUAAAAGAGCCCCCUAGACAAGGAUUUUAUUGAAGAUCAGCAAUGAAUCAUAUCUUUCUCAUAAAACUCAUAGAUAAUGAAGAGCACCCUAAAAUUCAACUGCUGUUGAAGAAAUCUUGUAGUGGGGUUUGAGCAAGUACCAUUUCAAUGACAUCAAAACGGAAUAUAUUCUUUACUGGAUCUCGCACUCGUUCUUUCUGGGAGGCAUUGGCAAAAGCAGAGAAAUCAUGCUUUCCAAUAAAAUACUUUGCAGCUUCUCUCAUAACCGCGGGGUUUAGCUUAUGUGCACUAUGGUAAGCAUAGUCACGCUGAAAUGGGUCCAUGAAUGUGUCAUUAUAUACUUUGUAAUGAUAAAUUUUGCUUUUUGCUGAAAAACGAGCAUGGAACUCAGGCACUGCAGGGCUGAUCUCCCUCACUCGAAUAUCAGAAGGAAGAAGACCGUUGAGAGCUGCAUGAAUGCUAUCUAUGCUGUCGUAGUUGAAAGGUGUGACAAAGUGUGCAACCUGAAAGCUGAACUGAAAGUAAGUCUUUGAUAUGUUGGUGGAUUUCCUUGUUGUGUUUAAUCUUGAUGAGAGUAAGAAAGAAAAUUAGACCUGACCCCAAGCAUGUACUCCCUUAUCUGUCCUACUUGCACCAACCAAACUAAGAUCCUUCCUUUCCAGCUUUGUUGCUUGCAUUAGAACUUUCUCCACAAAGCACUGUAUUGUAGGAGGUGAACUCUGGUAUUGCCAUCCUGCUAAUUCAUGGAAGUGUUGGAAAUGAUUGAUGCAGAAAGUGGAAGCUAAUAUCAAAUUGGGAUUUUGAAAUGGGCAUCUGAAAUAUCUCAAAAUUGACAGAAAUUAACCACCUUCAUGCCUAUAAGAUGCCCAAUUUGGAAACUUGCCAUAUCAACUAGAAAAAUUAGACAGACAAAGUUGGAGAAGUUGAAGGAAAUGUAAUCAUACAUAGGGGCAUUAUGUCAAAAAUCAUUGAAGCACAUUUCCAUUUCUAAGCAGAGCUAUUUUCAUCAGAACUCAAAAGAAAAAAAGAAGAAGAAUAAAGGUAAUCACUUUCCUCUAAAUUAUCAAGUGGGUUGUCACUGGUGAAUUAAGAAUUGAUUUCUAACUUCAAAUCAAAUAUAAUAAUUAGCAACAAAUCCAUGACUGGAAAAAGCUUAUAAAGCAAAGCACAUCAAAAUUCACAUAAUAGGAGGCAAAGCUCAAUGCUUUAAUGGAAGAAAGAAAGAGAACAGUAACCUGCAUAGCGGGUGCCGUCAUAAGCAAUAACCAAACGCCACUUAUACCCACCACCAACCCCAGUGUGGUUCAUUACCAAGUUGUCUCCAUCCUUUGCGUUCUGCUAAAUUAUCCAUUUUUGUUAUCGCCAGUUCACAAUUAUCAUAAUCAGAAACAGAGAGAGAGAGAGAGAGAGAGAGAGAGAGAGAGAGAGAGAGAGAGAGAGAGUGUGUGUGUGUGUAUUGAUCAUUACCGAAGUAUUAGUGGGAGUUGGAGAAGAAAGAGUCCCGUUAAGAUUUGGAGGGGAAGGAAGGCCUACAACUACAUUGCUACACAUCUUCUCAGCUCUCCAUUCAAAACCCACAAUGCCACAAACGCUCGUUUUGCCAAAUGACUCAAAGCAGAUGCAAGUAUAAGGGUUUAAUCAAAACGAAAAUAAAUCUCCAGCCAUCGAAAAAGUCAAAAGCAAAGAAGAUGUAAGAUGAACGGUUUAAAAAGGCUGACGAACCAUAGUUAUCCUACGUUCGGAGGCAGUCAAUCUCAAGGCUAAAGGCUGGUGGUGAAGGCAUCCAACAGAUUUACCAGAGGAAUUCUUCUGAGUCUGGAUAGGAGCUGCACCUCAGGUAGAUGAGUAACUUCUUCUAACUAAUUGAACUACAAGCCUUUUACUCAACAUGCUUCUGUGAACUAUAAUAAUAAGUGUAAAAUCUGCUAUGAUAGCAUCAAUUGCUCGUGCGCAACUAAACUUAACAUGCAACUUGUACACACCAACACUUGUGUUCAGACAAACCUUCUCUUUUGGAUCAAUAAGACAACUUUAAUUAACUAGCUAGUCAUAUCCUCAUUAUUAAUUUUACACAAAUGAAAAACUUGAUCAAAGUUUAGUCCAAAUCAUGCAAUCAAGAAAUAGAGAUAGAGUUGCAUAAUGUACAUCAUCUUCCAAGGUGGCAAAUUACUAAAGUACCAUUAGUGUAGGAGGUAUGUACACUGUACAUGACUAAUUUUAACAGAAAUAUAUGAAACACGUGUAAUUAGAGGAUUGGACUACCGGAACAGUAUGCUGAUACAGUGUGCUGAUUAGAAAACAGUAAAACAUCGUUUGUCCAAUUAGGUGAGACCCACGUUGGUUAAUGUGGGCCCACGGAAUCUGAUUGGGAAAGGAGAUCAUCUGAAGUACCGCAUACCAAUACAAUCAUACCUCAUUGGUUCAAUAAUCGCCGUCAGUUCCAAGGAUUUAUUGAGACAAAAAACAAAAACUUAAAACUUCAGCCAUUCAAUUGUGGGCUCACCGUAGCUAAUCUAGAUACGGAUGCAGUAAAGCAUGACGGGUAAAGUCAUCACACGGUUCGCUCCAUCUCUUUCUGUGUAUGUGCACGUUUCGGAGGGGGCAAGCACCUUCCUCUCUCUCUCUCUCUCUCUAUCUCCUCUCGCUCUCUCUCCUGUUUUCGGAAAAGUAAACGAACUGAAGGCGUCUUAUUGGUUUACCAGAGGAAUUCAUCUCAGUCUGGCUUGAAGGUUCGAUUUUUAUUAUCCAUGCAAUCUAGGGUGCCUAUCUCUAUGAAUUUUCUGUUUGGGUUUUUCAUAUUAGGGUUCUUGUUCCUCUCUCUUUUUCCAUAUUUUUUCACAGUGCAAAAGAUUUGUCUUUUUUCUUUUAAAUUUGAUUAUAGGUUCUGUUUGUUGUACUUGUUUUGAAUUGGGAUUUAGGGUUAUUAUGGGCUCCGCACCUUUUCCUGUGGGAUUUGUGACUUUAGUAACGUCUGCAGAUGGAAAAUUUCGUGUUGUUCUCCCAAAUAAGACAUUGGGCUUGUGUAAUUUCAGCAUUAGGGUAUAGAUAUGGGCAAAAGUUUCAAACUUUAGGGUUAUUAUUGUGAAUGUAGUUCCAAGCGUAGUCUCAUCAACUGUGAAAUUCAACCUGCUUAUGUGAACUUGGCUUCAAAAAAUGGGAUUUAGUCUCUUAUUAACUGUGAAAUUCAACCUGCUUCUGUAAACUUGGCUUCGAACAAAUUUGUUAUUUCCAUUAUGACUUCUUGUGUAUAAACUUAUAAAACAAUAUCCUUUUUGGGUGGGUAGGCCAUGGCUGCAAAGAAGGUUAUAGCAAUAUGCCAAUCAGGUGGAGAAUUUGUGACGAAUAAGGAUGGAAGUUUAUCGUACACUGGGGGUGAGGCCUAUGCGAUUGACAUUGAUCAACAAACACUUCUUGGUGAUUUCAAGUCCGAAAUAGCUGAUAUGUUUAAUUGUAGUGCUGAAACAAUGUCCAUCAAGUAUUUCCUUCCGGGCAAUAAGAAGACUCUCAUUACAAUCUCUAAAGAUAAGGACUUGCAACGCAUGGUCAAUUUCCUUGGGGAUACAGCCACAGUCGAUGUUUUUGUCAUGUCAGAGGAAGCCGCUGCUCGAAAUGUGUCGAACAUGCCUGCUAGUAGGUACUUUUUAUUUUGUUCAUCUUAUUUCUUGCUGAUUCGAUACCCACUUGUGUGUUUGUUUCCCUGGAUGCAUAACCUUUUAUGGUUCGGUUUUGGGUCACAAUUGCAGCAAUCACAAUGUGGAACAGAGGCCAUGGAAAUGUGCUUAUACCUCCAUUGUUAUCUUGCACAGAGUGUUACACGUGCAUGCCUCUUUGUAUUCUGUUGUGUAAUUAUAUAGUACUGUGCUUGUGUGCCAAAAAAAAGCAUUUAAUAGAAGUAUUACCCUACAUGUGUUUUGCAUAAAAAUCUCAUCGGGAAUUGUUACCCUACAUGUGUUGGACAUGCAGGUCAAGCAGGACAACUGUGUCAGAAGCAGUGGUUCCUAUCGUUGAGCCUAUUGAUGUGCGAGUUGAUACUUGCAAUGCCAUUGACCAAAUUGAUAUGGAACUCCAUGAAACCCCUUUGGUUUCUGUUCUUGGUUCUUCUAGUGAUGAUAAGCAUCCUAAAGCUGCACAACAGUGGGAAAAUACCAUCACUGGUGUGGACCAAAGGUUUAAUAGUUUUGGUGAAUUCCGAGAAGCAUUGCAUAAGUUUUCAAUUGCACAUGGCUUCGCGUAUAGGUACAAGAAAAAUGACAGUCAUCGUGUUACUGUCAAAUGCAAAUCUCAAGGUUGCCCAUGGAGGAUAUAUGCAUCAAGGUUGUCUACUACCCAGUUGAUUUGUAUCAAAAAAAUGAAUACAGAUCAUACAUGUGAAGGAGCUGCUGUGAAAGCUGGGUAUCGGGCGACUAGAGGUUGGGUGGGAAGUAUCAUAAAGGAGAAGUUGAAAGUUUCCCCUAACUACAAGCCAAAGGAUAUAGCAGACGACAUUAAGCGAGAAUAUGGGAUUCAAUUGAAUUAUUCUCAGGCAUGGCGUGCCAAAGAGAUUGCCAGGGAGCAGCUUCAAGGCUCCUAUAAAGAGGCCUAUAAUCAGUUGCCAUAUUUCUGUGAGAGGAUAAAGGAAACUAAUCCGGGGAGUGUUGCUGCAUUUACCACUAAGGAGGACUCAAGCUUCCAUCGCUUCUUUGUAUCUUUCCAUGCAUCAAUUGUGGGUUUCCGAGAAGGUUGCCGCCCUCUCAUUUUUCUUGAUAGCACUCCUCUGAACUCAAAAUAUCAAGGAGUUUUGUUGGCCGCAAUAGCGGCAGAUGGUGAUGAUGGUAUCUUUCCAGUAGCAUUUGCUGUUGUGGAUGCUGAGACUGAUGAUAACUGGCAUUGGUUCUUAUUAGAACUGAAAUCUGCAGUGUCAAUAUCUCAGCAGAUUACAUUUGUUGCAGAUGUUCAGAAUGGUUUGAAAAAGUCAUUGACUGAGGUAUUUGAUAAAUGCUAUCACUGCUAUUGUUUGAGGCAUCUUGCUGAAAAACUCAACAAGGACUUGAAGGGGCAAUUUUCUCAUGAGGCAAGACGAUUUAUGAUCAAUGAUUUUUAUGCUGCUGCUUAUGCACCCAAACUGGAGGCUUUCCAGCGUAGUGCUGAUAACAUAAAAGGUAUUUCACCUGAAGCUUACAAUUGGGUCAUACAAAGUGGGCCAGAGCACUGGGCUAAUGCAUUCUCUGGAGGAGCCAGGUACAAUCAUAUGACAUCAAACUUUGGACAGCAGUUCUACAGCUGGGUAUCAGAGGCACAUGAGUUGCCAAUUACACAGAUGAUUGAUGUAUUACGAGGUAAGACGAUGGAAGCCUUCUAUUCACGCAGGGUGGAGUCCAACCAGUGGGUAACAAGAUUAACUCCAUCUAAAGAGGAAAAGCUUCAAAAAGAAACGACAAUUGCUCGAUCACUUCAGGUGUUGCUCUCACAAGGUAGCACAUUCGAGGUUCGUGGAGAAUCUGUUGAUAUUGUUGAUAUCGACCAUUGGGAUUGUAGCUGUAAGGGAUGGCAACUUACUGGUCUGCCUUGCUGCCAUGCUAUUGCUGUCUUUGAAUGCAUUGGUAGGAACCCAUAUGAUUACUGCUCCAGAUACUUCACAGUCGAGAGUUACCGUUCAACUUAUGCAGAAUCAAUUCAUCCUGUUCCUAAUGUAGACAGGCCACUCCCAGGUGAAUCAAGCCUGGCAGCAGUUACUGUUACCCCUCCACCAACCAGACGGCCGCCAGGCCGGCCAAAGAUGAAGCAGGCUGAAUCAUUAGACAUAAUAAAACGUCAGCUCCAGUGUAGCAAGUGUAAGGGGCUUGGCCACAAUAAGAAGACGUGUAAAGAUUCCUAGCAUUAUUGUUUAAGGACCUCGUUAAGUAGGGUGCUUCAGCUUUUAACCUGUGUAUAUUUUGACAUUUUUUAUUGGCAGUUUAGGCUUUUGCUCUUUAAGCUUAAGGUAGUUUAGGAUCUUUGCUUUGUUUUGUCAAACAAGCUUAUUGAUUUUCCAGUCACGCCAUCAUUUUAAUAAAGGCAUUUAAUCUAGUUCUAUACCCUUUUAACUUGCACGAAUUUUUGCGUAUGAGAAAACUUGUGCGUGGAACUUUGCAUGAAAUUUUUGUGGAGUAUGAGAAAAAUGUGCAUGAAUUUUUUUUCGGGUAAGCAUGUUUCUCCUCCAUGUGCAGUGUGGGAACCUAAUUAAAUCAAACCCUAGGUCAAAUAAUUCCUACCAUUUGGGGAUUAUUUGACCAAAUUGGGAGUCAAUCAACCUAAUUAGGAGUUACUCAAUUUAAUUGGGAAUUAUCCAAUUAAAUUGAACGUUACCUAAUUAGGUCGAGAUUUGAUUUGGUUAAUUACCACGAUCCUCAAUUAAAGGAGAAGUUACCUAAUUGAAUCGGGAUUUGAUUUGAUACCUACCACAAUUAGGGAUUUGAUUUACCCUAAUAAAUCAAAUCCCUAAUUAAUCAAAUCAAUCCCAAAAAGGGGAGGAAUAAUUCCCUUCCAUCUACGGAAUUAUUCCUCAGAAACCCUAGCCUCCGAGACUACUAUAAAAGUAUAGCCACACACAAUGGUUGAGGUACGUCAGAAUUACUACUAAAAUCUCUGCAGAAAAUUCCUCUCAAACCCUAGCCACCUCUUCUCUUUCUCUCUUUUACAUAAGGCUCCGGCCGCCCGAUUUAUAUUAUAAAUACAUCUCGUACCCUAUUUUAGCUAUCGUUUCUCUAAAGAUCAAUUGAACUGACUUAGGCAUCGGAGGGCCUUUGGUCAACACCCCCGGGUGUGGUCUUUUACUCCGAUCUGUUUUGCAGGGAGAAAGAGAGGCGAAAAAGACGAAGGAAUCUUAGGCGAAUAUUCUCCCGUGAGAUUAUUUGCACAAACAUGCAGAAUGCUGAUUGUACAAUUAUGCUUGUGGAGGGGGACGUGUGUCUUACUCCGAACUUUCCCAUUGCUCUCAAAUUCCAAUCUACGUGUGUAUUGGCAGAACACUUAUCACAUUAGAAUCUAUCUCUUCAGACUGGUUUAGGCAUAUCAGAUUCUCAUAGACUCAUCAUGGCCUUAAAGCAACCUUACAAACAAACUACUCAACAUUAUGCUUGAUUUAUGAUGCUGCAUUUAGGAAGAUAAAUAUUAAAUACAAUAAAACUGAGAUAGAUAAUGAGUCCUUUCGUAUUUGUAAGGAACGACUAAAAACUGGGACUAAUUUUCCAAGCAAUUAUUAUUAUUUUCUGAUUCAUCAACUGCCAUGCAUCACACCUGGGUAUACAUGUCGGAUAGUAUUAAUCUGUUCUAGAGAGUAUUGACUAUUUAUUCAUAAUAUUAUAAGAUGUUUGGUGCAGUUCUGGAUAAAUAGUCUAACUAAGUUAUACUAUGUUCGGUGCUGUUCCGGAUAAAAUCAUAUCAUACUAUUUUUUUGACAAAAAAAUCUUUGAUAAUUUAAGUAGAAAUUGAAAUUGAAAUUACACGAAUUUUUUUUGCUAAGAUUCAUAUGACAAGAUUUGUUUUUCAAUUUUUUUUCAUAUAACCCAUUAUCAUAAUUGUAGUAUCUCAUAUAUAAAGAAAAAAACGCAAGAAAAACUCAACAGCUUGUAUAGAGUUGGAUACACAGCCGCAUGUAUUGUUCCAAUACAGCAAGAAAAAAAGGUCAAAAACGAAAAACUCAUAACAUAACUUCGACAAACAUUAAAUAAAAAAGUAAAUAUAUAAGGGGAGAGAGAGAGAGAGAGAGAGAGAGAGAGAGAGAGAGAGAGAGACCUAGAGAAGAGUGAAGAGAAUAACCUCGGAGAAGAUAACGGAGAAGAACCCUAAGGGGAAGAAGAUUAAAAUAGCGUCGUCGGAUUGUUCACGUGAACGUGUGUAUUCUUUUUCCCUAGCUGUAUAAUUAAGCAUGUAUUAUCUAAACCAGGGUGUGUGGAUUGUAUUAGUUAGUCAGGUAAGGAGAGUAUUAAAAGCCCAACUCAUUUAAAAUAGUCAAGUAAUUAAAUAAUACAAGUUGACACCAAACACAUGACAUGGACUAUUUACUCAUAUCCAGAGUCUAAUAUGGUGUACCAAAUGCAGGUUCAAAAAUAUUAGACCUUUGGACAAUAACCUAAUUGAGUGUUUUAGCAUAUACAGUUAUAUAAAGCAAAAUGCAGAAAAUGGUGAAACAUUCAAAAUAUCAUAAAAAAACCCUUGGUUAAUGCAAAUAUUAAAAUAUUAAAUAUUAAUUAAAUGAGGAUAAUAUUGUAAAUUCACACUUUUUUAUAUUAAAAAAAAUUAAAAAUUAAAAACAAAAUCAGAUAAUGAGUAGUUAUGUUCCAUAAAAAUAGGACCCAUUAUUUUUUAAAAUUCUAAAAUAAAAUUAAAUAAAUAAAAACUAACUUGCACCAAGGGGCUAGUUUAAAAAAAAGGGGAAAACUCUCUCAUAAUCAGAACAACAAUCAUUUUUAAAAGAGUGCUGCUAUUUCCACCCACCUUACUUUCAAAAUUUUAAAGAUAAAUUUAUCCCUUCGUAAAAUGACUUAUAAGGACUUAAGGAAAAAACCUCACUUUGAGAAAAAGAAAAAAAAAAGGCAGGCAGCUGAAACUAAGCUUAUUAUGACAAGCUCCUAUCCAAAAAAUAACCCCAAUUUUCAUUCCUUAUGCUAUUACAAACAUAGGGUUUGCGUUGCUUGGUAUUGAUUAGGGGUGGGCACUCAAACCGGCGAAUCGAAAAUCCGAGCCGAACCACACCGAACUAAACCGGAAAAAAAUCGAGUUGACCAAAAAGUCAAAAACCGGUCAAAAACCGAACCGGACUGGUUUGGACCAGUUCUGGAUCCGAUUCCAUGUCUUCAAAAACCGAACAAGCCCGAACCGAACCGAUGAAACUAAAAAAAUAUAUAAUUUCAAUAUAUAUUUAUAUUUAAUGCUAUAUUUUUAAUUUCACUAAAAAAAACCUAAUAUUUAUCCAAGUUCAAUGUCAAACUAUCUCUCUUUUCUCACUUUAAUAUUUAUUUUUUAUAUGAAAUUGAAUAAUUUGUUAAUUUUCAAGUAAAAAAAAAUAUUUCAGUUGAGAAUUGUAUUAAAAAAUAAUUUAAAAAAUAAUUUUUAUAAUCCAGUUCAAAACCGAACCGGAAUCGGAACCGGACCAAAACCGAUUCAAACCGAACCGGACAGUUUUUGAAAUUUUUUUAUUAAAACCGAACUGAACCAAAUCGAAUGAAUAAUACCGGAUCGGUUCUAAUUUGAGGCAAAAACUGGUCCAAACCGAACCGUGCCCACCCCUAAUAUUGAUAUGGGAUUUAGGGAACUAAAUUAUUUGAUUUUGAGACUGCUUGUGCUACUUCAAAUUACUAUUUCUAUGCUGUUUGCAAAUCACAUUCGUCAAGGUGAGGCUGAUUUGAUGAUUGCUGGGGGAACGAAGCUGCCUUAAUUCCCAUAGGCAAUGAGAAUUUACUUGAAUUAACAAAUUAAUUAUUAGCAAAGUGAAUUUACUUGAAUUAAUAAUUAAAAGGUAUUUUAAGAAUAAUGGUGGGUGAAAAAAUAAGAUUGUAUUUUUUCAAAUUUACAUGGUGAGUGAGAAGAUAAGGUAGGUGGGGAUAUAUGACAAGGAGGUGAAAAUAUCAACACUCUUUUUAAAAUUCAUGCAACUAUCUACUAAAGUUUUCCCAAAAUAUAAAAUGAAUUUUUGAACUAUUUCAAUUCUUGUAUAUAAAAUUAUGGAUCUUGUUCAUAUCUUUUUUUUUUUUUCCUUUUUUGAGGAUAAUAUAUGCUUAUUUACUUUCAAUGGAUGCAAAAGUGUGCAGAGACUAAAACAACAUUGGUCGUAUAGAUAAGUUCAGAAAAAGUGACAAAAUUAUGUAUACAUUAUCUCCAAGAUCCUAAAACAAAACUACACAGGUUCGUGCGGUUCCAUUCAGGAAGAGACACGCAAAUUGCAACCCCAACAUGUCGACACCUUCGAUCAAAGAAAAAAAAAAUAAAAAGCCAAAACAAAAAACCCUGUCGACACCUGGGAGGCAUCAGCAUGACACGUGUCCAAUUAUCUAGUCUGAACACGUUCUGAACUUGCCACCUUGUGUUACACCUGUCCUCCUACUCUUGCACACCCUCCUCUGCCUUCUCUUUCUUCUUCUUAAAACCACAACCCCCCCAACCCUAACCUCUCUCACAUUCCAAUACACUUCUUGUACAAAUCACAUACUGCAGUUUUCGAGAAACACUUGGCAUAUUUGAAUCUCUUCAGACUUUGUUCAUGGCUUCAAAGCAACCUUUCAAAGUGCUAUUUGUUCUUGGGGUGGUGGCGGUGAUGCUUGCCACCAUUUGCAGAGGCUCUGGUGUGGACCAUACGUCUUCCAGUGAUGAGGGGUUUAAGGUGAAAACAAGGCAACCGCAGGACGAGGCCGCAGAGAAGGAAAGAGAGGGCAGAGAAAGCUCAGACUCAGAGUCAUGGGCAGAGUGGGCCAAGGAGAAAAUCUCUGGAGGACUUGGAUUGAAGCAGGAUGAUGAUGACGAAAAUAAUAAGAAAGCUUCUGAUGCUGCUUAUGACACUGCCAAGAACACCAAGGACAAGGUUCAAGACACUGCUUCUGGUUAGUAGCCUCAACAUUAUAGUAACUUUUUUUAUUUUAAAUUUUUUUUUUAAUUUAAUUUGCUUUCAUAGUGAUGAUUUAUGAGAUAUGGCAUUUUGUAUAUAUGGAUGUGAUUGAUUUGAAUCGAUUUAGGGCUCGUUUGGGAGUGAUUUUGGAGGGGCAAAUAAUCACUUUUAUGUAAAAGCACAUGAGAGCCUAGAAUCACUUAAAAUCAUUUUUAGUGAUCUUCUGGAGAAGCAUGUGGAAGGUGUUUCUUCUCAAAAGUGAUUUUGGCCUACUCUGAAUUAUUCACAAACGAGCGCUUAUAAAAUCAUGGACUUGCUUUGCAAUUGGGUUUGUUAGGUCAUUUGAAUUUUGUACAUGUGUUUUUGCGAUAAAUGUUCUGAUUUUAGUGCCCAUAAUAAUUGAUUGUUGUGUGUGAAUUCAAACUUUAACCUAGUGUUACUCAGAGAGAUCAUGAGUUUUUUUUUUUAAUUUAAAAAAUAAAAAAUAAAUAAAAUGCAGAUAAAAUGAAGUGCUGAAAUGUGGGUUAUGCAGGAAAUUGGGGUUAUGUUUGUGUUAGGGAUGAAGAUACUUUACAUCUUAAUCUGACUUGAGAAAAGCAUAUUUUUCUAAAUGAACAACUGAUAAAUGGGGGCUUUAAUUAAUGAUCAGGAACUGGUCAAUACACCACAGAGAAGGCCAAAGACAUUAAAGAUACAGCAGCUGAGAAGGCUAGAGAAGUGAAAGAAGCAGCAGCAGAGAAGGCUUUUGAGGUUGAGAAAGCAGCGAAGGAGAAGGCGUAUGAAGCCACAAAAGCAGUAAAGGACAAGGCCUCUGAAGCCACAAAUGCAGCAAAGGAGAAGGCUUAUGAGGCUACAAAGGCAGCGGAAGAUGAGACAUACGAGACCAAGAAUGCGGCUGAGGAAACAGCCAGCAAGGCUGCAGAGAAGGCCAAUGAGGCAAAGCAAAAGGUAGGGCAAACAGCAGAGGAGAUUAAGAACAAGGCUUAUGAGAAGGCAGAGGAGACCAAGGAGGCAAAAGAAAAGGCAAAGCAAAAAGCAGAGGAAGUGAACAAGGAGGCCUAUGAGGAGGCAGAGGAGACCAAAGAAGCAAAGCCAAAAACAGAGGAGGUGAAGAACAAGGCAGCUCACAAAGCGAAGGAGGGUUAUGAGGCAGCCAAGAAGAAAGCAGAAGAGACUGUGAAGUCUACCAAGGACACUGUGGCAUCUAAUUUCGAAGCUGCCAAGCAGACGUCACAGAAGAUUAAAGAGAAUGUGGCUGGUCAAGGCCGUGAUGAGGAGCUCUGAGCUGCUCUGCCUGUAGUUUUCUAUCCACACUUGAUGACCAUUUCUUCUUAUAUAGUUUUGUUUUGAUCAAGUCUCUGAUCUUACAAGUUGGGUUUUGUUGUGUAGAGAUGUAGUUUUGUAUUUUAUGUAUGUUUGAUUUUGUUGUAAUGUACUUCUUUCAAUCUCUGCUUGAAAUAUAAUUUGGAGCCAGCUUUGUAUUUCGAACUUGAGCAAUAAUAUGAAAAUUUUCGUCUCCACAAUUGUUUUGGGGCCGAGACCCUAUUGGGAUUUGUCAAGGCUGUCCGUUUAGAGCAUUUCUACCCCCUUUGUCAUGAGAGCGGAUCCGCUGCCCCCAAAUUGGUGUACCCUUCAUGUCCCCUCUUUAAUUUGUUAAUUUGCUGACACAUGUCAACUAACAUAACAGGGAGUUAACUCUGUUAACUUUUUCAUUUGACAAUUUUAAAAAUUAAAAAAAUUAAAAACUAUCCAAAUAACCUAAUAGCCAGCAAGCAUCGUCUAACUUGCAAAACCCAGCGAAUGUCGUCUUCCUUGCUAAACCCAGCAAGCGUCGUCUUCCUUGCAAAAUCCAGCCAUACCCACUCUCCUCCCUCAUAAUCUAUGCAUCUUCUCCACCAUCAACUCUCAAACGCUUGCAAAACCCAAUUCUCCUCCCUUCUAAUAUAGAAAGAGAUGGUUAAUGAUUGCAUAACACAAACCUCUUCCAUGAUGGCUUCAUAGAGAAAAGUAUCCUUGCGCAUUUUCGAUUCCACAGAGUACUUUAACAGUGUGUGAUGACUUCCUAGCUGCUCAAAAACCCAUUUACCUCUAAAUGAGUCAAAGUCCCCUUCAACCUGUUCAAAACUUAUCUCCUGUUCAAGCUGUUCACACAAGUCUAGGACAACACGCGCAUGAAGCACCAUAUAAAGUAAGCCCUUGCAUCCUUCCUGCACAUUACAGGAAAAGUAAGUUUACUUGUGUAUGACUUUUAAGAUGAUUGGCACUCUCACAUCACUUAAGUUAAGAGUAUUACAAUGACAUAUCAGAGAGUGCCUAUUUAUACAGCUACAGCUAUAGAUUGUCCUCUUUAUUAACCAAUAACAUCCAUAAAAUGUACAUUUAGAGAUCAGACACAUUAUAUGAUCCCAAAAUUAAAAAAGACACUUUAUAAAAAGUAUGGUCUUAGAUUACAGUUAAUGGAAAGACUGCUAGUACCAGGAAAGUAUGAGUAUAGUAGUAAGAGAGGUGGUAGUAUUCUUCAUGUAAAGUGUUGUUCCAAAAGUGAAGCAAUUACCAAGAACACUCCAACUCAACGUGCAAUUCUCUACGACAAAUAACGUGUGCGGAAACAUACUAGUUUUGUUAGUUUUCCAAGGUAUUGCAAACAUGUUUGAGCUCCCACAUUGGAGCACAAGAGUUCCUUGGAGGUCUUUAUAAGACUUACUCUUGUAAAUAGAAAAGUUUGUAUUGGCUAUGCAAGUGGCCCAAUUGAGUGGCUUCUGGAUAUAACCUUUGAUUAAAUGCACGGCUAUACUCUUUGUUUUUUUAAUUUAUUUUAAAAAUAAAACUGUGUUGACACGUGGCGACAAAUAGACGGAGGUUUCCUCUUUUUUUAUAUUAAAAAUAGUAUAGCCGCACGGCUAUACUCAUUAUUUUAAAUUCUUUUUAACCGAUCAGUUAUGUUAUUUAGUAUAUAGUAUAGCCGUGCGGCUAGACUCGAUUUUUGUCUAGUUUCUUUUAAAAAUAGUACAGCCGGGAGGUUUUUCUGUUUUUUUUAUAUAAAAAAAUUGUCUUUAAUAAAUAGUAUAGACGAGCGGCGAUGGUCUUUUACAUAUACACACACAUAUAUAUAUAUAUAUAUAUUUACGUACGUACGUAUUUUUUAAUAAUACAUUCGUGUUCUAUACACGUCUCACUUUUUUUAAAAGCAAACAUACAAUAGUCGUAUUGUACUUGUGCGUACGUAUUUGUAAUAUUUUAUACACGUAUUGUUUUCAAAAUUUCCAACAAGACGCACAAAAUUCGCUUAUCAUACAAAUAAUUCUCACAUAUUAAUGAAUAAGAAUAACAUAUGUUAUAAAACUUUCAUAUAGUGGAAGAUUAAUAUCUACUUUGGAUAUGUUGAAACUAGAAAAUUAAUAUUUAAACGGGACAAACUAAUGCAACAAUGCAACAAGGUGGGUCCUUUUUUAUUUUUUUUAUUUUCUUAUUUUUGUAGUAAAGGGAAUUGCCCCUUUUAAACAAAAUUUAUUUUAAAGGUAUAGCCGGGCGGCUAUACUUCGAAUUUUUUUCUUCAGCAGGUAUAGCUAUACUUAUUGUCUGACACGUGGCGCGUUAGCCAAAGAGGGUCAUCCUUUUUUAAAAAAAAUAAUAAAAAUAGUACAGCCGAACGGCUAUACUCCGUGUUUUUUAAUUUAUUUAAAAAUAAAACUGAGUUGACACGUGGCGAAAAAUAGAUGGAGGUCCCCUCUUUUUUUUAUAUUGAAAAUAAUAUAGCCGCGCGGCUAUACUCAUUUUUUUAAAUUCUUUUUAACCGAUCAGUUUUGUAUGGCCGGGCGGCUAUACUUAUUGUUUGACACGUGGCGCGCUAGAGGGUCAUCCUUUUUUAAAAAAAUUAAUAAAAAUAGUACAGCCGCACGGCUAUACUCUUUGUUUUUUAAUUUAUUUUAAAAAUAAAACUGUGUUGACACGUGGCGACAAAUAGACGGAGGUUUCCUCUUUUUUUAUAUUAAAAAUAGUAUAGCCGCGCGGCUAUACUCAUUAUUUUAAAUUCUUUUUAACCGAUCAGUUAUGUUAUUUAGUAUAUAGUAUAGCCGUGCGGCUAGACUCGAUUUUUGUCUAGUUUCUUUUAAAAAUAGUACAGCCGGGAGGUUUUACUGUUUUUUUUAUAUAAAAAAAUUGUCUUUAAUAAAUAGUAUAGACGAGCGGCGAUGGUCUUUUACAUAUACACACACACAUAUAUAUAUAUAUAUAUAUUUACGUACGUACGUAUUUUUUAAUAAUACAUUCGUGUUCUAUACACGUCUCACUUUUUUUAAAAGCAAACAUACAAUAGUCGUAUUGUACUUGUGCGUACGUAUUUGUAAUAUUUUAUACACGUAUUGUUUUCAAAAUUUCCAACAAGACGCACAAAAUUCGCUUAUCAUACAAAUAAUUCUCACAUAUUAAUGAAUAAGAAUAACAUAUGUUAUAAAACUUACAUGAAAAUAUCAUAUAGUGGAAGAUUAAUAUCUACUUUGGAUAUGUUGAAACUAGAAAAUUAAUAUUUAAACGGGACAAACUAAUGCAACAAGGUGGGUCCUUUUUUAUUUUUUUUAUUUUCUUAUUUUUGUAGUAAAGGGAAUUGCCCCUUUUAAACAAAAUUUAUUUUAAAGGUAUAGCCGGGCGGCUAUACUUCGAAUUUUUUUCUUCUACAGGUAUAGCUAUACUUAUUGUCUGACACGUGGCGCGUUAGCCAAAGAGGGUCAUCAUUUUUUAAAAAAAAUAAUAAAAAUAGUACAGCCGAACGGCUAUACUCCGUGUUUUUUAAUUUAUUUAAAAAUAAAACUGAGUUAACACGUGGCGAAAAAUAGAUGGAGGUCCCCUCUUUUUUUAUAUUGAAAAUAAUAUAGCCGCGCGGCUAUACUCAUUUUUUUAAAUUCUUUUUAACCGAUCAGUUUUGUAUGGCCGGGCGGCUAUACUUAUUGUUUGACACGUGGCGCGCUAGAGGGUCAUCCUUUUUUAAAAAAAUUAAUAAAAAUAGUACAGCCGAACGGCUAUACUCUUUGUUUUUUAAUUUAUUUUAAAAAUAAAACUGUGUUGACACGUGGCGACAAAUAGACGGAGGUUUCCUCUUUUUUUAUAUUAAAAAUAGUAUAGCCGCGCGGCCAUACUCAUUAUUUUAAAUUCUUUUUAACCGAUCAGUUAUGUUAUUUAGUAUAUAGUAUAGCCGUGCGGCUAGACUCGAUUUUUGUCUAGUUUCUUUUAAAAAUAGUACAGCCGGGAGGUUUUACUGUUUUUUUUAUAUAAAAAAAUUAUCUUUAAUAAAUAGUAUAGACGAGCGGCGAUGGUCUUUUACAUAUACACACACACAUAUAUAUAUAUAUAUAUUUACGUACGUACGUAUUUUUUAAUAAUAGAUUCGUGUUCUAUACUCAUCUCACUUUUUUUAAAAGCAAACAUACAAUAGUCGUAUUGUACUUGUGCGUACGUAUUUGUAAUAUUUUAUACACGUAUUGUUUUCAAAAUUUCCAACAAGACGCACAAAAUUCGCUUAUCAUACAAAUAAUUCUCACAUAUUAAUGAAUAAGAAUAACAUAUGUUAUAAAACUUACAUGAAAAUAUCAUAUAGUGGAAGAUUAAUAUCUACUUUGGAUAUGUUGAAACUAGAAAAUUAAUAUUUAAACGGGACAAACUAAUGCAACAAGGUGGGUCCUUUUUUAUUUUUUUUAUUUUCUUAUUUUUGUAGUAAAGGGAAUUGCCCCUUUUAAACAAAAUUUAUUUUAAAGGUAUAGCCGGGCGGCUAUACUUCGAAUUUUUUUCUUCUACAGGUAUAGCUAUACUUAUUGUCUGACACGUGGCGCGUUAGCCAAAGAGGGUCAUCAUUUUUUAAAAAAAAUAAUAAAAAUAGUACCGCCGAACGGCUAUACUCCGUGUUUUUUAAUUUAUUUAAAAAUAAAACUGAGUUAACACGUGGCGAAAAAUAGAUGGAGGUCCCCUCUUUUUUUAUAUUGAAAAUAAUAUAGCCGCGCGGCUAUACUCAUUUUUUUAAAUUCUUUUUAACCGAUCAGUUUUGUAUGGCCGGGCGGCUAUACUUAUUGUUUGACACGUGGCGCGCUAGAGGGUCAUCCUUUUUUAAAAAAAUUAAUAAAAAUAGUACAGCCGAACGGCUAUACUCUUUGUUUUUUAAUUUAUUUUAAAAAUAAAACUGUGUUGACACGUGGCGACAAAUAGACGGAGGUUUCCUCUUUUUUUAUAUUAAAAAUAGUAUAGCCGCGCGGCUAUACUCAUUAUUUUAAAUUCUUUUUAACCCGAUCAGUUAUGUUAUUUAGUAUAUAGUAUAGCCGUGCGGCUAGACUCGAUUUUCGUCUAGUUUCUUUUAAAAAUAGUACAGCCGGGAGGUUUUACUGUUUUUUUUAUAUAAAAAAAUUGUCUUUAAUAAAUAGUAUAGACGAGCGGCGAUGGUCUUUUACAUAUACACACACACACAUAUAUAUAUAUAUAUAUUUACGUACGUACGUAUUUUUUAAUAAUACAUUCGUGUUCUAUGCACGUCUCACUUUUUUUAAAAGCAAACAUACAAUAGUCGUAUUGUACUUGUGCCUACGUAUUUGUAAUAUUUUAUACACGUAUUGUUUUCAAAAUUUCCAACAAGACGCACAAAAUUCGUUUAUCAUACAAAUAAUUCUCACAUAUUAAUGAAUAAGAAUAACAUAUGUUAUAAAACUUACAUGAAAAUAUCAUAUAGUGGAAGAUUAAUAUCUACUUUGGAUAUGUUGAAACUAGAAAAUUAAUAUUUAAACGGGACAAACUAAUGCAACAAGGUGGGUCCUUUUUUAUUUUUUUUAUUUUCUUAUUUUUGUAGUAAAGGGAAUUGCCCCUUUUCAACAAAAUUUAUUUUAACGGUAUAGCCGGGCGGCUAUACUUCGAAUUUUUUUCUUCAACAGUUAUAGCCGGGCGGCUAUACUUAUUGUCUGCCACGUGGCGCGUUAGCCAAAGAGGGUCAUCCUUUUUUUAAAAAAAUAAUAAAAAUAGUACAGCCGCACGGCUAUACUCCGUGUUUUUUAAUUUAUUUAAAAAUAAAAUUGAGUUGACACGUGGCGAAAAAUAGAUGGAGGUCCCCUCUUUUUUUUAUAUUGAAAAUAAUAUAGCCGCGCGGCUAUACUCAUUUUUUAAAAUUCUUUUUAACCGAUCAGAUUUGUAUGGCCGGGCGGCUAUACUUAUUGUUUGACACGUGGCGCGCUAGAGGGUCAUCCGUUUUUAAAAAAAUUAAUAAAAAUAGUACAGCCGAACGGCUAUACUCUUUGUUUUUUAAUUUAUUUUAAAAAUAAAACUCUGUUGACACGUGGCGACAAAUAGACGGAGGUUUCCUCUUUUUUUAUAUUAAAAAUAGUAUAGCCGCGCGGCUAUACUCAUUAUUUUAAAUUCUUUUUAACCGAUCAGUUAUGUUAUUUAGUAUAUAGUAUAGCCGUGCGGCUAGACUCGAUUUUUGUCUAGUUUCUUUUAAAAAUAGUACAGCCGGGAGGUUUUACUGUUUUUUUUAUGUAAAAAAAUUGUCUUUAAUAAAUAGUAUAGACGAGCGGCGAUGGUCUUUUACAUAUACACACACACAUAUAUAUAUAUAUAUAUAUAUAUAUAUAUUUACGUACGUACGUAUUUUUUAAUAAUACAUUCGUGUUCUAUACACGUCUCACUUUUUUUAAAAGCAAACAUACAAUAGUCGUAUUGUACUUGUGCGUACGUAUUUGUAAUAUUUUAUACACGUAUUGUUUUCAAAAUUUCCAACAAGACGCACAAAAUUCGCUUAUCAUACAAAUAAUUCUCACAUAUUAAUGAAUAAGAAUAACAUAUGUUAUAAAACUUACAUGUAAAUAUCAUAUAGUGGAAGAUUAAUAUCUACUUUGGAUAUGUUGAAACUAGAAAAUUAAUAUUUAAACGGGACAAACUAAUGCAACAAGGUGGGUCCUUUUUUAUUUUUUUUAUUUUCUUAUUUUCUUAUUUUUGUAGUAAAGGGAAUUGCCCCUUUUAAACAAAAUUUAUUUUAAAGGUAUAGCCGGGCGGCUAUACUUCGAAUUUUUUUCUUCAACAAGUAUAGCUAUACUUAUUGUCUGACACGUGGCGCGUUAGCCAAAGAGGGUCAUCCUUUUUUAAAAAAAAUAAUAAAAAUAGUACAGCCGAACGGCUAUACUCCGUGUUUUUUAAUUUAUUUAAAAAUAAAACUGAGUUGACACGUGGCGAAAAAUAGAUGGAGGUCCCCUCUUUUUUUUAUAUUGAAAAUAAUAUAGCCGCGCGGCUAUACUCAUUUUUUUAAAUUCUUUUUAACCGAUCAGUUUUGUAUGGCCGGGCGGCUAUACUUAUUGUUUGACACGUGGCGCGCUAGAGGGUCAUCCUUUUUUAAAAAAAUUAAUAAAAAUAGUACAGCCGAACGGCUAUACUCUUUGUUUUUUAAUUUAUUUUAAAAAUAAAACUGUGUUGACACGUGGCGACAAAUAGACGGAGGUUCCCUCUUUUUUUAUAUUAAAAAUAGUAUAGCCGCUUGGCUAUACUCCUUAUUUUAAAUUCUUUUUAACCGAUCAGUUAUGUUAUUUAGUAUAUAGUAUAGCCGUGCGGCUAGACUCGAUUUUUGUCUAGUUUCUUUUAAAAAUAGUACAGCCGGGAGGUUUUACUGUUUUUUUUAUAUAAAAAAAUUAUCUUUAAUAAAUAGUAUAGACGAGCGGCGAUGGUCUUUUACAUAUACACACACACAUAUAUAUAUAUAUAUAUUUACGUACGUACGUAUUUUUUAAUAAUAGAUUCGUGUUCUAUACUCAUCUCACUUUUUUUAAAAGCAAACAUACAAUAGUCGUAUUGUACUUGUGCGUACGUAUUUGUAAUAUUUUAUACACGUAUUGUUUUCAAAAUUUCCAACAAGACGCACAAAAUUCGCUUAUCAUACAAAUAAUUCUCACAUAUUAAUGAAUAAGAAUAACAUAUGUUAUAAAACUUACAUGAAAAUAUCAUAUAGUGGAAGAUUAAUAUCUACUUUGGAUAUGUUGAAACUAGAAAAUUAAUAUUUAAACGGGACAAACUAAUGCAACAAGGUGGGUCCUUUUUUAUUUUUUUUAUUUUCUUAUUUUUGUAGUAAAGGGAAUUGCCCCUUUUAAACAAAAUUUAUUUUAAAGGUAUAGCCGGGCGGCUAUACUUCGAAUUUUUUUCUUCUACAGGUAUAGCUAUACUUAUUGUCUGACACGUGGCGCGUUAGCCAAAGAGGGUCAUCAUUUUUUAAAAAAAAUAAUAAAAAUAGUACAGCCGCACGGCUAUACUCCGUGUUUUUUAAUUUAUUUAAAAAUAAAACUGAGUUGACACGUGGCGAAAAAUAGAUGGAGGUCCCCUCUUUUUUUUAUAUUGAAAAUAAUAUAGGCGCGCGGCUAUACUCAUUUUUUUAAAUUCUUUUUAACCGAUCAGUUUUGUAUGGCCGGGCGGCUAUACUUAUUGUUUGACACGUGGCGCGCUAGAGGGUCAUCCUUUUUUAAAAAAAUUAAUAAAAAUAGUACAGCCGAACGGCUAUACUCUUUGUUUUUUAAUUUAUUUUAAAAAUAAAACUCUGUUGACACGUGGCGACAAAUAGACGGAGGUUUCCUCUUUUUUUAUAUUAAAAAUAGUAUAGCCGCGCGGCUAUACUCAUUAUUUUAAAUUCUUUUUAACCGAUCAGUUAUGUUAUUUAGUAUAUAGUAUAGCCGUGCGGCUAGACUCGAUUUUUGUCUAGUUUCUUUUAAAAAUAGUACAGCCGGGAGGUUUUACUGUUUUUUUUAUAUAAAAACAUUGUCUUUAAUAAAUAGUAUAGACGAGCGGCGAUGGUCUUUUACAUAUACACACACACACAUAUAUAUAUAUAUAUAUAUUUACGUACGUACGUAUUUUUUAAUAAUAGAUUCGUGUUCUAUACACGUCUCACUUUUUUUAAAAGCAAACAUACAAUAGUCGUAUUGUACUUGUGCGUACGUAUUUUUAAUAUUUUAUACACGUAUUGUUUUCAAAAUUUCCAACAAUACGCACAAAAUUCGCUUAUCAUACAAAUAAUUCUCAUAUAUUAAUGAAUAAGAAUAACAUAUGUUAUAAAACUUACAUGAAAAUAUCAUAUAGUGGAAGAUUAAUAUCUACUUUGGAUAUGUUGAAACUAGAAAAUUAAUAUUUAAACGGGACAAACUAAUGCAACAAGGUGGGUCCUUUUUUAUUUUUUUUAUUUUCUUAUUUUUGUAGUAAAGGGAAUUGCCCCUUUUAAACAAAAUUUAUUUUAAAGGUAUAGCCGGGCGGCUAUACUUCGAAUUUUUUUCUUCAACAGGUAUAGCUAUACUUAUUGUCUGACACGUGGCGCGUUAGCCAAAGAGGGUCAUCCUUUUUUAAAAAAAUUAAUAAAAAUAGUACAGCCGAACGGCUCUACCCCGUGUUUUUUAAUUUAUUUUAAAAAUAAAACUGUGUUGACACGUGGCGAAAAAUAGAUGGAGGUUUCCUCUUUUUUUAUAUCAAAAAUAGUAUAGCCGCAAGGCUAUACGCAUUAUUUUAAAUUCUUUUUAAUCGAUCAGUUAUGUUAUUUAGUAUAUAGUAUAGCCGUGCGGCUAUACGCGAUUUUUGUCUAAUUUCUUUUAAAAAUAGUACAGCCGGGAGGUUUUACUGUUUUUUUUAUAUAAAAAAAUUGUCUUUAAUAAAUAGUAUAGACGAGCGGCGAUGGUCUUUUACAUAUACACACGCGUAUAUAUAUAUAUAUAUUUACGUACGUACGUAUUUUUUAAUAAUACAUUCGUGUUCUAUACACGUCUCACUUUUUUUAAAAGCAAACAUAUAAUAGUCGUAUCUACUUGUACGUACGUAUUUGUAAUGUUUUAUACACGUAUUAUUUUUUAAAUUUUCAACAAUACGCACAAAAUUCGCUUAUCAUACAAAUAAUUCUCACAUAUUAUUUAAUAAGAAUAACAUAUGUUAUAAAAAUUACAUGAAAAUAUCAUAUAGUGGAAGAUUAAUAUCUACUUUGGAUAUGUUGAAACUAUAAAAUUAAUAUUUAUAUGGGACAAACUAAUGCAACAAGGUGGGUCCUUUUUUAUUUUUGUAUUUUUGUUUUUAAGGGAAUAGCCCCUUUUAAACAAAAUGUAUUUAAACAGUAUAGCCGGGCGGCUAUACUACUAAUUUGUUUUAUUAAAAAGGUAUAGUCGGGCGGCUAUACGUAUUUUUGACACGUGGCGCAUUAGCAAAAGCGGGUCAUCAUUUUAAAAAAAGAAAUAGUACAGCCACACGGCUAUAUUCCGUGUUUUUACUUUAUUUAAAAAAUAAAACUGUGUUGACACGUGGCGACAAAUAGAUGGGGUUUCGUCUUUUUUUAUAUUAAAAAUAGUAUAGCCGCACAGCUAUACUCAUUUUUAAAAAUUCUUUUGAGAUGCUAUGUUUUAUUAUUUAUUAAAUAGUAUAGCCUUUUUGUCUAAUUUCUUUUAAAAAUAGUAUAGCCAGAUGUUUUACUUUUUUUUUAAAAAAAAAUUGUCUUUAAUAAAUAGUAUAUCAAGGAAGAUGACGUUCGCUGAGUUUUGCAAGGAAGACGACACUCGCUAGUUGCUGGGUUAUUUGGACAGUUUUUAAUUUUUUUAAUUUUGAAAGUUGUCAAAUAAAAAAAGUUAACAGAGUUAACUCCAUGUUAUGUUUUUUGACACGUGUCAGCAAAUUAGAGAGGGGACAUGGAGGGGACACCAAUUUGAGGACAGCAGAUCAGCUCCCCUUUGUCAUGGUAGUGAUACUUCUUGUAAAAGUCAAGUUGUGUUUUCACUCAUUCCCAUGACAAAGGGCAAUUACUUUUUACUUUAAAUUUUGUUUUAUUUUUUAUACUUAAACAAAUAAUUUGGAUAAGAUUUUUAAUUGUUAUGUGUUCAUAUUUAUUAUAAAAUUCACAUCUCAAAUUUCAUCGGUUGUCAUGUGUCGAUCGUCGUCUUGGUAUAGCAUGUCGAGAAAAAAGAGGCGUAUAGGGUCACCAAUUUAUUAUAAGAUUUAAAUUUCAUAUUUCUUAUAAAAUUUUCACUCUUUAAAAUUGCACCCCGUGUCAUCUCUAUCUUCUAAAUCCCUCUAUAAAACCACAGCUUCAACUCAUACCUCUCACACCAUAUCAUCUAUAUCCUUUCAUUUCUCAUAUUUUAGAAAACACAUUUUACUCUCAAUGUCUUACAUGAGGAGGUUGUUGGAAAGGCAAGAGCGAGAAAAUGAAGAAAAAAUGAGCAAACAAGCUGAAGAAGAAAGGGAGUGGGAAGAAAAUGAUGAUCAAGUUGCCAUGCCAGUGGGUAUGCUCCAUCAAUCAAGCCAACACAACCGUGGUUCACAACGUGGUCGUGGCCCGAACGUGGACAUACAUAGACACUCUCGGGGUAAGAAUCUUUUGGAAGAUUACUUUAUCCCAAAUUCGUUGUACACUAAUUUAGAUUUUUGAGGGCGAUAUAGAAUGCAGCUUCAUUUGUACUGGGUUUUGGGUCUUCUUCCGGAGCAAAAACUUACAGCUUCUUUAUGGAUGCUGGCGUUUGGCGCAUUUGCAAACAAGGUGGAUGAGAUUGCUAGGAUGAGAAAAUCCACUAUUCUAGAAAGUUUGGUCAGACUCUAUGAUGCAAUUGAAACUCUCUACACGAUGGAUUACCUCCACAAACCUACACCUACGGACCUCCAAAGGCUUCUAUAAAAAGCCAAGGGUCAAGUUUCCCAAGCAUGAUUGGAAGCAUCAACUGUAUAUAUUGGCAGUGGAAGAAUUGCCCAACUGUCUGACAAGGAGAUUAUGGGAAUUGGAAGGACAAAAAAAGUAUCAUUCUGGAAGCUAUUGCAUCAUUCGAUACCUAGAUUUGGCAUGCUUUUUUUGAAGUUGCGGGAUUUCAAAACGGCCUUAAUAUGCUCGGUCAAUACCCGGUGUUCAAUGAUGUGUUGAGAAGUCAAGCCCUUCAGAUCAUGUAUGAAAUCAACAAUAUCGUCUACUCAUGUGGGUAUUACCUAGCAGACAGAAUUUACCUGCGGUGGACGACAUUCGUCAAAACAAUUCUACAUCCCCAAUCGGAUAAGGAAAAAUACUUUGUUGCCUAUCAAGAGUAUAAGAAAGAUGUAAAAAAGUGUUUUGGUAUCCUCCAAACUCGAUGGGUAAUCAUUAGGAGGGCUGCUCGUAUGUUUGAUGAAGAGGUGCUUUAUAGCAUUAUGAUGACAUGCAUCAUCCUCUAUAACAUGAUUGUGAGGAUGAGUAUGAUUAUGAUGAACCCGAGAUGUUCGAACCCGAUCAUAUGAACACGGCAUUAACAAGAAUUUAUGAACGGCCCGUGCGAGCAAAUGGACAAUCACUGGAGCACGAACCGUUAAUUAGAUAUGGUUGUUACAACAACUGUGUGAUUGACCGUUAUACGAAAAUGCAAUCUUCUUAUAUUCAUGAAAGACGUCAAGUUAACUUGAUGGAGCACUUAUGGGUGCUGAGAGACAAUCACAGUCAAUGAAGUCAAGGUUAAUGUUUAAUUUUGAAUUAGCUUUGUUACUGUUGUUUUUUUUUUUGAAUUAUACUUUGUUUGUGUUUUGUAAUGAAUUGUGUUUUGUUUGUGUUUUUAAUGAAUUAUGCUUUGUUUUUAUGUAUGCAAUGUUUUAAAUAAAUAGCUAUAUUAUUGAAUGCUUUCUUUAUUCAAUAAUAUACAAGCAAUACAACUAAUUAAGAAAUACAACUAAUUGAGAGAGGAGCUUAUCAAAAGGUUUUGGGUCGCUCUUUCAUUCACGCGAGGAGAGCCUUGACGGCUAGGGUUAGGGUUUCUCCCAUUUUCUUUACUCAUUCUCUGCGUCGUCUCUCUCAAUCUUCUCUGAUUGUCUCUUGUGGUUCUUCUUGGUGAAUUGGGUAUGACCUUUUUUUUUUGUUGCUCUAUUGUUCUCCAUGGAGUGGCUGCGUUGACUUCCUUUCUGGUUUCCCAAAGAGCCUGUCGCUAGUGAAGGGUCUUCAUCUUAACGUUAUAGAGAUAGCCAUCGCCUCUUUUGCUUAAGAGGAUGACAAGUAUGCGACACCAAAAGGGAAUCAAAAGCCUGCAAAAACUGGUGUUCGGCAUCUGAUUGUUAGUGGCACGAAUUUUUCUUGUAACCAUAGUUUUUGUAUCGAGGAUUUUGUUGACAAGGCGAAGGAGACCAGCCUCGAGGGGUCUCCAAGAUCUCCAUAAUAAUUCUCUUAUGGAACGUUCGUGGGCUUGGCAACCGAUGAACAUUCCUACUAUGAAGAUCUUUCUUCGGAAUUUUCUUCAGGCUAAGAGGCCAAUCUUGGUCGCCCUUGCUUGUCAGCUGGGGUUCUGGAUCAAGAAAAUUGGAGGUGGCGGUUGGUGUUUGGUUAGAUCUGUUAUGAUGCUCACAAUACGUUCUUGACUCUGUAUGAAGAACUACGAUACUUUCUUUAGAUCAUAGAAGGCUUUCUUUGAUAAUAUCUAUGUAGUGAUGGGAUGUGUUUCAAUAACUUUGCGGUUGGGUGAUUGGCUGUAUAUAUUUUGAUACCCAUAGUACGUUUUUGACUUUGUACUAAGAACUAUAAUGCUUUUUCUAGAUCAUAGGUGGACUUCUUUGACAGUACCUACGUAGUGAUGGGAUGUUGUUUUAAGGGUUUUGUGGUUGGGGUUUAGGUUGGUUUGUUUCAUAUAAGUUGUUUGACUCUUCUGUUUAGUCAAUAGCAUGGGUGGUACUCUUUCCUACCCUAAGGCCCUCUCCUGCUCGAGUUGACCUGUAACGCUGGAAGUGCUCUUAGUCACUUGGAAUAUGAUCCGUGAACUAAGAAAGUAUAUGGCAUUUUCUUGGACAAAGAUGGCUUGACUAAACGGGUGAAGGGACAUUAGUGGCUCAAUUCAUGCCUAAUUCUAUACACCAUGAUUAGAUUGUUACAUAAGAACGACUAAAUGGGCAUUUUUACAGUCUUUAUACGUAACAGUUUCAUGUUUGAUAAUACUUUGAGUCAUUCUUUUUUACAAAUAAAUCACAAUUUCAUGUGUAACAUAUUUGGUCCGUAAAAAGUAUUUUAUGCAUAUUUGAGAUUAAAUAAAUCUAAAAGGUUAUUAUUUGGUACCGUAAAAACACAACUUUUUAUAGUGAAUAUUUUGUCUAAUAUAGAAUAAAUUAUGAAAUUCCUAAAAGUCCUUCAAUAAUGCAAUGAAAGAGAUGCCCGGUCAUAAAUAAGCAUCAAUGGUUUUGUUGGGACCUCAUUUAUUGGCGAGACUUGUGAGGAUUUAGUCAUGAAGAAAAUGAUGUCCACGCGAAAUUGCCAUAGAAAACAUGUAUAAACUACGCUUCAAACGUUUUCCUUUGGAUUUGAUUUAAUCCAAGUCAUGCAUGACACGCCGCACGCAUCCGAAAAUUCUUUAUUCAACUGAGAGCUAGCUUUGAAUAUAUUUCUUGUCUCAUAGCUUGAACAGCACAACGAUUCUUCUGGACCUGAAAAGCUUAUGCCAUCUCUUUUGAGGCUAACAAACAAAAAGAAUAACUUACCCAUAGACUAGUUCCCCCAACUAUGUUACACUAUGAAUUAUGGGAAAACAUAAAAGAGAAAAAGAACACAAAACAAAAGCUAUAUAGACAAAUGAAGUGACAUAUUAGAGAGGAAAAUGUGCAAGAUCUUUAAUUAGUUUACUUUACAAAUCCUUAGAUUUUCUUUUCCAUUCUUACACAUAUAUUUAAAUUAUAUAAACCACUACAACAGCGGGAUUCGAACUUAAGAGCACUUUCACUCAAUUAUGACAAGUAAAUGCAAACUACUAUUCACGUGAAUAGUGACUGCCCUAGCAAUUUUUUUGAUGCAUUUCCACCCAUUGCCAUGACAACCCAAGAGCAACUACUAUUUACAUGAGAUAUGAGGAGAUGAAUUUAUAUGAAUUUUGGUUUGGUUUUUUUAAUCAAUUCUUUUAGUAUUUAAAUUGGUCUCUGACUUUAUGUUGACGUUAGCAUGACAUCAACUUGCCCAUACAAGUCUUGCGCUUCGGACUUGUCUAGUUUCAUAGGCCACUUCUUAUCAUGGCAACUUGUCCUUUGUAGGGUUUGUUUUUAAAGCCUAAAAGCAAAAAGGAAAAAGUGGAAGUGCUCGAAGUGCAAAUAGAUUCACUGUCCUAGUAAACAAGCAUAACUUACCUCUGCGACAAAGAAAAUUCUAUAUGCUUAUUUUGGUAUGUAAUAUUUUUGCUUUCAAUUAAAACCAAACCACAAUGAGAAAUGCGAGUGGGUCGGCACAGACCAAAUAUGGUGGUGCAAUGUAACUUGUCCGUCGGAGAAAAGAACAGAAAAAUGAAAUUGGCGUUUGACAUGUGUAGGACCACAAGUAUCGUCAUUUGUCACGUUCCUUAUGUAUAGGGGAAUAAAUAAAAUAAGAAACCGCCAAGAAAAUUUCUAAUAGUUAUUAAUCUUUUAAAUGACUUUUUCAAAAAUAAAAUUAAAAAAACAAAAACAAAAAGCUGGUACUCCAUUAGAUAAUUUCUGAUUGGUUGAAUUUCAACCUUCAAUUUGGAAUAAAUAAUUUAGAAAAAGGUUCAAUACAAUUUAUUUUAAGCAAUUGAAUAUAAUGCCUAACUUUUUUUUUUUUGAGGAUCUUUUUUGUUGAAGGGAGCGAUAUAAUAUACUAAAUUUACACACACAACAUAACAAGGAUGCUAGGACUCGAACCCAGAACUUUGCAUGGGAAAAUAAUUACUCCAAACUACUACACUAGUAAUUGAAUACAAUGCCUACAUUCAUUUUAAGUGACGCAUACAAAUAUUAUUAAAUUAUAUAUAUACUAGUCUCUCCGCACGCGCUUCCGCGCUUGUAAGAGGCUUUUUUAAAAAAAUAAAUAAAUUUAUUUUAGAAUUAAAAAUAAUAAGGGAGACUUUGGAAAAGCCCAAAGGAGAGAGAAAAUUUUUAAAAGUGAAAGUUUUUUUAUGGGUAAAACCUAAAUUUACUAAAUAAUAAUGAGUAGUUGUGUUCCAUAAAAAUAAGAUCCAUUAUUUGCUUUUUCUUUUUCUUUUAAUUUUUUUAAAUAUGAAAAAGUGUGAAUUUACCAUAUUAUCCUUAUUUAAUUAAUAAUUUGAAUUCUUAAUGUUUGCAUUAACCAAGGGCAUUUUCUGGUAUUUUGAAUGUUUCACCAUUCUCUGCAUUUUGCUUUAUAUAUAUAGAUAAAUUAAAUCAUUUGAAAAUGAGUGCAUUUUUUUUCUUUCCACUUCUAAAACAAAUCUAAAAGUUUAUGUUUUUUUUUUUCUUCUCCCAAUGGCUUCAUUGUAUGACUUAUUUUUGGACGGUACCAAUAAUUUAGGGUAUUAUAUAUAUAUAUAUAUAUGCCAAUCCAAUCAUAUAAAGGUGUGAGCCCCAUGACUUCCAUUUCCACCUACCAUUUGCAACAUCUUUCCAAGCAACUGGCAUAUGAUCUCAUGAUUUUGAUCUGAUUUCAUAUUAUUAUGUCAAUUGGGCAGGUGGCUGGCCGAGUACACGCAAAAGACAUGUUCUUUUCUUUCUAGGUUUUGAUUAUUCUUCGGAUCCUUCUUCUACAUCUUAAACACACACAACAAUUUUCCCAUUAUUUUUCCCCCUCUUUCUCUCAAUAUACUAACAUUUUGGGAAGGAAAACGAUCAUGUCAUGGAUAUGUUUAUAAUAAGUGCUUCCAUCACAACUGUUCAUCUUGUUAUGGUCAAGAUCUGAUCUUGUUAAUAACUGUUGCUUAAUGUAUUAAGUUGUGUCGGCAUCGAAAAAUUAUUUUAUCUUAUUGCAAAAUUGUCAUGUGAUGUUAAUAAUUCACGUAUUAUAAUAUUAAUAUAUUUAUUUUUAUCUAUUUUUAUUAUAAUAUGAACUAAUUGAUAACACUACGCAACAAUAUUACAAUAACACUACAAAUAGGAAAAAGUUAAGAUGCUUUCUAUUGAGCCAUAUGAGCCCAGCGGCUACCAUUAUUGAUACUAUAAAGAGGAAGUCAAUUCAUAAUUUAAAGUAGAUAGGUAACCCGUCAAUUCUAUAGUGUGUCAUAUUUUUAAGCAGUGACAAAAAUCAUAGCCACGUAAGGGCAGUCAAAACAUAUAGACCACCAAUUUCAACCAUCUUAGCUCAACACCUUUUAUAAAUGCAUUAAAUUAUCAGUAGUUUAAGAAAAAAACUUUUAUAAAACGAAGAUAGCAUUAUUUUAUUAUUCUUAAUCAAUUAAAAAAUGUUAUGUGAAAAAGUUAUCAUAUGUGACAUACCGUGUUGUAUUGAAUCAACAUCCAUUUCUCUCAUACUUUAUUUUUUCUUUUUUAAGUUCAUAUAUUCAUAAAUGAAAAAUAAAAACAUCACAAUAAUGUGUCAGAUAAAAACAAAAAAACAAAAAAGUAGAGGGUCCAUGUUCACAUGAUUGUCGUGAAGCAACUACACACCUAACACAUAUUUACUUUAAUAAAAAUGCUUAGUUGUAAUACUUUUUCUCGUAAUAUAUAGUUUAAAUUGUGGUAUAAAAUUAAAGCUUAGAGGCCCGUGGUGGCUUCAGAAUGCAUGGGAGGCUUUUCUGGGUGAGAAAGAUGGUAUGAGAAAAUGGACCCCCCUCCCGAUGGAAAUUGAGAAACCAAAAAAAUGUGGCUAAUAAUAGCAAGGGAGGCUGAAAAGGUAAUAGAAUUAUGGCCGUCACGUCCCCCUUAUCCAUACACGCAUACAUCAGUGGUAAUCCAAACACCUAGGAUGUUUAUAUUUUAUUCAAAUAUUAUAACCUAAAAUUUGAGUAAUCUAUACUGAUUUAUGUUUUGACUAUGAUGUAUUAUGUAUAUAUAUAUAUAUAUACUAGGAUUAAUUUGAUCUUAAUUAAAUAAUAACAACACAACAAAGUUGGGGUAACGAGAUAAAUUUAGAUUCGAACUAAAACAUAACAUGUGUUAAGAAAUCCGAAUCGUAGAUGAAAAGGAAGUUUACUUUUUAAAAGAUAAAGCCGAUUAUCGAAAAAAUCGUGGAAUUCCCAGUGAGAGUCAAGCUUUGUUUUUAUGGGGAUGUAAACAACUUGUUUUAACCACGGUCAACCCUAAUUACAGUUCAACCCACCCAACCCUCUUCUGUCUUCUCCUAUACAUGUAUGCACAUGUGUUAUUAGUAUAUACAUUAAGUGGAGUUGAAUGGAUUGAUUCAAUAAUUAGAAACACAAGGUGGGUUUUUAACUCAUUAUCUUUGCAUAUAUAUAUAUAUAUAUAGAGAGAGAGAGAGAGAGAGAGAGAGAGAGAGAGAGAGGUUUCAAGAAAGAGAGAGAAGGCGUGGCCUAGAAAUAAAAGGGAGCUCAUUUAUUUGAUUCCAAAUUCCCAAGUGCGUCUCUGUUUCACCCAGUUGGACUUGGACUUUUUGUUUUUGUUAUAGUUUUUAUAGCAUUUGCGUUACGUUUCGAAUCGUUGAUACUUUCUCAAUUCAAACGUUUCAAUCCAAGAGCCCAUCAUUUCUAUAUAUAAAAACAGAAAAUUAAGAAGCAGCAGCAAGUGGUCUUCUUCUUCUUCCUUCACGGAAACCAGAGCAAACGUGUCAUUACAUGGUGAUCGUAAGAAAAGGUGCAGAGGAGGAGGUGGACAAGAAGAAGAACGCGACUAAUUGCAGUAACAAGGGAAUGCGACUCGGAAAAUACGAGCUUGGAAGGACUCUUGGCGAGGGCAAUUUCGGCAAAGUUAAAUUUGCUAAGAACGUCGACUCUGGACAACCCUUUGCUGUUAAGAUCCUCGAGAAAACCAGAAUCAUUGAUCUCAAGAUCACAGACCAGGUCAGUCUUUUUGCUCAAAGUUUCAAUCUUUCAUUGAUGGGUUCUGUUUUUCUCUUUCAAACAUUCAUUAUUGUUCAAUUUUUUCCUCAAAGUUUUAAUCUUUCAUUAAUGGGUGUUCUGGGCAGUGUUCAAUCGAAACUGAAAUUGACAUUCAUGAAUUUUUUAAAAUUAUCUGAGUUUUGGACGUUUUGUUUUGUUUUGAACAACACAAUAACACAAUUUUAGAAGAAAAAAAAAUUGCAGAUAAAGAGGGAGAUUGGCACUUUGAAGCUCCUGAAACAUCCCAACGUUGUCAGAUUACACGAGGUAUGCAUUGCUUCUCUGCUUCCAGAGCUCUGUUAUUAACAGAGUUUUUGUUUGUCCAUUACUGUCUAAUCCAUGAAUCAUGACCCCUAAUUAUCACUAUAAUUACCAUAAUCUCUUCCCACUAAUGUCUAAUAAUGACAACAACCCCAUUUAGCUGUGUUUUUUUUUUGUUUGUUUUUGUUUUGUUUUGUUUUGGGAUUGGUGCUAGCAAGCACAGUUGUUUUUUACUGUGGUAACUUUUCUAAUUUUUACUUGGCUAAUCACUUCAAUAACGCGUCACAUGACACAUAAUAACCCCAUUUUGCUUAUCGUUUCCUCAAAUAAAGGUAGCAUAUAACAAAAACACUUUCUAGAUUUUCGUUUACCGUUCUAUUCUACGUGAUCUGUUGAAUCUGAACCACACAUUCGAACACAAUAUUUAUGAUAUAUUAAAUCCAAAUCACACUAUUCAAACGCGAUCUUUACAUUUAUAUUGCAAUGAGAAAUAUCUUAACUUUGUUUCAUUUGUUCAUGCCGCUGUUUGCACGGAUUGCUUUGUUCACGAGGUCUCCACCCGGGAUGAUUUGAUCAAUCACCCUAAUAUACUUUUACCCUCAUAAAAAAAAAUUGGUUGGUCCUGGAAAAAAAGAAAGAAAAAAAAAAAAUUUGUUGGUUAUUGAGAUAUUUUCUUGUGUAUAUGAUUCUGUUAAGGGGAUCCAUCAACCAGCCCAACCUAGCCACGUGUAUAUAGUAAUGGUAUAUAUACCUCUCUCUGCUGCAGUUUGCAUGGACUGAGUGACCUGACCUCACUUCAACAAGCAUAUUUUCAGAAUGGGCCCACCCAUGAAACCAUUUUGGUGGAUAAGACUAAGAUCAUUAAUAUGGUCUUAAUUGUGGUCACCAAGGGAGGGCCAUGCCUUGUCAAUUGUCCCUUAAAAUGAAAAUGAUUGCUUCAAGUUGCGUGUGGUAUAUUCAUUAAUCACCUUAAUUAAUUUUAGCAUCCAUUAGGGUUUCCUUAAAUAGAAUCAUAGGAUGAAUUAGUCAUAUAGACAGAAAUAUAUAAUAUAUUUAGAAAAAAAAAAAAAAAGUUUUAAUAAGAAAGAAGAAUGGAAAAUGAUAAUUUUGGAUAAGGAUGGUGAUGACGACUAUGAAUUAUAUAUGUGGAGUUUUAGAAUAUGGGUUUUGUUGAUGCAGAGAACUGGUCUUGGUUUGCCUUUCUACAAAGGUGGAUGGAACACAUUUUGAUUUGAUUAAGUAAAUGCAUUUGAACUCAAUUCGAUGUGUCCCCUUGGUCAACAAAUGUCAUCAAGUUUGUUUGGUAUUCAACAAAACAGUAGCUUGUAAAUAAUAUUAAGGGUGUCAUUGAUAAAAAAUAAAUAAAUAAAUAAAUCACAUCCCAACCAUUAGCAUAAUUAGCGCUGUCAUCAGUUCGAUCUUUGAUCUAUUUAUAAUGCUGUAAACUGUAAACUAGAUUUUUUUCUCUCUGUGUUCUCAUCAUUGGUAUUAGGACUUUCAAUGCCAUGGCCAACAAUGCUUUGUAUUAAUCCUGCUGAUUAUGUUUAUCUUGCAGGUUGUGGCAAGCAAAACCAAGAUUUACAUGGUCCUAGAAUAUGUUACUGGAGGAGAAUUGUUUGACAAAAUUGUAAGGAGCUCUUACUCUAAUGCACAGCUUUUUGUAUCACAAGGCAGGAAGUUGAAUAGUUGAUGAUACUAAUAAGUUACUCUGUGUUUCAGGCACACAAGGGAAAACUUGCAGAAGCCGAAGGCAGGAAGCUCUUCCAACAGUUGAUUGAUGGUGUGAGCUACUGCCACAACAAAGGCGUUUUCCAUCGGGACCUGAAGGUACUUCCUUUCUUUUUAAGAAAAACUUAGUGAAACUAAGGACUCAGGAAAAAGCUGCAGAUGGUUUUCAAUUUGCUCACUCUUUCUUGCAUGACAAGUUUUGUAUGUUUUUGGUUGCAGUUGGAAAAUGUUCUUGUUGAUGCCAAGGGGAACAUAAAAAUAUCAGACUUUGGCCUCAGUGCUUUGCCCCAGCAUUUUAGGGUACAUUACUCUUCCAAACCAAACUUUUUAAAGUGGUAAGUUUGGUGUCUAAUAACUUAACCCUUUAAUUCUGUCUGAUAUAUCAGGAAGAUGGGUUGCUUCAUACAACCUGUGGAAGCCCCAACUAUGUUGCUCCUGAGAUUCUUGCUAAUAAAGGGUAUGAUGGUGCCACCUCUGAUAUAUGGUCAUGUGGUGUCAUCUUAUAUGUCAUUCUUACAGGAUUUCUCCCUUUCGAUGAUAGAAAUCUUGCAGUUCUCUAUCAAAAGGUAUUGACAACAACUCUCUUUGAUUUUCUUGUGUUUGUUAUAUGGCUUUAGGAAUGAAGAAUUUUUAUUAUUAUUUGCAUUUCCUUCACUUUGAUGCUAACAUUUUUAGAGGGAUUUCAGAUCUUGAAGGGGGAAGUUCAGAUACCCACAUGGCUAUCACCUGGUGCAAAGAACUUGAUAAAAAAGAUUCUUGAUCCCAACCCUGUUUCCAGAAUAACAAUGACAGGCAUCAAGUCAGAUGAAUGGUUCAAGCAGGAUUACUCUCCUGCGAAUCCUGAUGAUGAAGAAGAAGAUAUAAACGUUGAUGAUGAAGCUUUCUCAAUAAAUGAAGUGGUAUGAAUAUGCAAUUCAUGUCCAUUCCCUACCUUUUUUUUGGUACAUCUUUCAAUUUCUUCUAUGCUAACUGAGAACCGUUUCUUUUACCUUUUGGUAUAGCCAUCUGAGGGGGAGAGGAGUCCAGACGCCCGGCACUCGCACACCCAUAUAAAUGCCUUUCAGUUGAUUGGAAUGUCCUCGUGUCUAGACCUCUCCGGCUUCUUUGAGAAAGAGGUUAGGGUAAAAGCUUACUUUGUAAAACGAUUUUUGUCUUCUUUGUUUGGCAUUGAGUAUUUCAUUAUCUAUUACUGAAGUUGAAAGCUCUUUCUGAUUGUGGGUUAAUUUAGGAUGUGUCUGAGAGGAAGAUCAGAUUUACAUCCAACCACUCUGAAAAAGAUUUGCUUGAAAAGAUUGAAGAAAUUGUACUAGAGAUGGGAUAUUGUGUCCAGAAGAAAAAUGGAAGGGUUAGUAGCUUUAUAUCCUCAUUUUCUACUCACGUCCAGAAAUAUUAAAGUUGCAAUGAUAACUGGUAUAAUUUACGUUUCCUUCGUCAAUGCAAUAUCGACUGAAAUAUGGUUUCGUUUAUGCCCAACAUUUCAGUUAAAAGUGAUGCAAGAGCACAAAGGGGAGAGAAGUAUGGGUAGUCUAUCAGUUGCAGCAGAGGUAUGUCAUUUCAAACUCUUGGAGGGUUUUCUUCCUGACAAAACAUUUGUGCCUGGCAUGCAUUUUAAUUAAUUUCUAACCACAUAAAAUUUUUCUUUCAAUGUUUAAUCCUUCCUCUCUGACAAUUUUAUGACUUGAAUUUUAACUGAUAGUUGUCUCCAUAAUUGCAUCAGGUGUUUGAGAUAAGCCCAUCUUUAUUUGUUGUUGAAAUAAGAAAGUCAUAUGGUGAUGCUUCUGCAUAUAGAAAGGUAUAUAUUCUUCUGAAUGGUGCCCCCUUCUCUCUCUUAUUUCAGGAAUUAAAAUCAAUUUCUUUUGCUAUGUGCAGUUGUGUGAAAAGCUAUCACAUGAUUUAGGUGUUCCCGCAAGCCAAGGGUUGUUGACUAGCCAAGUGUGAAAACCAUGUUCUUUGCAAAGUCAAACAACAGGGUAUUUAAAGCCUUGGAGAGAUGUAGAUAGUAUAGAAAUCCUAUAUUACGAUUUAUGUAAAUUUUCAGUUUUGGAUGUAUGUUAGUGUUAGUAUGUAAGACUCGAGUAAAUGUGAAACAUAUUUUGAUUGCAAGAAGAUAUCCUUGUGAAGAAGUCACCAGGACCAUUUGUGUUUAUCGUCUCCUGAAUCAAUUGAUACUUUAUUUUUUCAUCUACGGGGAACGGGAGAUUCGAACUUAGAACAUCUUCCAACAUUAGAAAGACAAAAACCACUAGAUAAAUAGUCCCAGUUAUUUCGUAUUUGUAAGGAAAAAACUUAAAAGCUAACACAAAUUUUCUAAGCAAUCAUUAUUAUUUUCUGACUCUACAACUAUUGUUUAUGAGGUUUGAACACAUUCAUCACACCUCACACAUUGUAGACGUCUGGCUAUUGUUUUUGGAUCAACAACAGGUUCUAAAACAUUAGUACCUCUUGACAAUGAUAACCUACAUAAGUAUUUUAGCAUAUACAAUGGAAUUGAUCUAUUUACAUGGUGAACGUGAGUAACUACGAAUAACCCUUCAACCAGAUGCAAGCAAAUCUAAUUUGCAAGGCUGCUGUCAAGAUCUCCACCAUGUAUCAAGCUUCUGUUGUCUGCACGUUGAAGUUUCUCGGUCAACACGGUCUUGUACUGCUCAUCUCUGUGCUUAAAAUUGAGCAUAAAUUCAACCUGCCAGAGAUAGGAAGACAAAUGAGAUCAUUCAGACAAAAUUACCUAUCAGAAAAUCGAUGUCUUUGACAAGUAGUGCGCAUGGGAAAAAGCUAACAUUAGUUCAAAUAAUAAAUGUAGACAAGGUGAUCCACAAAAAAAAAAAAAAAAAAAAAAAGCAAAGUGAAUACUUUUUAUAUAAUUUUUGUGGUUAAGUACUUCCAUUAUGAGAGAUAUCUUUACCUGUUUCUGGAACAAAUCAAAUUCAUCUGAGCUAAGAGAACCAUCGCUGCAUCAUCUCGAGUUAGAGGCAAGGUGCUGAGUAACGGAAUGGAGAGCUUGAGAUCUUGCAGAGUAAUGAAGGGUCCUGUGUUUGGUAAGCUCAAUUCAGGAAAGUGUGAAUCUUUAGGCCCCAUUAGAGUUGUCUAAUCUCUUCAAAGAACAAAUUUUCAAAAGACAUGAUCUAGUAUACAUUUACCUGGAACUUGUUCAGCCGAUCAGCCAGUUUUUUUAUUGCUUCUUGCACAUCUUGCUCACGACAUAGGUCGUCAAACUCCAUCUCCACGGAGGAGACCUCUUGAGCAGCUUGACCAGAGUUUUCACUCAUUUUCGGGUGGCUCUGCUAAUAAUAGUAGGGCCUGGAGAAAAGUAUCAACACAAAUUCAAAAUUUCCGAAAACGUAAACAUGAAGUUUGCUGCUAUUUCCACCACUUUCGACUAGUUUCACAACCACCAUAUUUGACUCCAUCACUCACGGACCAUCUAAUCAAUUUCUCUACUGAAACACAAAGACAAUAGCUAGUAAGGAUGCUAUACAUUCUUUAUUAUAAUCACGAGAGAGAAUGGCAUGUUGGAUAGCUAAUUACAUAUACAUCACAUCUAGGAUACUAUAUAUGGCUAUUCUUUCUUUAGGAACCAACAGGUUCUACAACAUUAGACCCCUGAACAAUAAUAACUUACAUCAUUCCAAGAGAAAUUUGGUAUAUACAGUUCAAAUAUUUCUAUUUACAUGGUGAAUGAGAGUAACUACAGAUAUCUCUUUAACCAGAUGCAAGCAGAUCUAAUUUCCAAGCCUGCUGCUAAGAUCUUCACCAGACACCUGGAUCAAGCUGCUACUGUUGGCAAUUUGAAGUUUCUCAUUCAAUACGGUCUUGUACAGCUCAUCUUUGUCCUCGAAAUUACGCAUAAAUUCAACCUGCAUAUAUAGGAAGAAAAAAAUCAUUCAAAUGCAACUGCCUACAGGAAUCAAUGUCUUUAACAAGUAAUGUGAAUGGCAAGAAGCUAAUUGUAGUGCAGAUAAUUAAUGUAGAUAAAGGGUUCCAUAAACAUGAAAUAAAGUACAAAAUAAUGGUCCACCAAAAAAUUUCAAAGAAGUGGCGCAUCAAUCUGAGAGUCCUUUUAGUACAAGUUUUCGUGGAUAACUACUUUGAAUGUGAAAUACAGCAAUCUUUACCUGUCUCUGAAAGAAAUCAAAUUCAUCUGAGCUAAGUGAACCAUCACUAUUUGCAUCAAGGAGCUGCAUCAUCUCACGAGCAUCUUCCCCUGGGGCACCAAGCUCUUCCAUCACCUCCAUAAGUUCCUCAAUAUUGAUCCUACCAUCUCCAUUCUUGUCAAGAAGGCGGAAUACUCGAUCGCUCUGACUCUGCUCCAUCUCAAUACCUUCAUGAUUUGUGGAUGGAAUAUCUUGAAGACGCAAUGCCGCAAAUUCAGCUGCAGCCAUCAUUAUGGCCUUGAGUCGCUUUGCCUGAUCAUCAUCAACAAGUGAUUGUAAGUCACAUAACAGGCGAAUAUAAACCAUUUCAAGUACAUUUACAAGCUUAAUGCGCAGGAAAACCAUUCAAAAUUAGCAUUCAUAAAGGGCAUAUAUCAAACAACCUCUUCUGGGUCUGUAAGACCACUCUUGUACAAUGAGUGGGAUGCCGUUCCAGCAUCUGCCAACAUGUCCAUCUCCUUAGUCCUUAUUUGUAUUUCCAUCAAUGGUCUACUCUUGCCACAGUCACUAACAUCAACAGCCAUAUGUAAACUCCUGUACCCAUUUGUCUUGGGCCUGGCAAUGUAAUCUUUUGUCCUAUGAGGCAUUUCCUUCCACAAAGAUCGAACAACUUCACGCGUCCUGUAACAGGCGCUUUCCCCUACUUCUGCCAUAUCUUUGCCACUCCUAGGCUCCAAAAUGACUCUCAAUCCUAACACAUCAUGUACUUGCUCUGGCUUCCUACCAUCUUUCAACAGCUUCUUCAUGGUGCUAAACCGACUCUUAUACCGACCAUCAACUGAAACAUCAACAACCAUGCCUGCCAACAAAGGAUCAACUCUCAAAGACUGCAAGAGCUGUUCCUUGUAUACAUCAACCAGAGGCUUACUUCCACUCUCAUGACUUUUCAACCAUGAAUCAACAUAAAGGUAGGAAUGGGGAAACAAGUACUGAAACGAGAGAUCCUCCAGCUCCAGUGACAGCCAGUUGGUCCCAACAGCGUGAGCUAAAGGUGCGUGAAUCUUCAUAACCUCUAGAGAAAUCGAUUGUUGCUGAUACCUUGGGAGGUAACCAAGAUGUCUCAUCAUGUCAAGCCUGAGGACCAAAUCUAAAAUCACAGCCCUCAUAUCAUAGUACGUCAAGCAGAACUUUCUCAGCGCAGCAGCACUGCCAUCAUCCAAGACAUCAACUUUAGAAGGGACCUUCAGGACCCGCAAGCUUUCAUGCAAUAAAUGGGCAGUGCCAGUACCAAUCUGGUUUCUAACAUCAAGAAUCGAAAUUGCACCAGCCUCCACAACUGGUCUGAGUAUCCCAGCUGAGAUAACUUCUGCAUCCAUCUACAACAAUCAAAUUCACUGAAAACCCAUUAAUGGUAUCAUCAAAAUUACAUAACUGAAGGUCCAGAUAUUGAAAAAAAAAGUCCAUACCUGAAGAUCUGCGAGAAGGAGGGAAGUAGACAAGGCCCUGGAGAGCGAGGAACGACCAUCUGGGGUUAGAGGCAAAGCGUGAAGCAGAGGAAUGGAGAGCUUGAGAGCCUUGAAGAGUAACUGGGACCCACUGCUGGAGAGCAUCCCCAUCCUCUCUGUGAGCUCGUUGAAUGCCCCCACCAGCUCAACCACCAUCUUCCCUCCUGUCUGUUCCAGCAGAAACGACCGAGUUUUCAAUAAACCCAGUCUUCGAAUUCGCUGAGUACAACAUCUCUGCACGGUCACAGUACCCGGGACUAUCCGUAUAGUACGGUCAUGGGUUUUGGGUAUUGGCUCCUGAUGAAGAAGACGAUGAUGAUGACGUGGAUAGUAAAGCUCCAUAGAUGGAAGCUCCAUGCUUAUGUCUCUGCUUUGUUCGUGGUGGAGAGGUAAAGAGUAGACAGACAGUGAGGAGGACAAUAUAAGGAUAUGCUUGUAAUUUUAUCAACUUUAUCCUCUUUUAAACUUGUAAAAAGUAGGGGUGGGCACGGUCCGGAUUGGUUCGAUUUUACUCUCAAACCACAGCUGAACCAAUAAGAAAAUAACGGUCCGGUUUGGUUCGGAUUAGCCUAAAAUCAUAAUGAAAACCGAACCAAUCCAAACCACUUGUAAUCGGUUUGGUUCGGAUUGGUUCGGCCGGUUUGUGCCUAACACAAAACCAUGCAUUUUUCAACCUGCUCUUACAUUAUAAUGCUAACAUUUUGCCAUUAUAUCAUUCCAUUCCAUUCCAUCAAAGGCUAAUACAACAUCAUUCCAUUUAUUCAAAGGUUGUCCAAUGUCUAGCAUGCAUCUAAGUUCACAAUUUUCAUCAAAACAAACAUAUACAAAAUUUGCAUUAAAUUUACUCAUUGCAUUCAUCACAAUACAAACAAAUGAAAAGCUUUUAUCACAGAGAGGUAAAUACUUUUAUCACAGAGGUGGAGUUUGAAUGCGUAUAAAAUUAUGAAAUGGACCCAUUAAUUAAGAUAGAUAGAGUAAGAAGAGCCACACAACACAAAGAGCAAACACACAUAGUAGAGAUAGAAAGAGAGGGAAAUACAAGCACACACAAAUAACUGGGAUAUGCAAAUUAGAAGAUCAAAACGUGCACCAACAUUCAGAUACGCGGACUCACAAAACGCACACAAACCUUGCCACAUGUAAACUAAAUUAAAUAAAUAAUAAAUUAAUUUAUAAUCGGUCCGGUUCGGUUUAUGACAGUUUUUAAAACUCUCAAACCACAGCUGAACCAAACCAAACCGGUUCGGUUCGGUUUUUCAAAAUGUUGACUUUUUCUUUGGUCAAAACCAAACCAAACCAAUCCAAUAUAAUCGGUUCGGCCGGAUUGACCGGAUCGGCCGGAUUGAUGCCCACCCCUAGUAAAAAGUCACUAUUGCUCCUGAUAGUUUAUUAAUUGUUUCACUUUUAUCCAUGUGAUUCAAAUUCUCUCAAUUGGAUCCCUAUAGUUGAAAUCAAGAACACAUUUAAAUUUCUGUUCAAUUUUAUGAUGGAGUAAGGGUCUGUUUGAGAAUGCUUUUAGAAUGGUUAAAAGCUUUAUGACAACCAAAAAAUUUUUUGAUAGCGUUUGGCAGAAAUAUUUAUAAAUAAUUUUGGCCCAUAAAAAGGUUUUUUAAAUAAACACUUGGCAUAUGUUUCUUCAAUAUAAGCACUUGGAUUUUCAAUAAAUUUUUUGACGUUUUUCUAAUAAAAACACUUUUAUAAGCACUUAUGAAUAGAGAUUUUUUCUACAGAAGCAUUCUCAAACGAGCUUUAAGUACGUGUCAUUGAUGUGGAGAAAUAUUUUGGACAAAAUUAAUUAAUGAAUUUGAUAGAAUUUAUAAAAUAUCUUUGAAUUACGAGAGAUUUAAAACUACGGGACCAAAGUAAUAAAACAUGUGAACUAUAGGAGUGAAAAAUACAUUUUGCCUUUAAGUAAUUGGACAAGAACAACGUCGUCCCUUAAACUGAUGUGAUACACGUGUCAAGAUACCUUUGCUGGAACACAGUGGACUCGAAUGCAGUGAAACUUAUACCCCGUCUCUCUCCCUCAAGUCCUAAACCCUACGCCAAGCCCCCAUUCGAAAACUCUGCAACCUCUUUUGGGGUUUCACAGCCAAUCAGCCAUGCCAUCAAACCCAUCAAUCCAAUAAGACUUUUGAGAUUCACUGCGGCCAUGUCGGCCUUAUCAAGAGGCCUCCUUUCUCGGCUUCGCCUUCUCUCCCUCAACCCCACCACCACCUCUUCUGCUGCUGCUGCUAAUGCUAAUGCUACGACGUCGUUUACGCAAACUCAGUACCAUUUCUUCAGAUGGUUCAACUCCGAGGCCUUGGUUGAUGCGUCUGAGGUCGCCGAGGAGCGGAGCCGCGUCAUCGAAGCCAAGCCUGGGGCGAUGAGCCCAAGCUCAAAGAGGACUGGUCUCAUAGCCGUCAAGUGUGGGAUGACUGCGCGCUGGGACAAAUGGGGUGCUAGGGUUCCCAUCACUGUGCUUUGGGUCGAUGAUAAUAUCGUCUCUCAGGUCAAGACCCCCGAGAAAGAGGGCUUCCCUGCUCUACAGGUAACCUUUUUUCUCUUCAUUUUGCUCUGUUUGUGACGAAUUCAUUUUGAUUGAUUACUGUUUUGUUAAACUAUUUUUGUAUUCGUGGGUUGAUUUAUAAUAUCCCUGUAGCUUUAUAGGUUAUGAAAUUUCCGAAGUUUAGAUUUUUCAGAGUUUGGAGAGACGAUAUGCGUUCAGUCCUUUGGAGCGGAUACAACUUAACAUUUGGGCACACACCGACUUUAUGAUUUUGUUAUUCAACUAAAGCAAUAUUUGCUCCAUUUUAGCGGUUUUAAAUCUGCAAAAAGCCAGUCUGGAGACCAGACUACUUGGCAAUUUAUCAUUAGUCAGAUCAUCUGGAGUUUAUUAUUUGGUGGCUUCAGUUGUGCUUUACAAUUUGAAGCUAUACGCAUCCCUUGCUGGGCAUAUAUGAAAGGUCUUGUUAGUUUUGUUACAGUAAAAGGGGUUUCUAUGAAUGGGGUGCUCAUAAAUUUCAAAAUUCGUUGUCACCGAGGGCGCAUAAUUUGUGAUUUGUUUUCCUUCUGUUUUGUUAAUUAUAUGACAGGCCAAUUUGGCAGUGAUAGUGUAGGAACCACUUUUGCUUAGAAGUGCUUUAGUUGAAAGUGUUUUUGAUAGAAUCACAACAAAUUUAAAAUUGAAAUUCCAAGUGCUUUUGUUGGAAGUGUUUUCCUUUGGUUCUUGCAUCUGUUUUUUCUUUUUCUUUUGUUUUGCCAACAUUGAUCAUAUUGAUUUUUCUUGGUAAUUAAACAGAGGGCAAAUUUAUAUUUUCAAAAAAAUUCAAGGGCACGGGUUAAUUAUAGGAUGGUAUUCUGUUGUGGUGCUAGUUAGAUUGGUUGCGGACAGAAGAAAGCAAAACAUUUGACAAAGUCUGAGGUCGGUCAUUUCAGAGCUCAAGGUGUUCCACUUAAGAGGAAACUGAGGGAGUUUCCUGUGACAAAGGAUGCGCUUCUCCCUGUCGGUAUGUCAAUUGGUGUUCGCCAUUUUGUUCCAGGCCAAUAUGUUGAUGUCACAGGAAUCACGAGAGGGAAAGGUUUCCAGGUGAACUAAAUUCCUAAUCCUCAUUUUUUGGUCUAUCCUGUGGUUGUAUGUAUUUUUUGAAGGAAAAAAAAUAAAAUCCUUGUAUUAAGGAUCCAAUCAAUGAAUCUACUGCAGUGAUAAAAAGUAAUACAUUCUUUAGAUGAUGAAAUAUUAUGUAUCAUUUUUAUUUUCUGUGUUCAGGGCGGGAUGAAACGGCAUGGUUUUAAAGGAAUGCCAGCAUCUCAUGGUGCAUCUUUGUCACACCGAAGUAUUGGUUCUACAGGUCAGAGGGAUGCUCCUGGAAAGGUUUGUAUGGGAUCCAAAUCUCCUUAAACUAUUCCCAUGAACUCUUUUGGAAAAUCAGUAUAACCAAAUCUUUUUGCUUCAAAUGAGAUAGCUUAAUUUUGUCAAAUAAUCUGUUGCUCACUUGUUUGUUCUCGGACAUGCUACAUUGCAUUGACUUUCUACAUACUAUUGUGUUUAACCUGUUUAUCUUUUCCCCCCAUAUGAGUAAACACUAUCGCAUUUGUGUGGUCUGGAAAGUUCAAUAAAUGUUUUCUGUAAAUUUCUUCAUUGGUUUGCUAUAAUUAUGUUUCAAGAAUCAAAAUUUCUGAAUAUUUCCGGAUGCAUUCUAGUUCCAUUAGGUUAUAAAUUGUAAUUGUGACAAUCAUAUGUUUGUAUGAACAGGUAUUUAAAGGCAGGAAGAUGGCUGGGCGCAUGGGUGGGAAACAGAGGACGGUAAAAAAUGUAUGGGUCUACAAAAUUGAUCCUGCAAGGAAUUUGAUGUGGGUGAGAGGCCAAGUAAGAUUUCCUCACAAACUUUACUUUUCUGAAUUAAGUGCUCAAAAUUGGAUGGAAAAGGAGGAGGUUAUCCACGGUCCUCUUCAAUUACCUGCACACUGAUGACCCUAAGUGAAUGCAUUUUGAAUCUUAUUCAACAGUAGUUUCAUGAGCUUAAUGAUCUUCAUAAGUGUUUAUAACGUUCAGGGGAAAAGAAUGUAUAAUGAAGGGUUUUGUGCCGGGUAGAGGAUUUUGGUUGGUUUAAUGAAAUUGCUGAUACACAUUCACAACUGCACAGUUUAAAGGCCAUACGAUGAUUGGUCUUAAUCCUCUUCAGAAGUCAGUAUGUUGUAUUGUUAAUCCUGGUUUUGUGUUACUCAUUUGGAUGUUGUCUAUUCUCCCAGGUCCCAGGUGCUGAAGGGAACUUUGUGUUCAUAAGAGAUGCUUUCUACAAGAAACCUGAUAUUUCAUUGCUACCAUUUCCGACUUACUUUGCUCCGGAGGACGAGGAUGCAACCAAGUUAGAAACACUGGUUGCUGAUCUUGGAGAGGUAGAUCCAUUCAUGGUGGCAGAUUAAGCAGGAGCGUAAUCUGAAAUCCCGUGAGGAACUAGGAUGUUUCAUUCAGCCUAAUUGACUACACUGCGGUCACGUCCUCUUUGAUGAUGCAAAGAGCAUGCUGGCUUUAGGGUUAUAAAGACCUGUCUGAGGGUGUUGAAUAUGUUUUGUUUUUUCUUUAAAGUUGAUUUUUGUUAGAGGAAUGCAAGCGCAGAGGUUGUAAUAUUUAUAUAAUUUAGUUCAUUUCAACCUCAGAAUUGAAUACUGACCGACAAUGGUUUUUUUUUUUUUUUCGGUUGGAACCAUGUUUUGAAAUAAAUGUGGCUGGCAUGAAAUUGACUCUUAGCAUGGCUGUGCUUUGAACCAGUUGAAAAGCAUUGAUACUUUUCCAAUAGAAGAGGCUUCUAAACUCAAAUGAAUUGUUGCAAGAUACAGAAGAAAAGGUUCAAAAAAGAAGAAAAUGGAAUCAAUUUGUCAUGCUAUGGAUUUUUAGUUCUGUUCUUUCUGGUAUUUGUGUGCAGGAUGGGAUUAAAAGCAUUUAAAAAGAAGAAGAAGAAAAAAUGCAAAAGCAGAAAAAGGGCUUUUGCUUUUGGAGUUUUGCCAAAUUUGCAUUCAAACGCAAACAGUCAAGUGCCAAACACUCGUAGACUUAAAAACCAAAACCCAAUCGAUGAUUUUAUUGACCAGCCUCCUAAGGAAUUUGCUGCUAUUAAGUUUCGGCUCUGAACCUCGUCUUCUCCUCGCCCCAUUUCGUACCCAAAAAAACCCUAAAUUCCACCUCCCUCUUCUUCUUCUUCCUCCUCCUCCUCCUAGUGUUACCGUUACCCAAUAAUCCUGACCCUCCAAUCUCACAGUCAAAUGCGAGUUCAAUGGCAAUGAAGCGAGACCAACCCGACCUCGAGAAGCGACUCUGCGGCGUCUGCGGCUCCACAGAGCGUUGGUUCCUGCACUACGUCCGCCACAGAGGACAUUUUCGUAAGCUCUGCACCAACUGCGUCCUCAAGAACAACCCAGGCCUCUUCUGCCCUAUCUGCCUCGACUUCUUCGAGCACCCCCUUCCGGCACGUGACCAGGUCAUGUGCGUCCGGUGCCCUUCCAUCUCUCACUCUGCCUGCGUCGCAGCCAAUUCCUCCUUCCGCAGCUUCCAGUGCCCUCCCUGCUCCCAGCCCACCUUCUCCUUCUUCAACCUCGCCCGCCAAAACGACGGCCAAGAUGCCAAAACGACAGUCGUCAUCGACAAGGACGCCGCCAAGGCCCUCGUCGCCGCCGCCAGGAUCGCAGCGGCUUUGAUGACCAAAGCUGCCGUCGCCGCCAGGGUUGACGCCGAGCGCCGGGUCAAGGAAGCCGUCGUGGCGAAAAAGAAGGCCAGAGAGGCCUUGGAACGACUCACGUCUCUUGUCAGUAAGGAAAAGGAGAAGGAUUCGAAGAGUGGAGGCGUUGUUUCGGCGCCUGAGAGCCUCAACGCGAAGCCCAAAUUGGAGGGUCCUGGGCCAAUUCAAGUGGCGCCCAAGAUUUCUGAGCCUGAGGGAAGUAAUGGGUUGAAAACCAGUCAUGCGGAUCCUAUGGAAGAAGACUGAUUUGAGAUCAAGGAAGGAGCUUGAGCUUCAUGGGUUCAUGGGUUCGUAGUUUAAGUUUCUUUUCAUUAUUUGAUGAUGCUCAGCUUUUGCUAUUUAGCUUCAGCUUGAGCUUCUACACAGUCUUCUGGCAAUCUGUGAGUCUCUUUGUUAGUUGCUGUUGGUUUUUUUUAUUAUUAUAAAUUUUUACGCGGCCGCCCUUGGAACUUUUGCAGAGACGAUGUUUACUUUCCCAAGCUGAUGAUUCUCUGGGCCCCUUUGUAUCUACAUUGUCCUUCUUUGCCAUAAUCAGAAAUUGCAUUUUGUAAUUCUCUGUUUUCUCCCUUUGCAUAAACUUCGUUUCCCAAUUAGCAUGAGAUAUUUUGUGGUUCCUUGGCUAUGAAGCUUUACCCAAUAUGUGUGAUGGCCUUGCUUGCUUGUGUGCAAAUGCAUUUUGUCCUGAUUUCGGUGCUAUUCAAGGAGAUGCUAGAAAGAUGACAUGUUUAUCAGAACUUCAAAGUUGGUGUUUCAUUAUACACACUGACCUAAAAUGAGUCUAUUUCUUGUUCCUUGCAUCUUGCAAGUUUUGCCGUCUUGUCUUGAAUGCAAAAUGAUAACUCUCUAGUUACUAAUGCUUUAUUGAGUCAAGUUCCUGAAAGACAUAUCAGGUAGUGAUAUGACUUUGGGUUUCCUGUUAUGGUUCCAAUUCAUUCACAAUUUUCUCUUGUUACAGUGCUCUUCCAGACAUUUUGUAGGUGCUUGCAUAAAGCUUAAAAUUUUAUGCUCUGUUGUGCCAACUUCAUGGUUACAAACCCAUUUGUCUGGUUAAAGCUCAAAAUUACAUUGCUGUAUGGUUCUCUUUUUUUUUCUUUUUUUGGUCGGAAUUGCUAUAUGGUUCUUAUUCGUAAGGUUUCGAUUAAAACCUAUUCUCGCGCAGAGUUCUGUGUGUGCAUGACGACAACUUCACAUGACUAUAUUAUGGAAGUCGUUUGAUCUGCGGCCGAUUGAAUGAUGAAUUGACCUAGGUUCCUUUUUACAUCACUGAAUCUUCAAAACUCAAUUGAGUUGAACCUUCUUAUACAUACCCUCUUCCAUGGUUUCUCUGUUUCCUUCCUCAUCUAUGCUCUCUGCCAUGAUGCUCAUCUUGUCAUCUAAUUUCAGUUUUGCGCAGCCGCAUUCCCAGCCACCCCUGCGUUUCCUUUUAUUUUUAUUUUUGAGAUGUCAAGUUUCCUAACAUGAAGGAUAUGUCAUGUGCACGAGUGCACUGCAUUCGCAUCCCUCUGUUUCCGUCCACCAUAUAUAUAAUAUAAUAAGUUUUCAAUUAAAGAGAGAGAGGAAGGCCAUUUCUGCAUGGCAAUAUUUUGAGAAGAAAAGGAGAAACGAUGCCAAUGAAGUCAUGAAUUUUACCGGUUUCUGACCAAACAAAUAUUGGAAGAUAGCAGGGCUUCAUAUUUGCCCGAUUAGGGUUUUUCUUUUUGGUCGAACUAUAUGUCGUAUGGGUUUGCUGACAAACAAAAUGGCUCAAUCAUUUUUCACUGAAAGGGUUGUACUUGUACGCCACGUUUUUGCCCUAAAAUCUAAAAUCCUGGAUCUGACCAAGAAAAAAUAAAAUUUAACUCUCAUUUUGGCCUCCUUUUUACAAGAAAGAAGAGAAAAAUGAAAAACAAUGUGCUUUGUCUAUAUCAGUUCCGAUGGAUCAAAAUUCAAGGAUGUGUCUUCCACGGGGAAGAAGAUAAGUAAGCAAAGCAUAUGUAUUUACUAUGAUGAAAUGUAUAUACAGAGAAAGGGCAUUUGGGUACAUAAAAAUGCUAUGCAAAAAGGUACUGAAAAACUGUACAGAUACAUACAGCAAUAUGCAAACAAUGCGCAGGGACAAAAGGGCUCCUUAUCUGUUAUCACUAGGGUGGGGUGACAAAUCAACAGCGCCAUCCUCUCUCUCAUCCAAACAUCCAUCCAUCCACCCAUCCAUCUUCAGAUUAAACUUGUUUAUUUCAAUUCAAAUCAAUGAGGCAGCUAAUCCUCCUCAUCUUCAUGUGUCAUGAUGAGUAGUUAAUUGGGUUGAAAUGGGAUCUCAUGAGCUAAUGUUUCAAACCAGUGAAGUAAGGCACGCCUGUGUUUCUCAACCACUGGUCUCCCAGUAGAAAAGGACCUGUAGUGAAUUGAAGAGCCUCAUUUCUGUUCCGGAUCACAUGAAAUCCCUUCCAUCUCACCCUUCCGUUGGUCACAGCCCCCGGACCCCGGUUCCCAUACUCUGCAAAAUACAGAGUAUCAAGUGCAAAGUUGCCACUCCAUUCCAGCCACCCUGCUGGUUGUAUGAAGUCUCCUAGUUCUGAUUCCAUGAUCACGGCCCUUGAGUAUGUCUUCCAUGGCCUCCCUAAGUAUGACUUAGUCUUGAACCUCGUUGGGAACAGAGCCUGUUCGGGGACUAUCCUGCAGUUCUGGAUGACAAUGCCUGUGGUUUCCCUCUUGUCCUGUCUUCCCUGAGCAGUCACAGUGUUUUGCUGGCCGUCCAUAGGCUUUCUCACUAUGAUCAAACAGUUCUGGAUGAGUGUUGGUGAGUCACCGAAGAUGAAGUCAACUGUGCCGGAAAUGACACAGUUGCGAUAGAACUGGCGAUGUGUUUGGACGUACAAUGUGUCUUGGUACGCAUCCAUUCUACAGUUGAAGAAGGCUGACAUCUCCGACUGGACGCGGAGUGCCACCGCCUGAUGCUUCUGGGCGCCGGCUGUGUUCUGAAAUCCCAUUGCCUUGGCUAGAAACCCACUUCCAAUUGCGGCUGUGAUUAUAAAGAAGAAAAUGUGUAUCUAUUACAAGGUUACUAUAACAGCCAAUCCAUCCAUAUCAUGUAAAUUGGUUUUCUGUAAAGCAUUAGGGUCAUCAAAUUUGUUCAGCAAAUAAGGCGUGUGUAAAUAUAUGUCAGGUUCACAGUCAGUUUAAAUAAAGCAUUAUUUAGUGAACAAAUUUGGUGACCGUAGCAUUAUUGGUAUGGUAUUAUUAACUGGAGAAGUAAUAUCUAACAGGUGACUCACCGAAUGUGGCGGUGUUCUGGGUGGUGAUGCCAUCAGCCCAGCUUUUACUCCCAGUGACCAUGGUCUUCCGGGGUCCAUCUCCAUACAUGAACACAUUGACCUGGUCCUUGGUAACAGUAACGUACUCAUUGUAAAUCCCAGCCUUCACAUAUAUGAUAUAUCUUCCCUUAAGCCCCUUAGGAUAUGCAGCAAGAGCCGCACCAAUUGUUUUGUAUUGUCCACUUCCAUCUUUUGCCACUACCGCAUUUGGUCUAACCUGUCCGUUGCUCUGACUUGCCAAUAGCCUCCUGUCUGCAGCGCGAAACCAACUAGGGUACUGGCCUUGCUCAUCAUUAUUGUGCUCGAGAAGUCUUCGGGAGCUGCUUGGAUUCCUUAAAUCUUUGUUUAAAGUGAUGUUGAAGCUUUGUAAGAUCUCAGAAAUUGAGGAAGCAAUUGCUAAGGCAUUGCUCGUCAGCUGCGUGGCAUUGAGAAGCCCAUCUUUCAUCUGUUUUUGGAGCUCUUCUUGAGGAAUCCCAUCAAGGCAUGAUUGUUGGAAUGAUAUCACAGCACUCAACCAAUUUUUCAGCUCAUCCUCUCUAUCAUGCAUUGUGUGCAUAUCACCGUCCCCCACGUAUGAAAACGAAGCUUGAAGAUCAGCAAUCGCCGAUUCCAACAAGUCCUUGCAAUCAUCCAUUGCCAUUUUUCCCGUGGAAUUGAGAUUGCUAAAUGAUUUGGCAAUGUUGCCAGAAUUGUCUAUUGCAGACUUCACUGUUGAAAUGGUGGAAUCAAUGGCUGCUUGGAUGAGGUCUUUAGCCGUGGCGCUUUCAUUUUUCGCAACUUUGCUAAGGCUGUUGAUGCAUGCUUCCUUGUAAUCAGUUGGCUCACAAAUUGCAGCAACGGCCUUAGAACUUGUAGAAAGUUGGUCCUUGUGACUCUUCCUAGUGCAAACCACAGCCACAAGACCAACCACGACGCCAACGACAAGGACAAUUGAAACUCCUCCUAUUACUAGCUUUCCUUUUUUCUCCAUAACUUAGUUUCUGAUAUCUGAUUUUGGUGAAGAAAUGGAAGUUCUAAAUCAUGGAGAUCAUGUAUAUAUGUUAUAUAUAUAUAUACAGCUACAAAAAGGCAUGCAUUGCAUUGGGGGCUGUCCAAAUUUAGGGGUGAUUUUGAAGGCCUUGUCUAGAAUAAGAGCAAGGUAGAUGGUGUGAAGCUUAGGACAAAAAUUCCCAUAAUGUGGUGGUGGUUAAGGGACAGUUAUAUUAGUUAUUGUGUAUAUAUAAGAUCAUCAUCUCCUACAAUUUCUCCGGAAUGAGUUCCUGCUCACCAUUGCCUCUGUCUUUUUUUGGACUUGAUGAUCAUACCAAAACCUACCAACAACAGAGUUCACUUCCCUACUCCCUCCCUCCCUCUACCAUGCACCCUAUCUUUAGAGGGACGAUAUCCAUUUUUUACUUGACCUUCAAGUCAAGCAAUCUCUGUUGUGGCCCAAGAUAUCAAUCAAAAGCUCUGUGUUUUCUCUACGUAUAUCUAGGCUUUUAGAAGAUGGGAUGAUAUUUUUGUCUUCUUUUUUUUUAAUUUUCACGUAAUUGCAAAUCCUAUUCGAAUGUUUUAAAUUAGAGUUCUAAAAUCCAAUUACUCUUGAAAUUAAACAUUACAUAUAUUACACUAACAAGCUAACAUGACAGUAAUAUCUCAUAACAAGUUGACGUGACAGAUCAUUAUAACACACACACACAUUCAUAUUUAAAUCCUUAUCACUAUAUAGUCUAUAAUUAAAAAUAUUAAAAAAAAUCACCAUAUUAUUAUUAUAUCACAUUCAUUCAUGCAAAUUUUACAGUCAACCUUUUGUAUUUGCAAAUACAUAUUUUGGCAAAUGUUUUUAAAAAACAAAACAUUUUUAGGGACCCACAAUAUCUUAUCAACGGUGAACAAAGUAGAAGGUGCUGAAAAAUAGGGUGAGUUUGAAGGUUCUCUCGCUCCAAAGUGAAGACAAAUGACUUCGCUCCAAGUCCUUCAAGCCACCCCACCUCACCUAAGCUCGCCCAAGACCCAGAUUUCACCAUUACGUGGCAUCGAAUCAUGUUCAACCAUGGCCGAGCUCAGGCAGUUGCACUCCAAAGUCAUCAGGCUAGGCCUCGCAGCCGACAACGAUGCCAUGGGUCGUGUCAUCAAGUUCUGUGCCCUCUCCAAGAAUGGCGAUUUGGGUUAUGCUCUCCAAGUGUUCGAUACAAUGCUCCACCCGGAUGCAUUCAUUUACAACACCGUAAUGAGAGGCUACUUGCAAUGCCAUUUACCGAGAAAUUGCAUUGUUUUGUACUCACAGAUGUUGCAAGACUCUGUCACUCCCAAUAAGUACACGUUCCCUUCUGUUAUACGAGCUUGUUGCAAUGAUGAUGCUAUUGGAGAAGGGAAACAAGUCCAUGCCCAUGUUGUGAAACUGGGGUAUGGAGCUGAUGGGUUUUGUCAGAAUAAUUUGAUUCACAUGUAUGUGAAGUUUCAGUCUUUGGAAGAAGCUAGAAGGGUCUUCGACAAGAUGCUCCGGAUGGAUGCUGUGUCUUGGACGACAUUGAUUACUGGGUACUCGCAGUGUGGUUUUGUUGAUGAGGCCUUUGAACUUUUUGAGUUGAUGCCUGAGAAGAACUCUGUUUCUUGGAAUGCCAUGAUUUCCUCGUAUGUCCAGAGUGAUCGUUUUCAUGAGGCAUUUGCUUUGUUCCAAAAGAUGCGAGUGGAAAAGGUGGAAUUGGAUAAAUUCAUGGCGGCUAGUAUGUUAUCGGCUUGUACAGGUUUAGGUGCUCUAGAACAAGGGAAGUGGAUUCAUGGAUAUAUUGAGAAAAGUGGGAUUGAAUUGGACUCAAAACUUGCAACAACAAUCAUCGACAUGUAUUGCAAAUGUGGUUGCUUGGAGAAGGCUUUUGAAGUUUUUAAUGGUUUGCCCCAUAAAGGGAUUUCUUCAUGGAAUUGCAUGAUUGGAGGGCUAGCAAUGCAUGGGAAGGGAGAGGCUGCCAUUGAGCUUUUUGAGAAGAUGCAAAGGGACAUGGUAGCUCCUGAUAACAUUACUUUCGUUAAUGUCCUUAGUGCAUGUGCUCAUUCAGGGUUAGUUGAAGAGGGGCAACGGUACUUCCAGUCCAUGGUUGAAGUCCAUGGUAUUGAGCCCAGAAAAGAGCAUUUUGGCUGCAUGGUUGAUCUUCUUGGAAGAGCUGGGAUGCUUGAGGAAGCAAGAAAGCUAAUAAGUGAGAUGCCAAUGAGCCCCGAUGUAGGCGUAUUGGGUGCUCUACUCGGAGCUUGUAAGAUCCAUGGAAAUGUUGAACUGGGAGAACACAUAGGAAGGAUAGUAAUUGAACUGGAGCCAGAAAAUAGUGGUCGCUAUGUGUUAUUAGCCAAUCUAUAUGCCAAUGCCGGCAGAUGGGAAGAUGUUGCUAAUGUGAGGAGGUUAAUGAAUGACAGGGGAGUGAAGAAGGUUCCUGGAUUUUCCAUGAUUGAACUGGAAGGUGUUGUCAAUGAAUUUAUUGCAGGGGGAGGGGCUCAUCCUCAGACAAAAGAGAUAUAUGCCAAGGUUGAUGAGAUGCUGAAAUGUAUAAGAUCUGCAGGCUAUGUUCCUGACACAGAGGGAGUGUUGCAUGAUCUUGAUGAGGAGGAAAAGGAGAAUCCUCUAUACUACCACAGUGAGAAACUUGCAAUUGCCUUUGGCCUACUGAAGACUAAACCUGGGGAAACUCUUCGUAUAUCGAAGAACUUGCGAGUCUGUAAAGACUGCCACCAAGCAAGCAAGCUCAUCUCCAAGGUUUUCGAUCGGGAAAUAAUCGUGAGGGAUCGAAAUCGUUUUCACCAUUUUAAAAGGGGAGACUGUUCUUGUAAAGAUUAUUGGUAAUGCUGUGUGGUGGUCAGCUGUAGAGAUUUUGUCUUAACAAAAGAAAUACAUCUUACUUAAGAUAUGCUGUAAGCAAGAUAGGUUCAUCCAAAUACUGAAAUUCAUUUGGUUGUGUUAUUAUUUUGAUCAAAUUUGUGGUUUUCUAGCACAUGAGUUUAUGAUUUGUCUUUGCUUUGACGAUAAUUUUAUGCUUCAAAUUUCUUCCCUGUGUUAAAAAAACAGUUUGUAUAGAAUUGAGUGAAAGACAUUUUGUGAACGAUUCACCAAACCAGUUGUGCACUCACUGAGUCAAACUCACACAAUUAUAUUGUGCAAUAAAUAUUUGUCUUGAAUUAUUUAAAAUAUAAAAAAACAGCUAAAAAGAACUCUCUGUUGGAGAGCCAAAGGCCAAAAUUACCUUUAACCUUAUUUCUUUAUUUAAUUUUUAUAUUUUUCUCAAUCAAUCAUUGGUAGUAAAUAGUAAAAAUAAAUAAUAUGUUUACCAUAAAGAACAGAAACCCUAAAAAACGGCGGGUCGAGCAAUCGAGUCGAACCUAUUCCACUCGCGACUCACGAUUCCGAACGAUCCCAGCUCGUUCUUCUUCCUUCACCCAAUUUUUCAAGUUUUCCCACCAAUCCGACCCUCAAAAACCUAACUUUCCAUCCAUUUCUCCACUUUCGAGCGUAUCAAUCAUCCCAAAUCCAAAUGCGUCUGACCCACAUCGAAGAAUUUUAGAUAGGUCAAUAUUUCUUUAUGCCAUUCGUUUUUUCUAACCCAGGUAAGCAGAAUUUAAGCAACCAUUUAGUUUUCU